UCCUUUUCGUUAUCUUCAUGUAAAGGCCAAUGGUGGAUGAUGGAUCCCAUCCCAUGCAUCACAUGGAUGACUAAUGAACUUUUAUAAUCUCGACUGAUCGAUAUCGUCUUAUCAUUAUCUAAGCAGUUUAGUUUUCAAACAUGAUUACGUAAUAAACAAUAUCCUUUUAUCUUGGGUAAAGUCUAAAGCCAGAAAUAGUUUAUUCAGCUGCUACCUAACUUUAAUUUUAUAUAUGCAAUUGUUAACCAUUGCCAUUAUUCUUCAUGUUUUAUACGAUUUUCUAAAUUAUUCAAAAUUACAAGAAGAAGAAUUCUAAGUACAAAAAAAAUGAAUAUAUAGUUCUAACAAACUAGCUUAUAACUCACAUAUACGUUACAACUCCUGGAUGGUUUUGUUCAGCUAACGCUUACUUUUUUACAAACUAAUCUUUCUUUCUCUAUGCUCUUACUCUAUCUGGAAAUACUUGAUCCAAAUAAUUGAUUAGAAGCAGCUAAUUAAUUGGUUGCCGAAUCAGAUUACUCAUAUGCAAGAACUUAAAUGGUAGAUAUUUUGACAGGCCAUGAGGGGAACUGAUGGGAACACCAUACAUAUUCAAACAAAUGAUAUUACUGAGUCAUGACCCACUUCGAACAGAAUUUGGUUGCUUAAUUUGUCAAAUAUGUGAUGACCUGUGCUUCAUUACAAAAUUCAAGACGUGAUGUUUAUAGGCUACAUUCAAUAUACGAUCGAGAAAUAAUUCACAAACGCGAACUGGUUCUGCUUGGAGUGACCCUCAAGGUGUCUCCACCAGAAUGGACUUUAUAACUACGUUAAAUAAUUUGGUCUCUUGGAAUUUUGGUUAAUUUGAUUGAGUACGAUCUCCAUCAAAGACUCUUCUUCAAGACUUUAGACACCCUGGUGGCUGGUGCUCAGAGUUCAACCACGUACGUCAAAACAAAAGAAAAAAAAAUGAUUUGGAAACAUUUGAAAGAAAUAAAAAUCACUAUAUACGUUGCCCAAUUAGUGAGAUUCGUAAAUAUACUCAAGAAGGCAAUUAAUUAGAAAACCUGAUUUUAAACAAGUAGUUACGAUAUCAUUAUUAUUUGAAAUUAAUUUUCAUUUUUAGGUGAGUUUUUGCUCACCUCUUAAUUAUGGUGUAGCGUUUCUUUUCUUUGUGUUUUUCUUAUGACAAAAACGGACUUCUUUUUGCCCUCCAAUUUAAUUGUUAAUCGCUAUAAAAGUAGUUUGCAUUCCAAGUUAAUGUGACAUCUGUUUCUCUCUCACUUUUCUCUUUAUUUCUCAAGACAAACAAGAUACUAACAAUGAGCAUAUAUUGUCCUAAUUGCCUCCUCCUAGUCCUCACCGCCUUGUUGUAUCUUUUCGUUGCUAUCACCGCGUUUGGAGUAGGAGGAGGAGAAGAGCACCUUUACCCUCCCAAGUACCCUCCUCUAAGGGGUGGGUAUUUCCCCUUUGACAACCUGAACGACCCACGUUUGAGGGAGAUCGCAGAGUUCGCCAUUUCCAAGUACAACAAGAUUCAUGACCAAAAACUAGUGUUGCAAAAGUUGGUUCAUGGACAGUUCCAAAUAGUGGAGGGAACCAAUUACAAGCUUGUCAUUUCGGUUCUCAAUUCUUCCAAGAUCUUUAGCGGCCCAAUCAACUAUGAGAUCAUUGUGUUCGAAAAUCUUUGGAGGACUAUUAAGGAACUGAAGUCCUUUGUUCGAGUCCAAAUUAAUAAAACUUAAAUCCAGUCCACCUUAUUUUUAAGGUUUCUGGAGUCCUUUCUCAUUUCUUUCUUAUAUUUUUUAGAGCAUUAUCAACUAAUAAUAUAUAAGUUACUUUCACAUGAUGCAUUAUGAGUUCGAUUUUUUGUGUUAGUUAAUCAUGCGAAGGUGGCCAAAGAGAGGCUAAAAUGUCUUUGUGAGUCUUCCCGACUUCCGAAAUGAAUGAUUACCGUGGUGAAGCCACCAACUAGUCCUCUUUUUCUAAAUAAAAAAACAACAUAAUACAAACACAGUUUGGAAACAACUCAAUUUCAUUACUUUUCUCAUAUUCUCCUUUACUCACUCUUUUUUGUUCGAUGGCAAAUAAUUUUAUCGUUUGUGAAAUAACCAACAAAACGAUAUAAGAACAUGAAAAAAUUAAACUAAUUAACAAUCUCGCAUGUAAAAAAGUAAAUUUUUUUUGGGGGUAAAGACCGUGAAGUGUCUGCACACCCGAAAAGUGUGACCAAUAUCUACUCAAGGUUUGGCUUGACACUGGCCACAAAGUGCUUUCGUAAAAUUUCUGGCAAAUAUAAAAAACGACACGUAGUUUUCUUUUUGUUCAUGUUUGUUUCGUCCAUAUAAUUUGGUGAAGCUUUUGACGUCAAAAAGAGGAAGGGCUAAAUUUUAGUAGAUGAUGCAAAAAAGGAUAGUGACAUUGAUCCAUAAGAAGCUCAACAAACUCUUGAAAUACCGGAAGCUAAUUUGAGGAAAGCUAAAGGCAGGAGACAAACAAUUGAAGUUAAUUUGUUAAACCCUCCGUGCCUUUCCUUUUUAGUCAUUAAAACCCACAAAACAAAAGAAAUAAUAUCAUUUUUGUUGUAGGCCUAUUUGAUUGAAAGAUUUAAGGUUUAGAGAGAGAGAUAGGGGUUCGGCAAUAUUGAGAGAGAAGAGAGAUUGAUUUAAUUGUGAGGUGUGUUUGAUUCACCCCAUUGUGCCUUUAUUUAUAGUAGUAGGAAGGGUAAAACCUUUCCCUUUAGAAUUACAAUAUUUAAUAGAUAAUCUAAUCUUAAUAGGAAUAUAAGAUAUUUUCCCAUAUUCCCUAGGAUUUACACAAUCACAUUCCUAUUCUAAAUAUGACUGCAACACUCCCCCUUAAGUGUGUAAAUACUCAACAAAUCAUCCCAUCAGAUCUUCAGCAGAUAAGGUAGAAUAGUUGAUGAAGUCAUCGGCACAACGGGUGAUCGCGAGUCUCAAAUUUAAGUGAAGUAUGCAUUUGUAGUAAAACUCACAAAACCUCGUUAUGGUAAAACCCAAUGCAUGGGGAAAACCCAUAGACUAAGGAGAAGAGUGAGAAGUAUGAUCAUCCCAUGAUGGGUGCCUCAUUAAAACCUCGUUAGGUAGCAAAACCCAGUGGAAAAAAUGCUUCUAAUCGUAGGGAAAAUAGUACAGUAAGAUCAUGUGAGUAUGCUUCUAGAUACUCUCCUUAAGUUAGACAUAACUUCUAAAUAAGAGAACUACAAACGAUGCAACUUAGAUAAUUUACGCAUAUCGAUUCCUUGGAUGGGUUUCUGAAAUGUAGACUUGGGCAAUAACUUGGUAAAGAGAUCGGCCAGGUUGUCCUGGGAACGGAUUUGCUUGACUUCAAUGUUCUGAUGUUGUUGUUGCUGGUGUGAUUAAAAGAACUUUCAUAAUAUGUGCUUGGUGUUGUCUCUUUUGAUGUAUCCCUUCUUCAGCUGCUCGAUACAUGCUGCAUUGUCUUCAAAGAUCAUCGUAGGAAGGUCAACGACUGAUGUAAGACCACUAGUGCUUCGAAUAUGUUCCAUAACUUCUCUUAGCCAAAAGCACUCACGCGAUGCUUCAUGUAGGGCGAGAAUCUCAGCAUGGUUAGACGAAGUCGCAACUUGCGUUUUCUUGGUAGACUUCCAAGAUAUAGCGGUGUCUCCAACGGUAAAGACAUAACCUGUUGAGAACGUGCUAUAUGUGGGUUAAACAGAUAUCCAGCAUCUGCAUAACCAACAAGGCGAGAAUCAUUCCGAGGGCCAUAGAGGGCGACAACACUUGGAGAUUAGCGAGUAUAGAACAAACCCAAAUUCGUAGUACCUUUGAGGUAGCGAAAAAUGUCUUUAACACCAUUCCAGUGCCUGCAUUUGGGUGCAUUGUUGUAUCUAGCCAAUAGAUUCACAGAGAAUGAGAUGUCAGCUCUAAUGCAUUGAGUCAAGUACAAUAAAGCCCCAAUUGCACUUAAGUGAGGAACUUCGGGUUCCAAAAUCUCUUCCUCAUCCUCCUUUGGACUGAAGGGAUCUCGUUUAGCAUCUAGAGUUUGAACAACCAUACGUGUACUCGAAGGCUUCGCUUUAUCUUCAUUAAAACGUCAUAACACCUUUUGGGUGUAGUUCGAUUGAUGUACUAGGAUUCCAUCCGAACAAUGCUCGAUUUCCAGGCCGAGGCAAUAUCGAGUUUUCUAAGAUCCUUUACCUCAAAUUCUGAUUUCAAGUGUGUAGCAAUUUCCUCAAUCUCUGCGGCAGUCCCAAUGUGGUUCAUGUCAUCGACAUAAACUGCAAUGAUUGCAAAUCCGGAAUCUUGAAAAGCUGCAAUCUGCCUCGAUUGUCAUCCACCAUUCUUGUUUUAAAAAUUAAAUUAAAUCAGAAAUUAACAUUUUGUAAAUUUCAAGAAAUUUUAUUCUGUUGAUGCACAAAAUCAGCGAAGACUUUGGUACAACAGAAAGUGUCAGGUUUUGUGACCUUCGCUUGGUUGCUUCGGUCACUAGUGAGGAUAAGUACGUAAAUGAAUAGAGACAGAGAAGCAAACACAGGAUGUACGUGGUUCACCCAGAUUGGCUACGUCCACGGAGUAGAGGAGUUCUUAUUAGUAGUGAAGGGCUUACACAAGUACAAAGGAUCAAGCUCUCAAUUUAGUGAGUUCUUGUGAAUGAUUUAACACAAAAUGGCAUUAGGCAAUAUUGUGGGGGAAUGACCCCUAUUUAUAGAAAAACUUGUAGCUUUGUCACAUUGACAUGUGUCAUGUUAUGAUUGGUUCUUGAUGUCGACACGUGCUGCGCUCUGAUUGGCUUCUAAUCUUGACACGUGUCGAGUAGUGAUUGGCCUCCUGGUCGGAGGGGAACUCUUCUGGGUCCUUGACAGUAUAGCGUUGGCCGGUGCUCGGUAGUUUCGGGAUUGGUCAAGUAUGGUACAAACAGUGCUCCCCUAAGUUCCCGAGUGAGGGAAACUCCUCGGUUGGGGACUUGCAAGAUCCAAUCCCUUGAGUAAUCACGAAACUUCUAAGUACCGAAGUGUGGUCUGAUCUUCAUCUGCCCUUCUCUGGAAGUACCUUUCCUCCAUCCGGGAAUGGUGUACUUUAGCUGAUGUUGACGCACAAGGUAAUGUAUCAAUUUCACUUGAAGCUUAGUUGUAGUUUCGGGCUUAGUCAAGUGUGAUACAAACCCUAUAGUAGGAGUCCCCCAAGUCGCCGAGCUAGGAGAUCUGCCGAAAGAGGUGACAGACAAGGUAAGCAGUCAAACUUCCAAGUAAGCAACCCAGGAUCAGAGGUUUGACUUCGGCUUCCGGUUGAUUGUUCUCCUUCUCCUUGUCUCUCAUUCAACUGCCAGGAUAAGGAGAAGCAAAUGGAUAAGAGAUGAUAUGAGAUACUUUUGCUUUUGAAGAAGUAACUUUCCACAGGCUUAUUCUUGAACUGUGCUGGAGGGUUUUCUGGUGCCCUUCAGAGUAUAAGGCCGACUCAAAAAUUUGAGGGUCAAAACAAGUCCAUCAAAUCUAGAGUACGUUCGACCUUGAUGAUAUGGGAUACUUUUGCUGUUGACGGAAUAAUGAAUGUGGUAUGGAAAGGUGUCGUGCUGUAGUGAUCUGUUUCAGCUCACCGUUGAACCUUCUGCUUCAAUCUUUUGCAUGGCAGAAGUGGUGUGCAACCUUUGCAUUUAAAUGGUCCUUCAGAACAUUCCUUCAUAGUGACUCAUCCACGCUUGGCAGCUUCAGUGUAAAGAGCCAAUAUCUGAUCAACUGUCAUGAGGUAUUUGCCGGUGGAAUUCGUGACCUUGACAGCAGUUGAGGAUGAGUACUCGAGAGCAAUGCUAAGUAAGCAACCAGGCAAAGGCUCCAGGCAGUCAGUUCCAAAUUGGAGGUUUGAUUUCAGGUUCCGACUGACUGCUCUCUUUCUCCUUGUCCUGCAGGUGUGGACAAGGACAAAGACAAAGACAGGGAGAAAGCAUGAUAUGGGAUACUCUUGCUUUCGACCCUGAUGAUAUGAGAUACUCUUGUUCUUGGUGUGGCUUAUUUGCUGAGGUAUUAUCGGGGGGAAAUAAAGCUGAGUAUUUCGAGAGGUUAUGUUGAGGGUGCCUUUUCGAAUGCGAGAAAGGGUUGAGCAUUUUUGCAGGUUUGCCUGUCCGUUGAGGAGGGAGGUCAAUGUAUAUAGGGAUUUCCCAAUAACAAGUAGUAAUGCUAUUCCUUUACCCUUCUUGGUCACAGCAAUGUAGUGGGAGCUGCCAGCUUCACGUGUUUUAAUUUUGUCAGAGCACUUUGAAAAAGUGGUAUGUGGUAUCUGGAAAGCUGAUAUUACGUGUGAAGAUUACAGACAAGCUUUAUCUAAGGAAAUCUGGCUCUCGAAGUUCUGAGAGUUGUGCCUCUUCGGUUUUCGAACAAGCAAUCCCGUCGAGGAUCUGACUCUCGAGAUUCGGAAAGCGGUGCUACUCCGGUUUUUGAGAAAGUAAUUAUGUUGGGAGUCUUUUCUCUCGAAUGUGAGUAAAGGUUGGACGUUCUUGCCAACCUGUCUUGCCGCAAAACACGGAGGUCGACACACAUAGGGACUUUCCAGUUGUCAAGCAGUGGUGCUGUUCCUUUACCCUUAUGGGUAAUAGUAGGGUAGCUGGAACUUCGAAAUUCUCGUGCCUAAACUUUGUCAGAGAUCUUUGACAAAGUUAUAUGUGGUACCCGAGGAGUUGAUGGUGCAUAUGGAGAGCGGUGAUUGAACAGUAAGAUUCACGUGCUUUCUACUUCACCAGAAAUCUUCGACAGAUUGCCCGUAAUUUCCGCAAAGCUGAUUGUGCAUGUGACAGGUGCUGACGAGGCUGAAAAAGCAGGUGCUUCUUCGAUUUCUGAGAUCGGCCCUCGUGGUCUCUGAGCAGCCCAGCUUUUGAGAAAGCAAACGCCUCUUCGAUUUCUGAGAUCGGCCCUCGUGGUCUCUGAGCAGCCCAGCUUUUGAGAAAGCAAACGCCUCUUCGAUUUCUGAAGCUCCGUCGAGUGCAGAUUUUUAUAGAGGCUGGCAUUAAGUUCCACAGCACACUUGAAUCUCUACCAGUAGAAGCUCAUUUCUUGCACUUCUAAGAUCUUGAUUUGUCUGACCUCUUCCUUCUUCAACACAUUUGAAAAUGUCUGGACCCUCCGACCGUCGUUUUGACUUGAACCUUGGAGAAGAGACAGCCACGCCUUCUCCAGACAACAUAUGGCGCCCAUCCUUCAUAUCCCCUACUGGUCCUCUUACCGUUGGGGAUUCUGUGAUGAAGAAUGAUAUGACCGCUGCAGUGGUGGCCAGGAACCUUCUCACUCCCAAAGAUAACAGACUACUUUCCAAACGGUCUGAUGAGUUGGCUGUUAAGGACUCUCUGGCUCUUAGUGUUCAGUGUGCAGGUUCUGUGUCUAAUAUGGCCCAACGCCUAUUUGCUAGAACCCGCCAAGUUGAAUCAUUGGCUGCUGAAGUGAUGAGUCUCAAACAGGAGAUUAGAGGGCUCAAGCAUGAGAAUAAGCAGUUGCACCGGCUCGCCCAUGACUAUGCUACAAACAUGAAGAGGAAGCUUGACCAGAUGAAGGAAUCUGAUGGUAAGGUUUUACUUGAUCAUCAGCGGUUUGUGGGUUUGUUCCAAAGGCAUUUAUUGCCUUCGUCCUCUGGGGCUGUACCUGGUAAUGAAGCUUCAAAUGAUGAACCUCCAAUGCCUCCUCCUUCUGGGGUUUUGUCAAGUACUGAGGCUCCGGAUAACCACCCUCCGGUGCUUUCUCUUUCUGGGGCUCUACCGACUGCUGAGACUUCCCCUAAGCAACCUUUGUGAAGGCUCCCUUUUGUUUGUUUAUUUUGACUCAUGUAUAUGUACAUAUUUGUGGCUUAUCGAAAAUAUUAAUAAAUAAGCUUUGCUUCAUUUCAACAUAUUGUGUUAAAUACACCAAAGCCUUCUUCAUAAAGUUCUUUGAAUUUUUGCUUUUGUUGAAACCUGUAUUGUUGAAGCUUUGUGAGUGAAGCAUGUAGUUUGAGGUAGUGUUCCCUUAAUUUCCCGAGUGAGGAAAACUUCUCGGUUGGAGACUUGAAAAAUCCAAGUCACUGAGUGGUUGUGAGACUUUUGCCGAGUAUCCAAGGUGCGUAGUAGCAUAUGGUGGGAGUCCCCCAAGUCUUCAGGCGAAGAGAGUUGCCGAAUGAGGUGUCUCGCGUGUUACUAAUGUUGUCAAAGUAACGAAUUCCUUGUUUCGAUUUGUCACACAUUCGUAUAUGCUUUAUCUAAAAAAUAUUUCCAACUUUUGUGUGUUUGAUGCUGCAUGCUAUUGACUAGACAAAAAGAUCAAAUGUGCAAUUAGUAGCUUUUCUCUCUUUUUCAUCUUUUCUUUGGUGGAAUUGCUUUUUCGUUUCCACUAAUCAGCCUGAGUGGAUGCAAGAUAACACCUUUCUCUAUAGCUCAGAUUGCAAAGUCGUCUUCAUGAAAGUUUUUCCUUAUCUUGUGAACUACAACAUAUCCAAAUUUGAGAGAUCCAUCGGAGUAGUACAACUUCAGAAAUUCAAGUAUGAUGAGUAACUGUUCAUCAAUGUUCUGUUAAUCCGUCAGACUUUGUUGUGAGCUUCGAAACUCCAUUUUCUCUUGUUCAGAUCAACAUACUUUCUUCAUCGAAGUUGUUCCUUAACUUGUGAACUACAACAUAUCCAAAUUUGAGAUCCCUCGGAGCAGUAUAACUCCAGAAAUCCAGGUAUGAUGAGUGACUGUUAUCAUUUGUCUGUCAACCCGUCAGAUUUGUUGUGAGCUUUGAAACUCCAUUUUCUCUUGCUUCAGAUCAGCAUGCUUUCUUCAUUGAAGUUGUUCCUCAGCUUGUGAACUACAACAUAUCCAAAUUUGAGAUCCCUCGGAGCAGUAUAACUCCAAGAAAUCCAGGUAUGAUGAAUGACUGGUUAUUAUUUUUCUGUCAACCCGUCAGAUUUGUUGUGAGCUUCGAAACUCCAUUUUCUCUUGUUCAGAUCGGUAUGCUUUCUUCAUUGAAGUUGUUCCUCAUCGACUCUUUCAUAACAUAUCAAAAAUUCAGGAUGAACUAACGGUUAAAUAUUUCCAGAUCUUCGAAACAUCACAACAGCUUCGAAAUCUGCAAGAAGCCGACUAUCAUGUUUGGAGCUUCAACACUUUAAUUUCCGUCGCUCAAACAGAAAUGGUUCCUUCUUGAAAGUUGUUCAUAUGCUCAAGAACUAUAGGGUGUCCAAAAUUCAGCUCCAUUGGAGAAGAGCAGAGGUUGCAGAAAUUUGAUAGAUGAAAGGAGGCGGAAGAGGGAGAGAGAGAAAAAGUCUCUUGGGUUGGAUUUCUAUUUUGGGGCAGAUUCCAAUUUUUGUAGCACCUUCAUUAUUGAUGAAUUGCUUGUACUUUUGUCCAUUAUGAAACUUUGGGACUUUGGCUUGUUGUUGGAUCUAUUAUAAUAUGUUUGGGAACAUAUAUAAGUGAAUAAAUAAGAAGGAAAAUUUUGGGCCCUUGUGGGUGUAAAACAAAAAAUGUUUAUGUUUACCCAAGUGUUUUUGUACAAGUUCAAGGGCAUCUUGGGUUUUGUGAACAAAAUUUGUUUAUUUGGAGCAAGGUUUUGUGUUGAAGCUUUGUAGGUGAAGCUUUCUAGGUGAAGCUUUGAUGGUGAAGCUUUGUAGAUGAAGCUUUGUAGAUGAAGCUUUCUAGGUGAAGCUUUGAUGGUGAAGCUUUGAUGGUGAAAGUAUGUAGAGGGAGCUUUCUAGGUGAAGAUUUUUUAGGUGAAGCUUUGUAGGUGAAGCUUUUUUAAGUGAAGCUUUUCGGGUGAAGUUUUUUUUUUUGGGAAGCUUUGUGGUGAAGCUUUUUAGGUGAAGCUUUGUGGGUGAAGCUUUGGAGGUGAAGCUUUUGGGUGAAGCUUUUUGGGUGAAGCUUUUUAGGUGAAGCUUUGUGGUGAAGCUUUUUAGGUGAAGCUUUGUGGGUGAAGCUUUGGAGGUGAAGCUUUUCGGGUGAAGCUUUUUGGGUGAAGCUUUUUAGGUGAAGCUUUUUUGGGUGAAGCUUUGGAGGUGAAGCUUUUCGGGUGAAGCUUUUUGGAUGAAGCUUUUUUUUUUUUUUUUUUUUUUUUUUUUUUUUUUGGCGCUUGACACGGUCUUCAUUUGCUUGUUUUGUAGUGACUGUGGAAGACGGAUUGCUUUCUGAUUGAGAAGGGUUCCGGCAUCGCUUGCUAUGAAUGUAAAAGAGUGAGGGCUGAGUUGGCUAAAUUACCUCUUUAUUGAAUUCAUUGCCAAAUGGCCUUCAUUACAUAGGAUGCCGAACGGCUAUAGCUCAACACUUGUACAUCGUGAGUCUAUUUGUAGUAGUACUUCAAGUGAUCAGCGUUCCAUGGAUGGCCAAGGGUCUUGCCAUCGGAGCUUCUAAGUGUGUAAGAGCCAGGGCGACUGAUGCCAAUGACUUCAUACGGUCCAUCCCAGUUUGGACUAAGUGUGCCUUCACUCGGGACUCUGUCGCAGAGUAAUCUUUUCUUUAAGACCCAGUCUCCUAUUUUGAAAGAACGAGGCUUGACCCUAGAGUCAUAAUAGUUGGAGAUGCGCUGCUUGUAGGCGACAUUCCUCAAGUGAGCUUGGUUUCUGUGUUCCUCGACUAAAUCCAAGUUGAGGGUGAGUUGUUUGUCAUUUUCACUUUGAAUGUAGUUCUGGACUCGGAAUGUUGCUUGCUCGAGCUCAACAGGGACAACCGCCUCUGUGCCAAAGGCAAGUGAGAAUGGAGUUUCUCCUGUUGAAGUCCGAUAUGAAGUGCGAUAUGACCAAAGAACUUGGGGUACAAAUUCUGGCCAACAGCCUUUAGCUUUGUCCAAGCUGGUUUUCAAAGUGCGCUUGAUUAUUUUGUUGAUGGCCUCAACUUGUCCAUUAGACUGGGGAUGAGCUGGAGAGGCAAAGCAUAAGUUGAUGUUGAACUUAGAGCAGAACAACCUGAACUUCUUGUUGUCAAACUGUCGCCCAUUGUCAGUGACUAUCGCAUUGGGAAUGCCGAAUCUACAAAGGAUGUUCUUCCACACGAAGUCUUCUAUCUUUGCCUCAGUAAUGGUUGCCAAGGGUUCUACUUCGGCCCACUUUGUGAAGUAGUCCACUGCAACGACUGCGUAACAGACUUUGCCCUUCCCUGCCGGCAUUGGGCCGAUCAAAUCAAGUCCCCACUGGGCGAAGGGCCAAGGGCUGAUCAUAGGAGUAAGAGGCUCUGGAGGGGAAUGAGGAAUAGUUGCAUAUCGUUGACAUUUGUCACAUGAGCGGGAUACUUUGAUGGCAUCCUGGUGGAGUGUUGGCCAGUAAUAUCCUUGGCGAAAAGUCUUGUGUGCUAGGGACCGAGAUCCAGCAUGAUCUCCACAGACUCCCUCAUGUAUUUCCCGAAGGACGAUUUCCGCCUCGGCAGGCGUAAGACACCUUAAGUAUGGCAGGCUAAAACCUCGCUUAUAGAGUUGAUCAUUGAUGAUCAGGUAGCGGGUAGACUUGUAUCGAAUUUGCUUAGCCUGGACUUUAUCAUUUGGGAGGGUGCCAUGAGCAAGGAAAUUAUAGAUCGGGGUGAUCCAACUAUCCCCCUGUUGUAAGUUGCAUACUUCUGCGGCCAUGGUGCUUGGUGUUGCCAACAGUUCGACAUGAAUUUUUCUUCCAAUCUUGUCUUCCACAGCUGAGGCGAGGCGAGCCAGGGCGUCUGCAUGACUGUUUGCCGCUCGAGGAACUUGGGUGAUCUGGUAGUGGAAGUGCUUGAGCAAAAGUUGUGUUUGCGCAAGAUAUGCUGCCAUGGAGCUGUCCUUAGCAUCAAAGUUGUUGGUAACCUGGUUGACCACUAAUUGGGAGUCACUGAAAAUAUCAAUUUGUUUAACCCCGAGGUGUUUGGCCAAACGUAAUCCUGCUAGAAGGGCUUCAUACUCGGCCUCAUUGUUUGAUGCCUUGAAUUUGAAACGAAGAGCAUACUCCAUUGCUACUUUGUCGGGCGUAGUCAAGACUAGUCCCGCUCCACAGCCCUGUUGGUUGGAUGAGCCAUCAACAUACAGACUCCAUGCUGAGGUCGUUGAUUCUACUUUCUGAGCUUCCGAUGGUAAUGAAGCUACUGCUUCAGGUGUAGAAGCAAUGUCAACAGGAUAUGUGAAGUCGGCGAAUGAAAUCUGCUACUGCUUGGCCUUUUUCGGCUGGUUUUGGUUGGUAGGAGAUGUCAAACUCACCCAAUGCUAUCGCCCAUUUGAUCAUUCGCCCAGACGUGUCAGGACUUUGGAGUAUCUGUCGAAGAGGGUGAAUUGGUAAGCACGAUGAUGGCGUGUGCUUGGAAAUAAGGGCGAAGUUUCCGAGCAGACAUGACCAAUGCUAGAGCCAAUUUCUCAAUGUUGGAGUAGUACCGUGUCUCCGCAUCUUGUAAGGCCUUUGCUAGCGUAGUAGACAGGGCCGUUCGACACCAUUGUCCAUUUCGAAUGAGAACAGGAACUUACUGGCUGAAGCUGAUACCGAUAGGUAGAUAAUGAGAAUGUCUCCUACUUCGGGCUUUUGGAGAGUAGAGGGGCUUUACUCAUGUACUCUUUGAGGUUUUUGAAUGCCUCGGCACAUUCAUCAGUCCAUGUAAUGUACUUCCUACUUCCCUUAAGUGCUUUAAAAAAGGGAGCACAUUUGUCUGUGGCCUUAGAAAUGAACCUGGUUAAGGCUGCCACCUUGCCAGUAAGGCUCUGGAUGUCCUUUGAAGUUACCGGUUCCUUCAUGUCGAGGAUUGCUUUGAUCUUCUCAGGGAUUAGCUUCAAUGCCUCGUUGGCUAAUCAUGAAACCUAAGAAUUUGCCAGAGCCUACGCCGAAGGCACAUUUGUUGGGGUUUAACCUCAUUCGAUACCUCUUCAAAAUAGUGAAAGUUUCAGAUAGGUUGGUGAUGUGUUGGUCAGCAUGUUUGCUCUUGACUAACAUAUCAUCAACGUAAACUUCCAUGCUCUUCCCAAUCUGCUCGGCGAACAUUGAGUUGACUAGUCUCUGAUAAGUCGCUCCUGCAUUCUUUAGGCCGAAAGGCAUGACUUUAUAGCAGUAUAGUCCUCUGUCGGUAGUGAAGGCUGUGUGUUCUUGAUCCGAAGGGUUCAUGAGGAUUUGGUUGUAUCCUGAGUAAGCAUCCAUGAAGCUCAGGAGUUCACACCCGGCCGUAGAGUCUAUAAGUCUGUCAAUAAGAGGAAGAGGGAAGCUAUCUUUCGGACACCCUUUGUUUAGGUCGGUGUAGUCAACACACAUUCUCCACAAGACCUUUUGAAGCAAAAGACUUUCUUUGGUCGGAUUUUUCUUAACAAGGACCACAUUUGCUACCCAUGUCGGGUAAUUGACUUCGCGGACAAAGCCUAUGCCUUUGAGUUUUUCAACUUCUGCUUUCAUUGCCUCGUAUCGUUCAGCGUCAUAAGAUCUUCGCUUCUGUCUCACCGGCUUGAUCUUGGGGUCAAUACUCAAACGAUGACAGAUGACAUCGGGAGAGAUGCCUGGCAUGUCCUCGUAUGACCAGGCGAAGACUUCAGUGUUCUCUUUCAAAAAAGAUAUCAAUGCUAACCGAAGGGGUGGUGACAAUGUGGUGCCAAUCUUCACCAUGCGAUCUGGAUAAUCUCUUGAGAUAGGUACCUUCUCCAACUCUUCAGCAGGUUGGGCUUGCUGGGUGAAAGAGUCAUCUCGAGGAUCAUCGGGUUGAUUGUUGCUAUCAGGAAGAUCCAAGUUCGCUUCAUCUAGGCUGGUCUUUGUGACUUGGUCAUGUACAGACAGGGUUUCCUUGGGUCCGGGCAAGUGUUGUUGCUUAACUGAAGUGUUGUAACAUGAUCGUGCACUAAGCUGAUCUCCUCUGAUGUAGCCGUUGCCAUGGGGGGUUGGAAAUUUCAUCAACAGCAUAUGCGUGGAUACCAUAGCCUUGAGAUCAUUGAUGCCUGUGCGCCCAAAGAUGACAUUGUAUGCCGUUGGGCAGUCAACCACUAGGAAGUUAGUGGUAAUGGUAGCCGUGUAAGGGCCUGUACCAAUAGUAAAGGGUAAAUGUAUGCUCCCUAAGGGUUGCACGAUAUCACCGGAGAAGCUUAUCAGAGGAGAAAUCGAGCGAUCGAGCAAGUGUUCAGCUACACUGAGUGCCCUGAAAGCUUCGGCAAACAUGAUAUUGACCGAAGCCCCUGUGUCUACGAGGAUUCGUCGAACAUCAAAGUUGGCUAUGUGAGCCUCCACGAUCAAUGGGUCGUUAUGAGGGUAGAUGAUGCCUCUUUCUUCCUCAGGGUAGAAACAUAUCGGAUCCCAGUUAGGCUUUUGAUACUUCCCUCCCCUGAUGUCUUCCACGUGAAACACUUGGUGACCAGGCCUCAGAAUUCGUUCACUGUUUUUCAUGGCCCUAUUGGAAGAUUCAGAUAUGGGUGUGCCGCCGCUUAUGGAAUAUAUGACAUUCACCUGGCGUUGGUUACGGUUAUCCCUUUGAGGGUGAAGGAGGAAUUGAUCAAUUUUUCCUUCUCGUGCCAAAGCUUCAAUACGAUCACGGAGGAUGAUACAUUUCUCGCUAUCAUGGCCGUUAUGCUCAUGGUAGCAACAAAACAUGCCCGCGUUAUUCGGGGGCGUGUAAUCUGGGUGCCUCGGCUUUGGCUUUGGUAUCAGGUGAGCUAUGCUGGGGUAAAUGGCCGCGCAUGUGGCAUUCAAGGGCGUGUAUGUCUCAUACCUUGGGGUAGGGGGUAUCUUGACGCGGGUUUGACCCACUGCAUUGACUGCCUGGGGGCGAGCGUUAUUGUGGCGAUACCCUUGGUUAUCGGGAUAGUGUCCCUUACUCUUUUUACUGAAAUGAGAGUGGUGAGGAUGGAAAUCCUUCCUCUUGCCUUGAAAUUGAUAUGUCUGUUGAUUCGGCGAAGCAUUAUGCAAGGCAUGGGGAGGUGCCACUGCUGUUUGGAAAGUCGAGGUCUUCUCAUUUAGGUGAGUCUGGCUUCCACCUCCCACUUGUUGAUAAAGGAUGGUUGUAGGGGGUUUCUCCUGAUAUGUCUUUGCCUCGGCGGAGGCAUGGUUAUAAGCCUGCGCCAUCACCUCAGAGUAAGUCUUCCAAGUAUUGGCAUUGAUCAUGUAUUUAAAGAAACAAUCACGUAGGCCUGCCGUGAAGGCUUUGAGGGCAGUCUUGUCGUCUGCCUCGGCACACCGGGAGUAUUCAUGGCUGAAGCGGCCAGCAUACAUACGUAAUGACUCGUCUGGCUUCUGGCGGAUAGUGUACAGGUCAUCUGCAGAGUGCAAGCGAUCGGUUUGGAAAAUGUGUUGGGAAACAAAUAGUUUCCUCAAUUCCUCAAAUGAGUCUACCGUCUCAGGUGUAAGACGACAAUACCAAUUUAGAGCUCCGCCAGAGAGGGUGGAGGGGAAGAGAAGACAUCGCUCUUCGUCGGUGUGCAUCCGGUAUGCCAUGGUGGACUCAAAGAGGUUAAGGUGCUCAAUCGGGUCCUCUUUUCCAGUAUAAAGUUGCAAGCCAAGCUUUUGCUUUGUCUUUGCUUGAAGGGGGGUGUUGAGGAUCCUCCUUGUAAGAGGGCCAGGCCUGGGUUGGUUCCAGUCAGGUAUUUCAGCCUGACGUUCAGCCUUCAACUUGUUUACUUCCUCAAGAAGUUGUAGGACAAGGGGGUCCUGAGCGGAGUUAUGUGUCCACUGGAGCUUUCUUUCGUAAAUCUCCAUCUCCUCUUGGAAUUAGGAAGGUUUGAUCAAGGGCAUGUGAUUUUUCCCUGGACUCGUUGUACUGGCUUCCAGGGUAUGUCUGUCGGAACACCUCUGAGUCCCCUGUACCCUCAUGUCUCUCUAGGACUUGUUGCCCCUUCCCCAAAUUGGUGGCCGGCUCGGGCCGUGGCAGGGGACCGAGUCUCUCAGAAAUCCUUGGGUCAUUGAUCUUUGAGCUUAUAUGGAUGGAAUUCUCUCGACGUUGCUUCAGGAAAUCCCGACAAUCGCGAAAGACGGCUUUCGAUCCUUCUGCCCCUUCAGCAAAGAGGUGUCUCCCUCCACUUCUCAUGGUUCGGGUCGAAGCAACUGGGUUAAGAGAAGCCUCAUGUUGAUUAUCAAGUCGAGGGGUAAUCUGUUCCCUAUCAGGGAUAUCUAUGUCGAAUGCAUGUGACCCUCCAUGUUGGAGGGCACCCAGUUGAUGGUUGACUUCCACGGGGGCAACAAGCUCGCGUGUCUGAGCUUGCCUAGCUUCGUGGAGUGUCUCGAAGAGCUUCUCAUAUUGCUCCUGGAGGACCUCAUUCCUCAUUGCUAUCUUGUUGUUCUGAGCUUCCAACUCAUCGACUUUAGCUUGAAGAAGAACUCGUUUUCCUUCCUUCUUUCGUUGCUUUCGCACUAUGUGCAAGGGGGGUGUCAUUCUGUGUGCUGUGGCUUCCUUCGCUUCCCAUGUUGGAGAGGGAUGCCUGGUCAAAAGAAAGUGUACGAAUGAUAGAAACCAGCUUGACACAGCUGAAGAGAGUAGGAAUAAGUGUCGUUUCCCACAGACGGCGCCAAAUGUUGAUGCACAAAAUCAGCGAAGACUUUGGUACAACAGAAAGUGUCAGGUUUUGUGACCUUCGCUUGGUUGCUUCCGUCACUAGUGAGGAUAAGUACGUAAAUGAAUAGAGACAGAGAAGCAAACACAGGAUGUACGUGGUUCACCCAGAUUGGCUACGUCCACGGAGUAGAGGAGUUCUUAUUAGUAGUGAAGGGCUUACACAAGUACAAAGGAUCAAGCUCUCAAUUUAGUGAGUUCUUGUGAAUGAUUUAACACAAAAUGGCAUUAGGCAAUAUUGUGGGGGAAUGACCCCUAUUUAUAGAAAAACUUGUAGCUUUGUCACAUUGACAUGUGUCAUGUUAUGAUUGGUUCUUGAUGUCGACACGUGCUGCGCUCUGAUUGGCUUCUAAUCUUGACACGUGUCAAGUAGUGAUUGGCCUCCUGGUCGGAGGGGAACUCUUCUGGGUCCUUGACAGUAUAGCGUUGGCCGGUGCUCGGUAGUUUCGGGAUUGGUCAAGUAUGGUACAAACAAGCUGCAUAUUCAGUUUUUCGGAAACUAGCAAACUAAUUAGGUAGGGGAAUGUUAUAACGUCUAUUAUGGGGGAAUACAUCUCCUAGCAAUCAAUCCUUGGGCGCUGAGAGAAUGUAAUAGCCCACAUCGCCCAAGGGUGAGGAUCUUGUAAGCCUUAUAUGUAUAUUCUCAUCUCUACCUAGCACGAGGCAUUUUGAAAGCAAUACCAGGAUGGGCGACCCACUGAGAAGUUCUCGUGUGAUUUCCCAGAAACAAAACCGUGAGGGCGUGGUCAGGGCCCAAAGCGGACAAUAUCGUGCUACGGUGGAAUCGAGCCCGGGAUGUGGUCGGGGCCCGAGGGUUACCCAUCCUGGGAUUGCUCUCGCGCGAACCGCUUAACUUCGGAGUUCCGAUGGAACCCGAAGACAGUGAGUAGCGCGAGAGAGCAAUCCCAUGAUGGGUGACCCAUUGGGAAGUUCUGAUCACGUGAGUUCCCAAAAACAAAACUGUGAGGGAGUGGUCAGGGUCCAAAGCGGACAAUAUCGUGCUAUGACGGAGUCGAGCCCGAGUUAGGAUGUGACAGAGAAGCCUUGCGCUAUAAGGCGUGCUUUGUAUCGCACUAUUUCAUUCUUCUCAUUACGCUUCCUCACGAAAACCCACUUGUAGCCAAUGGGCUUCAUGCGUGGUGGUGUAGGAACGAUAAGUUUGACCUGGAUUGCUUGUUUCCAGGUUCUACGUUGGCAUUCAUCGACGGAACGUGGUUCAAUGUUUUCCUUUUUAGUCAUUAAAACCCACAAAACAAAAGAAAUAAUAUCAUUUUUAAAUAUCUGAAAGAAAUAAAAGUCACUAUAUACGUUGCCCAAUUGAUCUGUAUCGAAGAUACUCAACAAUGCAAUUAAUCAGAGAACAUGAUUUUAAGCCAGUAAUUACUAUAUCAUUAUUAUUUGAAAUUGAUUUUUGUUGUUGGCUUAAUUUACUAAAUCUUUAUAAAGGAUGGAGAGAAAGAGUGUGGAGGCAAUAGAGAGAAGAGAGAGAUGUGUAAUUGUGAGAUGUGUGUUAUGACACCUAUUGUGCCUUUAUUUAUAGUAGUAGGAAAGGUAAAUUCCUUACCCUAAUAGGAUUACAACACUAAUAUGAUAAUGUAUAGUCUAAGAGAUAUCCAAGAUAUGAUAGGAUUUACAUAAUGACUUUCAUAAUCUAAUAGGACUGCAACAAUUUUCAUUUUUUGGGUCAUUUUUGGGUCAUCCUUUUGAUUAUGGUGCAGUGUUUCUUUUCUUUAUAUUUUUCUUAUAACAAAAAAGGGACUCCUUUUUGCCCUCCAAUUUAAUUGUUAUUCAUUAUAAACGUAGUUUACAUUCCAAGUUAAUGUGACAUAUGUUAAUCUCUCACUUUUCCAUUUUUUUUCCAGUGUUCUAAAAAACGGCCUAGGCGGCCGCCUAGGCGCUGGGCGCCUAGCAACCGAGUUGUUUUUGGGCAAAUCGGGAGGAAAAAUCGGGUUGGGCCUAGGCGGGCUAGGCGGCGCCUAGGCGGGCUGGGCGGCUAGGCGGGUUAGGUGGGCUAGGCGGCCCUAGGCGGUCCUAGGCGGUCCUAGGUGGCCCUAGGCGGUCCUAGGAGGUUUUUUUUAUUUUUUAUUUUUUAUUAAUUGCGUGCUUUUUUCUUUUUUGGUUUCAUGGUGGUAUACUUAUGGAAAUGGUGUAUCUAAUUUGCAAAUGAUGAAUUUACUACAAGUUCAUCCAAUACUUAUGGAAAUAGUGUACCUAAUUUGCAUUUUAUCAUUAUUUUAUUAUCCAUACAAGUAUAGUUUUUUUUAGGUGUCAAUAUGCACUUAUUUACAAGAUAUACAAAAAUUUACCUAAAUCCGCCUAGGCCGCCUAGGCGCUAGCCCGCCGCCCGACUAGCGCCUAGCGUUUUUUAGAACCUUGUUUUUUUCUCAAGAUAAACACGAAACUAACGAUGAGCAUGUAUUACCUUAAUUGCCUCCUCCUAGUGCUCACCGCCUUGUUGUAUCUUUCCGUUGCUGCCACCUCGUAUGGAGUAGGAGGAUGAGAAGAGCACAAUUACCCUCCCAAGAACCGUUCUCUAAGGGGUGGGUACUUCUCUAUUGACAACUUGAGCGACCCACAUUUGAGGGAGAUCGUGGAGCUUGUUAUCUCCAUGUACAAUAAGAUUUAUGACAAAACACUGGUGUUGCAAAAGUUAGUUCGGGGACAUUUCUAAAUAGUGGAGGGAACCAAUUUCAAGCUUGUCAUUGCGGUUGUCAAUUCUUCUUCGAUCUAUGGUGGCCCCAUCAACUAUGAUGGCGUGUUUACCAAUUGGGAGUGGAAUGGAGAGAAAUGGAAUUGAAUUCCUCCCCAAGCAUUCUGCAGUUUACUAGCAACUGGGGAAUCAGAUUUUAUGUGGGGUCCAGCCAAUUUCAGGAUUUCAAUUUCGGAUUUCUCUGGAUUUGGAUUCCCUCUAUAGAGGUGGUAAUUGAAUUCUGGGUAGAGAGCUCCAUCACGAAUCAAAAUUUUCUACCCAAAAUACCCAUGUAUAUUCCUAAAACAACUUCUACCUUCAUCAAUCACUCUCCUCUGUAUUUGUUUCUCUCACAACUCAUACCACCCCUUUGUAAUCUGAAACGCAGUAACACAGAAUGACGAACGCCUGCGAUUUGGAACAACGAUCGACCGGGGUUUGAAACGACGACACAACGACGAACAUGAUCUGGAACAACGAACGCCCAAAUUCUCAAGGAAAUUGCGAUUUGUAGACUCAAACAAAAGAGAAGGAAAGAACUUUUAUCACUUUCACCCCUGAAAAUUGGAUUUUUUUUGUUGAUGGGAUGGGUCGUGGCUUCGUAGUUCCUCCUGAGAUUGGAUAGUGGGGUGUGGAUACUGCGUACUGGUGAAAGAAAAGGGCAAGAAAGGGGAAAGAAAAAGAAUGGGGAAAGAAAGGGGAAAGGGUUGCAGAAAAAGAAUGCGGAAAGAAAGGGAGAAGAGAGAAGGAAGUAAAAUGUUAUUUAGUUUACUUUAUGUAGGUAUUUCUAAUAGGAUUUAGGGUGAUUAAGGGUUAGAAGCAAAUAAAAAUUGAUUCUUUCAUAUCAAAUUUGAAGUAAUCUAUGCAAUUAGGAAAAUUUAAAAGUUAUAUAAAAGAAAAAAAAUUAUUCUCUUUAGUAAAAAAUUAAAAAAAAAAUAAAAGAAUAAAAGUUUUACUAAAAAUAAUUAGCAUAUAAAAUAAAUUAGUUAAAAUAGGGGCACUUUAGUAAUCACAUUAAUUAUCAUUCCGAUUCAUGUGAAUUAGUAAAUAGUUUGUAUACAUCAAUGUCAUUCCUACUCCGAUUCUAGACAAUUUUGGUAAACAAAUUCAACAGGAAUCUAAUUCUGAUUCCACCUCAUUCCAAUUCCUCCUCAAUCCAAUUCCUCUUAAUCUGAUUACGGAUUAGUAAACGUGCCCUGAGAUCAUUGUGUUCGAGAAUCUUUGGAAGACUAUUAGUAUUAAGGAACUGGAGUCCUUUGUUCGAAUUCAAACUAAUAAAAAUUAAAUCCCGUCCAUCUUAUUCAUGGUCUUUGGGGUCGUUUCUCACUUCUUUCUUAUAUGAUUUGGAGCAUAAGAAAUUAAGCAUCUGCUAAUAAUAUACAAGUUACUUUUACAUAACAUGUCAUAAGUUCGAUUUCUGACGUUGGUGAAUCACAAAAUGGUGGCCAGAGAAAGCCUGAAAUGCUUACAUAACUCUUUCCAGUUAAAAAAAAGAUGGAUUACUGUCAAAGCGACGAACUGAUCCUUUUUUUUUUUCUAAUAAUAAAAAAAACAACUCAAUUCAUCACUUUUCUCGACUUCUCCUUGAACCACUUUUUUAUAUUUUUUAUUUUUUAUCCAUAACAAACAAUAUUCUAUUUUUGUGAAAUAACCAACAAAUGAUAUAGAAAAGGGAGAAAUUAAAUUAAUCAACAAACACGAAUAUAAAAAGUAAUUUCAUUUUUUAUAAAGAUGUCUCCACACACAAAAAAAAGUGGGACUAAUCACCAUUCUGAGUAGAGUGGAACGGCUUGACUCUGCUACGUAGUGCCCUCAUAAAAAUUCCGUCAAAUAUAAAAAACGACACGUAGCUUUCUUUUUGUUCAGGGUGUUUUUAUCCAUAUAAUUUGGCGAAGCCUGUGACGGCGAAAAGAGGAGGAGGGACUGGAUUUUACAGUCGUAGACAACAUCAACUUCUUCUUCUUCCCCGGGUCGCCGCCGUACGUAAAGCACGACUCUCUCCUUAUAACUCGCCCCGCAGCCGUGACCUCUGCCGGGUAAGAGAUUUAUUGCCUCUUCUAUUUUUAAUUCCGCGUCGUUCUCUAAUUUAGGAAUUUGCGUAUUGAGGAUUUAGGGAUGUUGCCAUUACAAACAGAUGAAUUCGAAAAUUUCCAACUUGUUCAGUGAAUGGUUUUCAGCGAUUUUUCUCUGCUUGUUAAUUUUCAACUGUAAUCAAUUUGUAAUAGCUUCUGAAAAGUGAAAACAAAGUGAGAUUAGUAUUCACUGAAGAUUCAAAUGGACAACGAAACGAUGGAGUUCUGUCUCUGAAUAACUUCUUGCUCAGUGUAAAGUCUGUUGAUCGUUGAUGCUUUUGUUCUAACGAAAAGCGGGUGACCGGAAAAACCAAACAAUUAAAUGUGCAGAUUAAGGAAUUAACAGGUUCCAUAAAAUUGGGGAAAUCUCAUAUUAACAAAGGGCACCGUAUAAUUUUUAACCGAGGAAAAUUGGCUUAGAAUUUCAUCCCGCCACAUUUUCCAUUCCUGGGUCUCUGCCUGUUCUACAUUCUAACAUGCAGUUCCAAAUGUCACUGCUGGUUUAAUUUCUUUAGACGAUACUUUUCAUUUUUGCUGCUGCAGAAUAUUUUCGAAAUCAUUUUAAUUGAGCUUUUGGGAAGGCUUUGUUUGACAGAGCGGAAAGCGGACUGUUUGUCGUUGGCUUCAGUGUCAGCACUCUGGUUGAAGUCUUUAACAUGGUUAGCCUUAUUUUAAUCACAGUUAUAAUUUUGAUUGUUAUUUGUCUUCUCUGUCAAGUAUGGUUAAAUUUUCUUUCUGUUUUUAUUCUCAGGAAGUGUUCAGGACGGCCAUUUUGCAGCCUGGCCCACCUGAAAGGUUUGCCCUUCAGACAGUUCAACAAGUUAUACAACCUCAGGUAACAACCAUAGAUCCUUCAUGGUCAGGGUUCUUCUUAUUUAUAUUUUUUGCUUCCCAAAGAUUAAGUCCUGUGUAAAUGCAUGCUUAGCUAUUUAUGGCUUUGCUUCUCAAGACUGAAAUACAGUUGUGAUUUCAUUCUCUUUCUGUUUGCUACAUAUGGAUACACUUUUUUUGCUACCUUUGUCCUAUAAAGACUCCAAUUUCUAAUUUUCCAAUGAGUCCUUUACUUGAUUCUAGGCUUUAUCCUUGGUGUUCAGGGGAGCAUUGCUUUCUUCACAUAUAUCCUGAUUGUACAUUAAUCACAUAUUUAAAUCUUUAUUUUUUCCGAAUUUUGUUGUUUGGUCAAUAAAAAUUGGGCCAAUUGAUUUCAUUUCAUCAUGACAGAAACAAACAAAGUUAGUCCAAGAUGAGAAUCAAUUGUUAGAAAAUAUCCUUCGGACAUUGCUUCAGGAACUGGUGGUAUGUUUCUCUUUCUUGUAUUUGUGAACAGAAUAUUUUGAUUAUUUGAUUAUACUUCUGAAGUUUACUGCAUUUCUAGUUUUUUCUGCAUAUGUUAGCAUGGUGGUCAUCCACAGGAAAUUAAUGUUUGUGAUACGCUAAAAAAAGGCCUUAUGCUUAUUUGACGUCACAGUCAUGUAUUCUAUCUAAAUCUGAAGUAAAGUAGACCUUGUUAUAUACUUGAUUCCCCAUCAACCUGAACCCUCUUUACAUAUUUGACAUCAAUACAUAAUUCUCUCUCUUAUGCAUUUGGUUUUAUUUGUAAUUUUAUGUCACGUAACUUGAGAUUCUCACAGUCUUCUGCAGUACAGUCUGGGGAGCAGAUAAUGCAGUAUGGUCAAUCAAUUGAUGCUGGAGAAACUGCCCAAGGACAUAUUCCACGUCUUCUUGGUCUGUACAUGUUUCUGUUAAACUAUUGCAAGCACUUAGUUGUACGUAUCUAAUGUUCUUGACUUGCUUUUUAGAAGAAGCUUAUACACUUUCUAAUAUAAAAAUUCCUACGUGUUGUGUUGGUAUUUUGAUAUGUUUCUUGUGGUGCACUCAGCAUAAAUCUUUAAACUCUGAGAAUAAUUUAUACAUUGAUGUUUUUCUGAAAAGAAUUCGUAUUGCUAUUAAUUUUUGUGGUUUAUCUUUUGACAUUUAAAUCGCACCUAACUACUUUUUGACAAAAUUCAGAAUUGACUUCUCAAUUGUAGACCUGUAUAUCCUCUAAUGUAAACAAUAAGCUUUUUUAGGUCAGUUCUUUGCCUUACAAGAGCUACUCUAUGGAAAAUGGCUUGUUAUAUUGGUUUUAGUGAAGAAGAAAAUUGACGAGUCUUAUAGAAUGCAUCUCUCUCUUGCUCUAUCUCCACAUAUAUACUACUCUCUUCCUCUGCCUUAUACAGCUCCUUUUAUCUUCUGAUGCACCAGACGUUGUGUUGUAUCUUUGUGAGAAAGAGCAUGUCGAAGGUGGCAUGAUCUUUCAGCUGUUGGAAGACUUAACAGAAAUGUCAACUAUGAGAAAUUGCAAAGACGUUUUCGGUUAUAUUGAGAGUAAACAAGAUAUAUUAGGAAAGGUUUGUGCUUUUUAUAUGUCAAUGGAUUAUUUUUCCUUGUUUUGUUUUUUUAUUGUAAGUUUCCCAUUUUCCUUCUCUUUUACAUCCUGCUGUACUUUAUAUGGUUCUCCUCAUGCAGCCUGAGCUUUUUGCGCGAGGAAAACUUGUGAUGUUGAGAACAUGCAAUCAACUUCUUCGUCGUCUGUCAAAGGUGGUGUUACUAAUCAUAGUAGUCAUCAUUGCUUUUACAGCCAACUUUCAUUUUUGAAACUUUCCCCUCUAUUGUGAUAUUUGUUUGUAUUUCAAACACCAAAAAUUGGUAUGCCAUUCAGAAGUCACAUUUAAAGCUGGUUGUAUAAUGUUUAUAGAAAAUAACAGGUGCUCAGGUUAAUAUGUGUUGUACUUGUAAUUAUGUAAUGGUGGUUACAUAUUUGACAUCAUAGACUUGAGGAUGGGGCAUUGUAUAUUUGUGCUAGGGAGGUUCUCAUGUGUUUCUCACAUUGCUCCAUUGUGUUCCUCACAUUGCUUCACUGUGAUAAACAAAAUUUAAAAUGCGGUAUGCAAUCAUAUUGAUAUUGUUUUUCUCUCUUUUGAUUUAUGAACUAAUUUUUUGUUUUUUGAAAUUAAGUGUUUUAGCUAUUGUUGUACCACUUCAAGAAGUCCUUAUUUGAUGAAACUAUAUCCACUUCGAUGAUUAAAUUUUUCUUGAAAAACUUAUUGUUAUAGUCAUGUUGUGUACUAAUUUCUUUGAACCUGACUCAUAGGCAAAUGAUGUGGUAUUUUGUGGACGAAUUCUAAUGUUUUUGGCACACUUUUUCCCAUUAUCUGAGCGUUCAGGUACCUGUUUGUCUUCAACCCUUGUCUUCACUUGUAAUUUAAUUGCUCUCGACCCUGGUGUUCAGUUGGACUAUAUAUUCAUGUUGCUCUUAUGGUUACUGUGUGCAGCUGUUAAUAUAAAAGGAGUUUUUAACACAUCAAAUGAGACAAAAUAUGAGAAAGACCCCCCUGAUGGUACAUCCUUGCUAAUGACAGUUGCUUGAUUUCUCAAUGUUGAUGUCAACAUAUUAUUACACAUAUAUCUGUAUAUAUAUCUAGUGUGUAUAACUUUUUGGUGAGUAUAGAUCUCUUAAGCAUAUAUGUUAUCCGUUUUAUAAUUUUCAGGAAUUUCCAUCGAUUUCAACUUUUACAAAACCUUUUGGAGUUUACAGGUAAACUAUGCAACUUGGAAGCAAUACGGAGCUAGGCUUUUUAGUUAUGGUUUCCUCUUCUCCAUUUUGAUUUGAGUUUUGAGCUUAGGGAGUGUCUAUAUAUAAUGCUAAAAGGUUAUAUAGUUUGAAAUGUUGUUAAAUAUUCAUACUUUGUUUCUGUAAUUCUUCUUGUAAACUGAUAUCAGUGAUAUCAUUCAUUAUGCUAAAAACUUGUCUGGAUGGAUUUUCAGGAAAGCUUCUGUAACCCUCCUUCCUUAACUCUUGGUCCUACCAAGUGGAAGAAAUUUACAUCCGGUUUAAUGGUAAUAACAGUCUUCUGACAUCUUCGUUUUAUUUGUCUUUAUGGUAUGCCAGUUUCUCUUUAUUUUAUUAUUCACUCAAAUAUUCUUUUCUUGAAUGUCUUGUUAGGUUGUUUUGAAUACCUUUGAAGCUCAACCAUUAAGUGAUGAAGAGGGAGAUGCCAAUAACUUGGAGGAGGAAGCAACAAAUUUUAGCAUAAAAUAUCUUACAAGCAGUAAACUGAUGGGUUUGGAGGUUAGUAAUGCUGGAGUGUUGACUUAGAGUUUAAUUGUAGCAGACCAUUAUUUUGAUUAGGAAUCAAAUCCUUGAAUUUUGAUGUUUUCUGGUGAGCACAGUUGAAGGAUCCCAGUUUCCGACGUCACAUUCUUGUGCAGUGCCUCAUAUUGUUCGAUUAUCUGAAGGUAGAGUUGAACAGGUCUUAAUAUUGAUUUUGGGGAAAUAUCAUUUCACCUUCCUAAUCUCUGGGCUUGUUAUAAUGGCCCUUUUCAACUUUCUGAUUGAUCUAUUUUUCCCUAUAGUACUCUAAUAUGGUAAAAUUAACUCUUAUUUUCUUGUAGGCCCCGGGAAAAAGUGAAAAAGAUUUACCUUCUGAAAGCAUGGUCAGUGUUGUAGUUAUAUCUUGUUGACUUUUGUAACUUUCUUCCUUCUUCUUUUGCUUUCAUUAGAAAAGAAAACAACUUUCCUCAAGUGGUGCUAUCUUUAGAAAGAGAAUUUACCUCGGCGGUGCUGGUUAUAACAAAAGAUGUUGACAAAAAAAAAAAGGAAUAAAUUGAGAUGCCUUAGAUAUGUUAUGAUUUUGUUAGCCUUGUUUAUCUCCAAAGUUAGGAAUUUGGAACAACGGUGGAUUAGAGUACUACAAUCAAAUCUCACCUGUAACUUUAUAUCAAUGUUCUGUGCUUGUGUUCGCUUAUGAAUGCAGUAUUACUAUUAUCCCAGUCAUUUGCAUCAGUUUUGUUAUCGUUUCUUCUCAAAAAAAAAAUGCUAAUUUACUCAUGCAAUUCUAUAAGUUUAUUGUAUUCAAAAGCAACUGAUGGUCCCUGGGUAAUUGAGUUGUGCUUGGGACUUUAUCUUAUCUUUAUUAAGAUGCAAAUGGACACCGCUUACAUUUUCUUUAAGCAUGAAAAAUUAAUGAAUUUGUGUAGUAUACCUUUCAUUGUGAACUGGUGGAGAGGAUUUACUUUCAUUUGGACACAGUUAUAGCAAAAGGUUUUGUAUGAUGCUAUAAAGUCAGCUUUAGAAUAUCUGUGCAAUUUAUGAUGUCUGCUAAAGAUUUCCUUGUUGAUUUCAGAAAGAGGAAAUAAAAUCUUGUGAGGAGCGUGUCAAAAAGCUGCUUGAGAUGACUCCGCCCAAAGGGAAGGAAUUUCUUAAUAAAAUUGAGCAUAUAUUGGAACGUGAAAGGAAUUGGGUGAGUGUGUUAUCUGGCCUCAGCCAUGCUAUUCUCAGAAAAUGUUAUCGUUGUUCUUGAGCAUAAUAUGCAUUUAAUCUAUUCUUAGGUGUGGUGGAAAUGUGACGGUUGUCCCCCAUUUGAGAAGCAGCCAAUGGAGAAAAAGGUGAUCCAAGAAGGAGCCAAAAAGCGGUAUGCAAUUCAGUGGCCUGUUUGUCUGGGUCCUGCUAUUCCUUUUAAUGUGUUUUUUAAUAAGAAAAAAUUGAACAAUUUUAAUUUUUCCUUUUGUGUAAGGUCUACAUAAGAAUAACUGAAGCAGAUAGAAGUAAAUUCAUCCUUUGUUUUCUAGCCCUGCUGGGCAAUUCUACUUUAGUUAUUCAUGGCCUUGGGAGUAGGUUUAUCUUUUAUGUAUGUUUUAGAUCUCUUUAUUCUAAACAGUGAUGCAUAUUUUGACUUGUCGUUUUGAUGUUUCGAUUUUUUUUGUUUCUGAAGUUUUGGGUUACUGGUAUCGACACAGGUGUAUAUUGUUUAAACCUUUGAUGUGUAGUAUUAAAGACAUUUCUAUCAGAUCUCAACUUUAUCUCUGGAAAUACUAAAGACAUUGCUGUAGAAAACUUCUAUGGGAAUAUUAACAACUUCAGAGAUUCCAGUGAUACUACCAUUUUACAUAACAGAGCAAGAACUUGGAAAUUGGUCAAAAUUGCGGUGACAUCUUUGGAAAUAUUAAAGACAUUCCACUGGUCCUCAAUGAUAUUGUACGAAGGAAUAAGAUUUACACAUUUUUUUGGCAGAACCCUGCCACCCAUAUGCUGCCCUGAUACCAGCUGAAACUUCUGUACUCACUUUCACUAAGAAAAAAGGAAACAAAACUAGACUGUUUUUGAGAUGAGGUCUUCUGACCAAGUGCAGAUGUUUUGCCUUGUGGUGGAGAUUGUUUCCUCUUACUUGAAUAUACGAAAUGAUUUGGUUUGAGAGAAAGACAACCCUACCCUCAUAAUGGUAUUUAGGAUAUUUUAAAAUAAGCUACAAUCUAUGCAGAAAAAUAAACAAAUUCACAUGCUAGAUGAACUCAUGGAUUUUUGCUGGUAUAUAUACCCAUGCCUACAAAUUAAAAUUUUUGAAUUGUUCACCAACUUUUAUCAGCCUUCUGUUUGUUGUGACCUGUGAAGAUAUUUAAUAAAUUUGCAGUGCUCAUUAUAAUGAACUUUUUGGUUUUUUUUUUGUCCUAAAUUCAACAGUAGGCCGAGAUGGAGAAUGGGAAAUAAAGAACUAUCUCAGUUGUGGAAGUGGGCAGAUCAGAAUCCGGUAUGCUAGAUUGCUAUUUAUGACAAGAUUGUUGAAAUAAAUCUGGCUUCAAACAUGACAUUCACAAGGUUUUGAAUAUAUGCAAUUAUUUUUUGCAACCUCCAAUGUUUCACAAGCUUCGCUGAUUCUAUAAUUAAAUAUUGAGAAAAAGUUUGAUUUAUUUUCAAGAGUGGCGGUGAUCAUCACGAGGAAAUGUACACCCCCACACUCACACGGUAUAUAUAAAUAAUUAUAUUAUCAGCUGUUAACAGAAAAAAGUUAAUAGCAUCUUGCUGAUUCUUCAUGGUUCAUACCUACUGUCCUUUCUGAAUUAGUACUUAUAUACUCAUAGAAUAUCAGUUCAGUUCUUACUAUAAAGAAGACAAAGAUUACAGAUCAAGUUGUUGAGGAAGAAACAUGUAAAUAUGUAGCAAUAUGUUCCUUUCAGUAUUGUUGACCACAAAAUUAAUUUGAAAAUUUUGGUGUUAUAUUGUUUAAUAGUUAUUUUUUCCUUGUCUAGAAUGCUUUAACCGAUCCUCAACGUGUUCGAACACCUUCCAUCACUGGGUACUGGAAGCCCUUGGUUGAAGAUGUAAGUACUAUAUACUUCUGAAUGUCCAAACUAGCAUGUUGUGUGUGUGUACUCGCGCUCACUCUUGUCCCUUCUCAUGCUAUGGAUUUUUUAUGUUCUCAGUAACUGUUUAGUAAGAUGAAUUUCUUUGAGUUACAGAUGGAUCCAGCAGCUGGAAUAGAACCUGAGUAUCACCACAAAAAUAACCGAGUGAGUUUUCUUCUGGAAUUUUUGGUCAAAAUCAGAAGACAAUCAUACAGAUAAAAGUUGGGUUGCAUUUUGACUAGGGUUCAUUGUUAAUAUAGAGUGCUAUUUUAUUUAAUAUCUGUUCAACUGUUUCACCAUGUGAUUCAAUGUGCAUUACCUCUUGCUUUUGAAUAUUAGAAUUGUUGAAACUCAAACUAGUGUUCCACUUAAAAUUUGAUUUUGUUUUAUCCAAUAGUAAAAUUUCAACAUGCAGGUUUAUUGCUGGAAAGGUCUUCGAUUUUCAGCUAGACAAGACUUGGAAGGAUUUUCUCGAGUAUGAAUAUAACUAUGUUUGCAUAGUUAAUGUAUUAUUUCAUUUUUCACUGAGCUUUACACCACUUGUGUGGAUGUCAUUGCAGUUUACUGAACAUGGUAUUGAAGGAGUUGUACCGCUGGAACUUUUGUCUCCUGAGGAGCGGUCUAAAUACCAAGCUAAACCAAAUGACAGGUCUAAACGUGCUAAAAAGGAAGAAUCAAAAGGUGCUGCACAUCAAUUAGAAGAAAGUCAGGUAUAUAAUCGGCAGUGUGUUGAAUUUCUAGUGUUUUAUUGUUGACGUCUUUGAUUCCUGUAGAAAGUUGAAUAUGCAAAUGAGGAAAUAAUAUGAAUAAUGUGUAUGUGUUUGUGUGUGCGUGUAUAUUGCCGAUGAGAUUUAGAAAGAAACAUCUUUAUUAUUUAGACAUAACGUUACAUGGCUGCAUAACACUUGAUCUGUGCAAUGCAUCUUCAGCCUAAAGAUUGAAAAAAUGAGAUGAAAAAUGUUAUAAACUUUUGCCCCUUUAUUGUUGUAUAUUUCGUGUUCUUUUUUGUCUUGGGGUAUAGGUUGUUUUCAAAUUUGAGAUCAAGUAAAUGCAUGUGUACGUAUAUGGAAGUAUCAGCAUUACUUGUACCCCAAGAAUUUUGACAAUAUUUUUUUCCCUGAAGAAUGCUACACCUGCAAGUGAAUUAGACGGUGAAGCCUCAGGGACGCCAAUGGACACUGAUACCAUUGCUGCAGCCGGCAACAUGUCCCAAGGUGGAAGUCCAAUCCCUGAUGAACAUCAGAAGCAAAGCUCCGAUGCGGAUGUGGGUCAAGAGGGAGGUCAGUUGGAAGCAGAUGCCGAGGUCGAGGUUGAGGCAGGGAUGCUUGAUGGUGAGGACGCGGAGGCUGAUUUGGAUCCAGUUGGUUAGCCCGUUCAAAGUUGGGAGUUUGCAUAUGUAAGAAUGAAUAUUUGAUUGAAAGUAGAUGACAUGUUUGGAAAUCCUAGAUUAGCAACAAAAAUUCCGACUAAUUUUUGUAAUGAGAUUGUAUGUUCGCCGGCCAAUGAAUGAACCACUCGAGGUUCCGUUUCUUCCGUUAAAGGGGAUUCAUGGAAAAAAUGGAAUAUAAAGACGUGUUCCAAGAACAUCAUUGAUACGUUGCUUGCGAGUCCCUUGGGCGGUCGCAGUCAGCCAUGGGAAAAGUAAGCAAAUGAAGGCAAAUUAAAUGCCAUUCGGGUUGUUUGAUCUUCAAGCUACUUCCUACCGGGUUACAUAUCACACAAGGAUGCAUGUCUGCCACAAAUUUGACCUACAAAUCAAACCCCCCGUGACCUUUGUUCAUUAAAUGAUCUCUUCACGAGAUAUUUCUUUUCACUUGUAAGUGAGACGUCUUAGAUUUGAAUCUCGUAGAUGAUGAAUUCGAUACCAAAUUAAGUUACCCAUUAUGUGAUUUAACCGAACUUAUUUCUCUUUAGUGUAAAAUAUAUCGUUGUAUUCAAACAAAAAAAAUUAAUGAAAUGCAUAGCGAAGCUUGCGUAUUAUUUACACAAGUAUCAUUAGAUUCAACCCUACUACUUAUCAAUUACAAAUGAAGGAGAGAAAUAUCAACAAACAAUAGUAUUUAGUAACAAAGUUGUUAACAAGUUUAAGAAGAAAGCAACAAUAUCAAAGUGUCAAAGAUUUGUAACUCAGCUGAUUAAGAAUAUUUUUGUACCGACUUUUGAAUUAGUUUUUUUUACUGGUAUUUAUUAAUUGUGCAGUAAAAGUAAGACAAACAAAACUCGAGAUCUUGAACAUAAAAAAAAAAAAGGUUCGAUCGAAAAAAAUAAAAAAAAGGAGUAGGAAUCCGAGUGAGAAGAAACACACACUCUGACACCCACGACAAAACACAAAAUUCCUUCCUUUCUUCCAAAUUUCCAAUUCCAUUUUACAUUUUACAUUUUACAAAUUUACCGCACAAAAUCUAAAACCCUUUUCCCUUUCGGAUUUUCUUUCACCCAAAGCUUCACUCCACACCACCAGAUUCGUUGAUACCCCUCCGUCUGCUUUCUGUUUGUUUCCCGAGAAAGUUUUUCCAUGUUCAAUUUUUUAUUGUUCAGAUUUGGAUUAACUAAUGGCCCCUGCUUCCGAGGUUCGUUGACUUAACUUACGAUUUUCUCAAUCUUUGAUCUUUGAUAAUCUGGUGGUACAAUAGUUCAGAUCGUUUGAUUCGAAAUUUGACAUAUUUUUUUUUAUAUUAUUGAUUCAUUGUUUUAGCUCAAAAGGGUUGUCUUUGUUUUCUUGGUUAAUUGAAUUAUGAUUGUUGAUUGUUGAUUUUUGAGUAGGAAAAUCAUGGAGUUGAAAUUGGAUUUGGAAUGUGAUGUUUGAUUGGGGAAAGUGGAAUUCUUGUUGUGUGCUUGAUGAGCCAAGAUGCUGUUCAAAUCUAAGAUAAAAUGGGUUGCUCUCUUUGUCCUCAUUUUAUCUUUUGCAUCAUUGCUUCGGCACAUCUCUAUAGCAAGAUUUUCGACUGUCGAUUUAGUCCAGUAUAGCGCAUUGACCGCAUUCCAUAACGAUUUCGAUUCUAUCUCUGGGAGGCAGGUGAGAUUUUGAGUCAUUUCUCUGCCCAUCAUGCGUCUAUUUCGAGUGUAUGUUCUUGGUUGUCUUGAUGGGCUUCUUUUGUUUUUUACAAUCAUGCAGAGUGUUCCUAAUAAGAAGCUAUGGGGGCCUGUGAAGACCCUGCAGUCUUUUCAGCCUUAUGCCAACCCCCGAGGCAACUAUCCUGGUGAUCAUCUUGCUCUGUUUCUUGCAUUUGUGUAUUUUCUUAGUUUGUUCGUUUCUAGGUUUAUCAUAUUCUUGCAUGGUAUAGUUUAUGAAUUUGACAAUUUGAACCCAUUGGUGAAUCCAUUCCCUCGCAUGCAUGACCAUCUCGAAGCUAAUGGUAACUGUUAUCUUUGUUAUACUGAAUUUGAAUUGAGUUCCCUCAUUCUAUGUUCUUUUUUGUCACUGGAGGAUUUGAUAACCUUGAACCAUUCAUAUUUUAGUUGAUUGAAUACUUUUAUCUUUUUACAGUUCCAAAUGAACAGAGCAAUGGCUUCAUUUAUGCAAAAAUAUUUGGAGGAUUUGGAAAGAUAAGAUCUACGGUAAGAUUUGUCAAAUAUGUGAAAGUGAUUCUGUGAUAAUUUGUAUGUGGUGUUCAUAAAUCUUUGUUAAUUUUCUAGAUCUGUGAUCUGGUCACCAUAUCCAGGCUUUUAAAUGCUACUCUUGUCAUUCCAGACAUUCAAGAAAGUACUCGCUCAAAAGGCAUCAGGUUCUUUUUUAGUUUGCUACUUCUUUUAUGCCAGUUUGCUGCGAUCAUAUGAUUCAUUGCUUCUUAUCUCUUUUGUUUUUUAUGACUUUGCCAGCUCUCAUUUCAAGAGUUUUACAUAUCUCUACGAUGAGGUGCACUUUAUAGCAUCUCUAAAAAACGACAUAGUCAUUGUGAAGAGUCUGCCAGAUAAUCUGAAGGCAGCAAGGAAAAGAAAUGAAUUCCCUUCUUUUAGACCCAAGAAUUCAGCUUCUCCAAAUUUUUAUAUCAAAGAAGUCCUACCAAAGUUAAAGAAAACCAAAGUUAUCGGCUUGAUCAUUGCUGAUGGUGGAUGUCUGCGGGUAGCUGAUUUUCUACUAGUUUAAUAGUAUAGCCUAUUUCAAAAUGUCAUCUGCUUGAGAAAAUAUGCAUAUUCUGUUAACAUUUAUAACCACAUAUUGUCAUACUCUUUUUUGCACUAGAACUGUCACCUAUGAACCAUUGUCUAUGAAAAUAAAUAAAUGUUAUCUAAGAACCACUUAAACAUUCAUUCUCUGUCGCUUUCCUAUUGGUUGAUAGGGAUCAUUCAUUCGUAUAUGAUUAUGUUAGUAGUGAGUCUGUUUUGUUUCUUUUCACUUAGUGAUUUCUGUGUUACAAGCAUGCAUGCUUGACAAUUAAGUUUAAGUGUUGAUGCAAUAUAAUCCUAUUUUCAGUCAAUCCUUCCACCAAACAUGGCCGAGUUUCAAAGACUUAGAUGCAGGGUUGCCUUCCAUGCACUUCAAUUCAGGCCAGAAAUUCAAAUGCUUGGACACAAGAUGGUGGAGAGGUAUGAAUCUAGCAACGCACCUUUUUUCCUGAAGAUUUGAACCGAUAGAGUGAUAUUGGUGUUUAGAGAACUUGAUUAGUAUAGACUGCUCUUAGACCAUCUGAUGCAAGAUGUUUUUAAUUAAAUAGAUUUUAUUUGAAGGUUACGGUUGAGUUGGAAAGAUUAGGUAAUAGAUAGAGUUAACUGGAGGGAUAGAGUUAACCAGAAGGAUGGAGUCAACAGGAGGGGUCGAGUUAUGGAGUAAGGAAAUUUUAUCUUUGAAAGUCUUAGGUCUGGCUUUCUACAAAUUGGAUGGAAGUUUGUAUAAGGAAAAUGGAAACUAUAAGCCUAAUGGAUAUGCCUAGGUUUUCCAAGCAGUCAAAGUGAACACAUCCUCUUAAAGAGGUUCAAAGGCCACGUGAAGUUUCCUAUAAUAUCCGCUAGUGUGGUCAUAUUCUUCUAGGAAGGGGUGAGGUUUUGGUUUUUGCUUGGGGAUUGAUUCUAUCUCAUCAGAGUUUAGGGAUUAUUACUUUCGUAUAUAUUACUAGAUUAGAAGGCAGUUAUGUGAUUAUUUUGUGUCAUAGCUUUUAUUUAUGUAGCUUCUGUAGAUGAUGGAUCUUUAUUAGUUUCCUUUUUUUUUUUUUUUUUUUUUGAGAAGAAACGAUAACACUUUAUUAAAAUAAAAACAAGAAUUAAAAAAUAGUGCAUAAGAAAUCCACCAUAUAGCAAAGCUAGCUAAGACCUCUCAAAUAGAUCUGAUUACAAGUAACAAUACCUCAACCAAAAUCAUUUUACGUGGCUUCUGGUGGACCCCGUUCACUUCUUGUAAUAAUUUACUUCUAAGAACUAUUUUCCUUCAGUUGAUCAAUGUGGCUUUUAUACUCCAAUAGGUUACGUGCAUGGGGUCAACCUUUCCUAGCGUAUCAUCCUGGUUUAGUGAGAGAAACCUUGGCAUAUCAUGGCUGUGCUGAACUUUUUCAGGUAAGAUGUUUUAGCCAGUUUUAUCUUUGGUAGUUGUGAAAAUAUAAAUUGUUGAUCUACAUGCUUAGACUUUAUCAUAGUAUUAGAGUAAUAGAACCUAAGUUUGAACCACCUCCAAUUAUGAAAUUCCAAUAUUAAGUUGAGUUCCACACGUUGGUCCUUAGUGAUGGAAAGAGGUUCACAUGUGAUGGGUGUUACAACUUAACAUAAUUCUGUCCAACACAUACACACAGCUUAAACUUUCUGGUUACAAUCUUUUUCAUAUCUCUGCCUGUGAAGUCUAAGUUAGUGUUAAAACGAUUGUUCUCCUUUGUUCCUUGGUUAAAAUCUAAGUCCGAUAAAAAUUCAGUUUUGGAGUUCUCUCCCUCCUCUUGAGUACAGGUGGUUUCUACCUUAAACAACUGCAAAAUAUUAACAGCGUGUCCAUUCACUGUCAUGGUUAUCAAAGUUAUCUUGCUAACUUGCUACUUUUCUGUAGGAUGUUCACACUGAACUCAUACAAUAUCGAAGGAAACAAAUGAUUAAAAAGGGCAUUGUUCAUGAGGAACUAAGCAUAGAUUCACACUUGCGUAGAGAAAAUGGCUCAUGCCCGCUGAUGCCUGAAGAGGUAAGCUCAGUACUAAUUUGAGAUCCAGCUUAUGUAUUUGUAAAUUGUAAGUACUGUUGUGUGGCUUUUAGUCCAGCCUGAUGCUUCUUUCUCGUGGUUCAUUUUUUAUUGUUUUGAAAAUUUCACUUUUCAAUGCCAUAAGAAUGUCUAGAAGAUUAGUAGUGAACUUCAGUGCUGGUUGUGAAAUUAAGCUUCCUUGGCACUCACUCAACACUGAAUUGAUUUUAGCAGUUCAGAAAAAGCAGAACCUCAAGCAUCCUUCUAUCAAUUUCGCUUUUAAAUAUUAAAUAUUAACAUUACAAUGGGAGUGGAAUUUGUGUUUCCAAAAAUUUAUGCUCAAGUGAUAGGUUUAUUAAGUCAAGGAUGCAGACCAGAAUUGGCUUCGGUUACUAAAGAGUUUAAUAAUUGCUCUCUAUCUCAAAUACUGUGGGAUUUGUUAGCAGCAGUUAAGUGAGCUAGGUCUAGAAUUGGCUGAUGUAGCCAAAUCCUAUUGGGAUUUUCCUUUCUAAUUUGUUGGUGGACUUCUUAUCCACUUCUGUGUAUUUCUCUAUUCUUUAAUAAAAUUGUUUCUUCUCAAAAAAAAAAAAGGAUGCAGACCAGAAAAAACAGUAGAGGAUGGAAUGACGCUGAGAAUUUAGUUAAUCCAACACCAUCUAAUUCAUAAAAAUAACUUUCGUAUUUUAAUUACUUGAAAAUUUUAUUUUAAAGGAGAAAAUGAUGAAUAGACAUCGAAUAAGAGUAAGGACUGAUCCUUUCUAAAGGUAUCCACUCAAAAUAAGGAUAUGUGUCACUGUGAUUUCUACAUUACCUCCUUGACUGGCCCUAAUUGGGUCAUCACCUUGACCAAAAGCAUAAGAUAAAAAAGGGAGGGGAGGGUAGUAGAAGGAAAGAACCUGGGCUUGAAAACCCUGUAUAUUAUCUCAAGCUUGAGUUCUUAUUCCGGGGCUUGACUCAAGCAUGUUAAUACGUUUGUGAACAAGCUUGUGACUAAGAAUCAUGGUAUAAAUUUGAUCUUCUACUUAUUGUGUCAUUUUCCACUGUAUAAUUUCAGUUUUGGUGGUGCAUUGAUAACGUAUGGGCUCAUUGAUGAUAAUUAAUAAAUCAAUCUAUCUACAUUUCCGUUGUUCAUUAGCUCAUUUAUUCUUCUUGAGACUUUCCCAGGUUGGAAUUCUUCUUCGUUCAAUGGGGUUUUCUCCUAAAACAAUUAUAUAUCUGGCUGGUUCUGAAACAUUUGGGGGUCAACGUGUUCUGGUCCCUUUGCGUGCUAUGUUUCCCAAUUUAGUGGAUCGCACUUCCUUGUGCAGCAAUAAAGAAUUGGCUGAUAUACUUGGACCUGAAACACCUCUUCCGCAAAAUCCAUUUCAUCCACCUCCAGCAAAAAGCGAGGAACAACUUAAAGAAGAAUGGAAGAAGGCUGGUCCUAGGCCUCGGCCUCUUCCUCCACCUCCUGGUAGACCUAUCUAUCAACAUGAAAAAGAAGGCUGGUAUGGUUGGAUUACUGAGACUGACAUCGAACCAGACCUUUCUGCUUUGGAUCUGAGAAUGCAAGCACAUAGACUAAUUUGGGAUGCUCUUGAUUAUAUUGUCUCUGUGGAAGCAGACACAUUCUUUCCUGGUUUUAACAAUGAUGGCAGUGGAUGGCCAGAUUUUUCAAGCUUGGUCAUGGGACACCGUUUGUAUGAGGUUGCUUCUUCUAGAACAUACCGACCAGACAGGCAAGAGAAGAAAAAAAAAGAAUCUAAUUCGACCUUUUAUAUAUGAUUGAUGAUCUUGUUUAACUUUGUGUGUCCUCUUUUCGAACAGGAAAGUUGUAGCACAACUUUUCAACAUGACGAGGGACAAUGUCUACCAUCCCAAGCAUAAUUGGACACUCUCAGUGCAGGAACAUCUUAAGAAAAGCUUAAGUGAGGAAGGCCUUACAAGGCAAUCCGUUGUGUCAAAGCCAGCCUUGUUUAUUUCACACCCACUCCCCGAAUGCUCUUGUAGAAUGUCUUCUGCCGAUGCUCCAGUUCAUGUAAAAGGUAAUGAUGGCCGAACUGUAUAUGGAGGCGAAGAAGAGUGCCCGAAGUGGAUGAAGCAUGGUCAAGAAGUUCCUUUGGAUUCAGCUGGGGAAGAGGGAGUGGAGGACAAUGAAUUGUCCCAGUACGGAAGUACUCUGGACGAACAACCAGAAUCAAAUGACAGUGACAGAACUAAUGCUACUCUCUACUCUGAUCAGGACGAGGAAAUGGACCCGAAUGACUAAAGUUGGAUCUGCAUACGAUCCAGUUCCCAUCUUUUUACUAUACUGCGGCAUUCAGUUUCCAUCGUUUUCUACCAAAAUGGAAAGUUUUGGAGGUAGAGAUGACAUUAACUUCACACAAGACGAGGAUCGAGGACAAAUCGAUGCGCUUGGAGUAAGCCAAUCAGAGUUUGUACACCGUUUUACUGAUAUAAGGUUUAUAUUCAUAGAAAAAGUUAUUACUUGUUAGAUAAGCCACAUGUAAUUUUCUUGUAGAGAACAAAUGACGAGUACAGGAAAUGAUUCAUUGCGGUCUCUCAGAUAAUUUUUUGUCGAUACAUUUCAUUUCGAAAACUGUUCGCUUUCCGUUUUUUAAUCAUGCACUUGCUCGUUUGUUGGCCAGAAUUCGAGCAAAAUUUAGCGGAUUAAAACACAUGUAGCUCACACUGCCUCCUAUUUGUUCAAAUUUUGAACUACAAUGUUAGAGCUCGUUUGGAUGUGCUUUUAAAAUGAUUGAAAGCGCUUUUGAUGAAAAUGUUUUUAGAACCAAUCUUUAGUAAAAAUACAAGUGAAUUCUGAAAAACAUUUAAAGUGCUUCUUAGAAGAAGUACAUAAUUGGUGCUUCUUGCAGAAAGCACUUCAAGUGCUUUUAAAACCUAAAACAAUUUUAUCUAAAAGCACUUUCAAUCAUUUUAAAAGCACAUCCAAACGAACCCUUAUGUAGGAGAGGCUCCUCGCUGGUGCACAGAGGUCCAUUUAGAAAAUUUACUUCGCGGGAGAAAUAUGCAAACAAUCGAGGCAUAUGCCACCACCGCUCAGAGCAAUUUGUGGCUCUCUGUAUGUCACUUUCUUUAAAACUCAAAAGGGCAAAACUACUUAACCCGGAAAAAAUAUAUAGCCUCAUCAGCUCCAAAUCUAAAGCUAGUUAGAUCGAAAAGAAGGAAAUUCAGGCGGCAGCUGCAUGCUUUCUCAGAAGAAAACAAGUCUUGAAUACAGAGAAAAUAUCACAUGCAUACAACUGUAAUUUGUAAUUUCAUAUAAAAAGUUAUACAGCCUCUUUGUUUACAAGCAAAACAAAAUUUCAAGUAAUUUACAUCCUACCGAAACCUCCCAUCAUAGUCCUGUAAGUUGAUACACAUACCAACCCACUCCAGCUUACUGGGUUUCCUCUGGUACAUAUUCCGCUGCCCUAACACCCACCGAAAUGUGAGGUGUCCACACAAAACAUCAGUUUACACAUGGAUCACUUCUAAAUUGCACAACAUAAGAAAACCACACUAACAGAUUACGUUUAUUCGUUACCAGGAACACUUUAUUCAAGUAAUAUCAAACACGAAGUAUUGACCAUAGUAUAGAGAGGUGAAAUGCGCUACCAAAGAUUGCUAUGCUGCUGCUUCUGUGGGCUUCUCAGCAACAGUGGGGCUUGCACUUUCGGCUUCUUUUAUCUGCCUCAUGAUGUCUGACUUUGUCUCAAGUAGGCCUUCUAUUUUGCCAUUGAUCUUCUCUAGCUUCUGUUUCAGCUUUACAACAUCACUGCCUUUGUCCUUUUUAUCGACUUUCCUUUUCUUCUCGCCCUUCUCCCCCUUCUCCCCCUUCACCUUUUUCUCUUUAUCUUUCUUCUCUUUACCCUCCUUUCCUUCAUCUUUCUGCGUCUCCUCCUCUACUUCACACUUUGAUUCCUUUACAUUUUCUUGAGUGUCAAUCUCCCUGGAAGUAACUUCAGCCUUGACCUCCUCCUCAUCCUCUUCAUUUUUGUGUUUCUUCUUUUUGUCCUCCUUGUCUUUCUUCUUCUUUCCUUCUUUUUUGUCAUCUUUUUGCUCAUCGCUCUUCUUCUCUUUUUCAUCAUCACCGUAUUUGUGUUUCUUCUUUUUAUCAUCCUUGUCUUUCUUCUUCUCCCCUUCUUUUUUAUUGCCGUCACCUUUUACUUCAUCACUCUUCUCCUUUUCGCCAUCACCACCCUUGUGUUUCUUCUUUUUAUCGUCUUUCUUCUUCUCCCCUUCUUUUUUAUCAUCGUCACCUUUUACCUCAUCACUCUUCUUCUCUGUUUCAUCAUCACCGCCCUUGUGUUUCUUCUUUUUAUCGUCCUUUCCUUCAUCCUUACGCGUCUCCUCUGCUUCACCCUUUGAUUCCUUUACAUUAUCUUCAAUGUCAAUCUCCCUGGAAGUAACUUCAGCCUUGACCUCCUCCUCAUCCUCUUCAUUUUUGUGUUUCUUCUUUUUGUCCUCCUUGUCUUUCUUCUUCUUUCCUUCUUUUUUGUCAUCUUUUUGUUCAUCGCUCUUCUUCUCUUUUUCAUCACCACCAUCCUUGUGUUUCUUCUUUUUAUCAUCCUUCUCCUUCUUCUCCCCUUCUUUUUUAUCGUAGUCACCUUUUACCUCAUCGCUCUUCUUCUCUUUUUCAUCAUCGCCCUUGUGUUUCUUCUUUUUCUCAUCCUCGUCUUUCUUCUUCUUUCCUUUUUUCUUAUCAUCACCGUCGUUUUCCUCAUCCUUGUCUUUCUUCUCCUUCUUCUUCCCUUCUUUUUCAUCAUCCACCUUUUCCCCUUCCUCUAAAUCUUUACCUUUGUCCUUCUUAUCCUUCUUCUUUUUCUCUUUUUCUCCCCCUUCUAUAUCAUCUUCUUUAUCUUCGUUCUUCUCCUUGUUCUUUUUCUUCUUCUCUUCCUUGUCCUCCUUUUUAUCUUCUUCACUCUCUCCCGCUUCAUUAUCCUUCUCUUUCUUCUUUUCCUUCUUCGUUAUGUCUUUAUCCUUCUUCUUCGAUUUCUCCUCGUCUGCAUCCUUAUGUUUAUCCUCAUCCUUUUCAUGUUUCGACUUUUCUUUUACCACUGACUUGGUCUUAGAUUCAAGUUCCACUUCAGUCUUCUCCUCCUUCAGGUCGCCUGGUUCUACAUCCUUGGUCUUCAUCACCAUAAACCGUUCUUCCUUUUGAACCUUUUCAAUUUCUUCUCGUUUAUAUUCAGUUUUGUCUUCCAUCUACAGACUAUCUGCCAAAACUCGAAACGCAAAACAGUUUCCUCCGAACCUGAGAUCCCUAAAACAAAUCAACCGUGCGAUCAGUAAUCCGGAAAACAAAUUCAGUAGAUUAAAAAAAAAAAAAAAAAGAAAAAAAGAAGAAGCUGAACUUGGUGAUGUACAAAACGAAGUAACUAAAAAAAAGUAUAAAUCCCUUCUGCUUGCUAAUACUCGGCACAUUGCAGAGACCAUGCUUACUUUCAGUUCACCAUCACAAAACACAGAGUACAGAUCCGGGACAAGGUUAUGCAUAUCUUUGGCGGCAAGCAACAGUCGAUAAAGGGCGAAAGAGUGUUCCAAAAGAAUCUAGCUCUAGUUAACAAUUUGUUGUCAUUUUUCGAAAUACACAGCCGAUACACACAGGGCUUAAGAUUUCCCCAAACUUGCAAAGGUUCGGAGGAUGGAACACAAACUCUGAGUUCCCUAAUUUUAGCCACUUUAAUCGACCCCUACUUUGUCCUACACUUAAUGGAAAACCUAUCACUUUCAUCCAACAGAGAGAUUUCCAUAUAAACAGUCAGGAUUCUCAAGACACGAACACGAUUCUGUUGUAAGGGAAAGGACAGCAUAUCAAAUCGAUUUCUGAACGGUGAUUUGAGCACAAUUCGAUAACGUUUUUCUCCAAAUUCCCACAAAGUAAUUAAAUUGAUACAAUUGAACGCAAAUGAGUAAAUAAAGCAACAAUGUUGUCCUCAAGAAAAUGCGAAAGCAGUACACAAAUCAACACAAUAACAUCAAAUAAAAGCAACAAGAAAGAAUCACAAUUUCAUAACACGCAUUCACGAUCGAUCACAAAAACUACACGUUUACUAAUCCGUAACCGGAAUUGAUUGGAGUAACGAAUCGUCAGUACCUCAAGGAAGCUCUGGUUUGACUGCCUCCUUCUUCAGUAACUUGAGAGAGGAAGAGAGAGAGAGAGAGAGAGAGAGAGCUUUGGAUUCCUUUGCAAAUUGUGUUAGCUUCGAAUCGAGUCGAUGUGCAAAUUGACCGAUAUAUAAACAUAAUUGGAAAUACGGAAAGCUGUUGGGCAUUGGAUUGAUUGUGCCACGGGCGGCCACCUGUCGGUAUUUUCGUCAACACGCAAAGGACCGACACCUUCUUGAUUCUUCCGCGUAGUGUGCGUACCCAAUACGUGGCGUUUUGUUUUGUGUGUUUUCUCCGAAACUCCAACGUCGACGACUUGGAUCAGAAAAUUUACUUAGCUCUUAAGUCUUCUUCCAAGUCUGAACCCCUCACCCCUCCCUACCUUCCGGUCACUUUCACAUCGCAACCUCCCUCCUUGUUCCAAUAGUAUUUUUUGGUCUGUAUUUUUAGGGUGCCAAACUUUUAAUCAAUUUUGUACUUUCCUUCUUGCCCUUCGUUAAGAGAACAUUUUUUGAAUCACGUUGUACGAUUUGCACGUUUUAAAUGUAUUUAUAUGCGUAAAUUAACAAAAAGAAAGUCAAAUAGUUGAAGUAAAUGAAUAAUUUGUCUCUAUUGAAUUUACAUUAAGAAUAGAGAAAAUAAUAUUUAAUAAACAACUUAUUGAAUCACAUUAUUGCUAGCUCAUUGUAAGACUAAGCUCACUCCCUCCCCCUUAGUGUAGAUAAUAUCGUUUGUUCGAAAGAAAAAAAAAACAAUCAUUUGACAACUAAUUUAAUCACAUUAUUGCUAGCUCAUUGUAAGACUAAGCUCACUCCCUCCCCCUUAGUGUAGAUAAUAUCGUUUGUUCGAAAGAAAAAAAAAAACAAUCAUUUGACAACUAAUUUAAUCAUAUUAUUAUGUGCGUGCGAAAAACAUUUUUUAUAACCAGUAUUACAUGCCUCUUAAGAUGUUUUGAAGGUGUUUAAAAAUUGAAAAAAAAAUAUUUAAUGAACAACUUGUUGAAACACAUUAUUACUAGCCUAUUGUGAGGUACUAAUUAUAAAAUAAAAAAAAUAAUGUACAAAAAAAAUAAUUAUUAAAAAAAUACUUUUAAAAUGACAAAAAUACUCCUAUCAUAUUUGAUGCAUUAUUUUUGGCUGCUUUGUUUGAGCAGCAUUUCUGUCCACUUAUUUUUUUGUGAAGCUUGUGACCUCAAAAGGAGUUGUUGUUGGCUUUAUAUAUAAAGAUAAGCGAAUUAAAAACAAAAUAAAAUUAUAAAUUUUGGAUGUUGAUCGAGUGAACUUCUUUCACCGUCCAGUAUUAUUUUUUGAAGAACCAUGAUUGAAUUUUUUUUUUUCUCUACAUAACCAUAGUCCAAGAUUUGAGGUUGAAUGCACAAGGAUAGGUGCAAUCGGACUGAACCUUAGUCAAUGAUUCAUGUCCUUUUUAUCAAGAAUUUUUAACAUUCAUUAUGAACUUGUAAGUUUCGAUGAUGCAUAAUAAACUUAAAAGUUAAGUUAUCCAAAUUGGGUUUGAUAAGGAACAAUUUGAAUGUUUAUAGGUGUACUAAUAGAUUUUUAACCUUCUAAAAAAACUAUCAAAGAAGAAACUAAAUAAUGUGAAUUUAGAAAACAAUUGAGCGUAAUUGAAGGCACCUUAGUUUAAUAUAAAUGUACUUGUGGAACCUCGUAGGUCCACCGCCAUGACCGACAUAACACAUGCUACAUAGUUUUUCAAUGGCUGUCGUGUAAUGUAAGUAGAGAAAAACAGCCGAAAUCAAAAGGCCACUUUCGUCAUUUAAAAAUAGAAAGUGCCACUUCUUUCUCUUUCAAAUUGCCUAGGUUAAGGUCAUUUCGUACUAAUAGUAUUUUUCUUUAUUUUUGUUUGUAAGUGAUAAAUUUUAAGUUUAAUUUUCUUAAAAAAUAAAUUUGUACUGUAUUAUUGCUAGUUAUUGUAAAGUUUAAUCCACUUCUUUACGAGAAGAAAUUUUUAGUUGUGAUGAGAAUAGAAGUGGUACACCACGUGUUUUAAUAGGAGUGAUAGAAAAUUUUAUUUUUUAAUUUAUUAACAUUUUAGCAUAUAUAUCUCAAUAUUUAUAUAGUGAUAAAUGAUGUACCACUUAAUGUACUGAUUACACUGAAAAAUCUAUCAUUCAAGUUGAUAAUAUCAUUUUUUGAAAAUUCCCACAUUGAGUAACAAAUCAAUAAUAAUUUAAAAAUAAAAAAGUAACAAACGAAUUUACUGAAAACAAAGUGAGAAAUUUAAAACAGAAAAGAAAAUCACGUUCUGUCUCUGAUCUGUCUCUCUCCCCUCAGCUGCAACAUCUCCAGCGCAAAAAGCAUCGUCUUUCUUUCUUUCUUUCUUUCCUUCCCUUUCUUUUGGUUUCGCUCUCCCUCUCCUCUGGAAACCCUAACAGUGGCCUGGUUUUUUCAAUUAACCAGGUCCCUCACAGGGAAAAAACCUUCAAUUUGUUUUUCUUAAAUUUUUAGUUUUUGUUAAAUUUCUUCGCAAGCUGUAGUUUUUCUUUGUUGCAUUUGUCAGCUGCCCUCGACAAUGAACGACCUGCUAACGGUAAUGUAUUUGAUUUUCUUUCAUUAAUUUAUGCCAUGGUUUGUAUGUUUGGGCAUGUUUGGAGGUUUUGAUGCUCUGUUUUUGUCAUGAUCCGGCUGCGUUUGAUGUUAUUGGAUCUGCUUUUUUAAUGAUUUUUUUUGAAUUUUUGGCUUAUGGGGUUUUGGUUUUCUUUACUUUCUGUUUGGUUAGUGAGAAAAAGGAGGGAAAUUGAUGGAAGAAUUGAAAGUUUUUGAAUCAUGGGAUUUUGCAUUGUGCUUUAGGGAAUGGAAGUGGUGGGUUUUACUUUGUAGAUCCACAAAAUCAAUGUGGACUUUGGUACAACAGAAAGUGUUAAGUUUGUGAUAUUCGCUAGAUUGCUUCGGUUAGUGUGGAUAAUUAUGUAAAUGGAUAGAGAUAGGGAAAUAAACAUAAGAUGUACGUGGUUCACCCAGAUUGGUUACGUCGUGGAGUUCUCAUUAAUUGUGAAGGAUUUACCCUUAGGAUCAAGCUGUGAGUACUAGUGAAUGAUUUAGGACAAAUGACAUUAGGAAAUAUUGUAGAAGAAUGAUAUCCUUUUAUAGAAGAGAGUUUCUAGCUUUGUUCUGAUAUUGACACGUGUUGUGUUGUAAUUAGCUUCUGAUGUCGACACGUGUCGCACUGUGAUUGACCUUCUAGUUGGAGGGAAACUGGUCCUUGAUGGUAUAAUGUUGAUCGGUGCUUGGUAGUUUUGGAAUUGAUCAAGUAUGGUACAAACAUACUUCAUUGCAGCUCAAUCAACACGAGCUACUGCAGCUUUCGAACAGUUUGGUGUUACCCUAAACUGAGAAAAUUGAACAAUUUGGUUUCUUUUCCUUUUAUUUUCCUGUGUUGUUUUUGGUUUCUCAGCUUUUGAACAGAGUUCAUCGGCAUUGGUGUUUGAAUCACUUAAGAUCUUUAUAAACGAAACUUGUUUUAAUUUGUGAGAAGUACUUCCCUUUUUCUCAUUUUUGGAAUUGAAAUGAUUAACGAUAAGGACAAUGAUGGAAGUUGCAAAGCAAGUAUUGUACUUUUACAUAAUGCAGAACUGCUGAAUAACACUUGACAUAUACCCAAGCCAUUUAAUCUGCGAUUGAGGCUCGGUUUUCCUUUCUAUGUUUGGUGUUUGCUUGUAUAUAUUAAUUAUAUACCAAAAUGUGUUCUUAGAAAUUUAGUAGUGUCUUGUCGUUACGAAAGUUCGAGUCAUAGUUAUCGUGCCUUUUCUUUCCUUUUAUCUUUCUUUCCUAAACCCCAUUGAACUCAAGCAAUCGGAUUUGGGAUUAAGGUUUUGUUCAAGUACAUUUAUGACCUAAUUACUGCUUGCAGGAUUCUUUUGAGAUCCCUCGGGGUCAAGCUUCGAGAGAUCAGGAUAUUGAACUAGGAGCACAUGCUUCAAUGAAUUCUGGAGAACUUGGUUUGGAGAAUUUCUUCAAAAAGGUGCUUUAGCUUCCUUGACUUAUUUUUCUUUAAUAUCCCUUAAAUGCAUGAAACGCAAUUAUUUCUCUUUCCGUUACUUUUUCCAUAGAUAAUUAUUCUGUACAUGGAGUAUGUGUUAUGUUUACUUUCUGUUGAUUCUGUCUAAUGCUUUCAUGAUUUUUGUCUCCAGGUUCAAGAGAUCGAGAAGCAAAAUGAGAAGCUUGAUAAGCUUUUGAAAAAGCUCCAGGUAUUAUGCUUUCCAAUAUGUUUUCCUUACCUUACCAGCAACAUGAAGGUUUUUUUGUUAGCCUCAGCUGUCAUAGUUCCUAAUUGGUUGGGUUCUCUUGUCUAAAAUGUAUAGACUUACUACUCUUAACUUGGUCUAAUUUCAUGUUGUGCUGAUGACAUCAGCCGUUAAACUUAAUUGAGAGUGAAUUUACUUAUCCAAGAAGCUCAAAGAUUUGAGUCCUGUUUUGGUUUGAUAAUGUUGUCGUCUUUGUAAUUGCAUGCAUGAUGCCAAUAUGUGGUGAUAUCAUUAACGGAUUUCUAGUUACACAUCGUUUCAUCAAAUUGGGAAUUUAGUGAUAAGGUUAUGAACAAGUAUAACUGUAACUAAACCGAACAUAUAAACGUCAUACUGCAGUGUAGGUAACAUAGAAUUGUGUAGCAACUGGACUGAGUAUUGUUUAUUUGCAAAAUAAUGCAUCAUCCAGAUUGGUAAAUUUACUGUGUUUGUACCCACUAAUUUAAAUAUUGUGAAACUGUUAUUUUGGAAAAUUCCUGUGUUUACAUUUUUGUGCCUUAUGCAAUAGCUUAAAAAAAUUAGAGAGCAUUAUAGUUGUAAUGAUUCUUUGAGAUAUAAAAAAUAAAAAAUUAAAUGCACUUUUUUUUAUCACUUUUAAUCGCUUUUGUCUGCAGGGUGCACAUGAGGAGUCCAAGGCUAUUACUAAGGCUCCUUCAAUGAAAUGUAAUCUCAAACUUGUUUAAUUAAUUUGAUAAUCACGUGAAUCUUUCAUGCUUAUAUUCGUAUUUUUCUUUUAUGUUAUGUAUGCUUGUUCCUUUCAUAGUUCUGUAAUGAUGUCUAUGGAUUAAAAUGAAGGGAGGAAACGAUAUGCAUGCAGGACAGGAGAUGUCAGAAAUUAUUCUAGCGUGUUUUCUCAUAAUUUUUGAAAAAGAACGCCUGUAAUCAGUUUACCUCUGCUGGUGUUCUUUCUUCUGUUUGCAUCCAUCAACUUAUUUUUUCCUUCCUCAUUAACCCAACAAAGAUGAUGGAUCCUUUCACCAUGUGCAGCAAUCAAGCAACGGAUGGAAAAAGAUGUCGAUGAAGUUGGAAAAGUUGCUCGUUGGAUAAAGUCAAAAAUUGAAGAACUUGACAAAGAGGUAAAACCUGACUCAACAGAAAGCUUGGUUUUAUUUCUGUGGUUCACUGUAAUUUUGCUUGUCGGACUAACCUUUCCUUCUGGGUCCAGAAUUUAGCAAAUAGACAGAAGGCUGGUUGCGGAAAAGGAACAGGUGUAGAUAGAUCCCGAACAGCAACAACCCUGUAAGUUCGUAUUUCAACAAUUUCCUUUGAAAUGCCUCAUGCCUAUUUCCCCUCAUUUCCUUUUGGUAUCUCCUAAGUUGUGGGAUCACCAAUGAUUUUCCCUCACACAUGCUUUGUUUGAGAAAUCUUUUAUUAAUUUGUCAACUCAACUGAAUCCAACAUUGUCAAGUGUCCACUGUUAUCUAUUGUUGCAGUGCCUUGAAAAAGAAAUUAAAGGACAAGAUGGCUGAAUUUCAGGUAGGCCACACGCACCCACACAUGCAUUUUGUUUUAAUGUCUGUUUCUUUAUUUCUUUCAUCACUAAAUUUUUUAACUUCCAAAAUAUGCAGACUCUAAGGGAAACCAUCCAUCAAGAGUAUCGUGAUGUUGUCGAGAGGCGAGUUUUUACAGGUUUGAACCCCUCACUUGCCACUCAUGAAUCGCUGCUAUUUUUAGAACAUCUACUUGAUUUUCCAUGAUCUGAUUUUCUAUUUUAUUUUUCUUGCUUUUUGUUAUCGUUAGUGACGGGCGCAAGAGCUGAUGAAGAGGUAAAGCUUAUUGCACUGUUGAAAUAUGGUAUAUCUAUACCAUUGUGAAAGCUCAUUUUCUAAUCAUUUAACAUUGUACAGACAAUUGAAAGAUUAAUCGAGACAGGGGACAGUGAACAAAUUUUCCAAAAGGCAAUCCAGGAACAAGGGCGAGGCCAGGUUUGUCAAUUUCCCCUUUUUAUUCUAUGCCCCCGAAUAAGCACAUUUUAUGAUCAAAAUUCUGAAUUCUCUCACAAACUUGACAAACUUUUUGACACUUUGAACAAUUAAUUCCAAGCUCCUAACUCCUCUCGUAAAUUUGUUAGCUUGGGUUGUUGAAACAUUGAAUUUUCUGAUUAAGAUUGAUCACAUCCAAAAUUGUGUAUCAAAUUGUAGAUAAUGGACACUCUGGCCGAAAUUCAAGAGCGACAUGAUGCUGUUAGAGAUCUUGAGAAGAAGCUUCUCGAUUUACAACAGGUAUCUUCUUAGUUUGUGCAAUGAUGCGUACUCUCUGAUGAAGACAUGAAGUUGCUAUACAAUACAGAUGUCUAGCAUAGGCCUUUUAAUUUUUGGAAAAAAUGAGGAAAUAUAUUGAAAGAGAUAACAAGUACAAGUGGAGUCAUAGAAGACUCUGAUCCCAGCUGGGGAUACAUAGUGAUACCAACCAUACAGAGAAAGUAAAUCUCAGGAAGAGAAGAUAACACUAGCUAGAAAAAGCCAUUAAGGCAUACAAAAAAUAGAGGAUGGCAAUGGAGUAGCCGUCUUCAGACUAGCAAUGACGGAGGACAAGGGAAUCCAUCACGUGAAAGUACCAGAACCAACAGGCCUUUUAAUUUAGAGUUUUCAAUUUGGUAUUGCCUUAUGAAUAUAAUAACAUUAAUCUGUUAAAUCUUUCUGCAUUUCUGUAAGAAAGUGCAGGAUCGGUAGAUUAUUAAGUUGUGUCAUGACGUGGUAAGUCUCUGUUUAGGCAUGUAACUCAUAAGAAAGCCAAGUUAUUGUCCACUUUUAAUUGCCAUGAUUUAUUGAGGCCGACUGUGAGAAUAGCUGCAAAACUAAAAGGAAAACUUUCUGUUUGUGUUUCGCCAUGAGUAUAUAUUAUAUGUUAAACACCAACUCAUAUGCACAGAUAUUUAUGGAUAUGGCGGUGCUGGUUGAUGCACAAGGGGAAUUGCUUGACAACAUAGAAACCCAGGUAAUUACCACAAUUUCAAAGCAUGAUGACCCCCUGAAUUUCGUAAAGUUUCAAACCCGAAAGAAAACAGAAGUUGAUUUGUAAAAACAUGACGUGGAGUGCAACUCUUGUAUCGCACUUGGGUAGACGAUCAUGUAUGUUGUGCUUUCAUUCCGCAGGUAUCAAGUGCAGUAGAUCAUGUACAGCAGGGGAAUACCGCUCUUCAGAAGGCCAAGAAGCUACAAAAGAAUUCGAGGAAAUGGAUGUGCAUUGCGAUUCUCAUUCUUCUUAUCAUCGUUGCAAUCAUUGUGGUGGCGGUGUUCAAGCCGUGGCAGAGCAACAAGGGUGCUUAAAUUAGCUCCUAUGAUAAUUUGUAACUGAUAAGUAUAGGGGAUUACAACUGACACUUUGGGACUCGAACAAAUCUUGUGAAUCAUUUCUAGCCCUUUUGUUCUCCUGUGAUAAUGCCCGCAUGUAACACUAUUAAUCGAAACAAACUGUCACUAUAUUCUUUAAGGGAUUCUUUAAUAUGCAUAAAAGAAAACUCUCUUUUUUCUUCUUGAAUGGCUCAUGUUACUGGUUAUAAAACCGUACCGUCACGGAGAUAUUCCCGUUGAUAUUUCGUACGGAUUUAACGGACUCUCCAAGAAGGGGUGUAAGAGAGUGGGCGAUGUUAGGGUGUAGAUUGGCACGUUUAGGAGAGAUUUUUCAAUGUGGCCGAAACAUAGAGCGGUACAUCAUAAGUUAUUAUACAAGUGGAGGGAAGUUUUUUUUUCCGUUCCAAAUGUUCCUCCACUUAUAUAAUGACACUAAAUAAUCUCUCCACGUUUUGAUAAAAAGUGUAGCUGACAUACUUAUCGAAGAUUAGUUAAAUGAUUUCUAUUAACUAUUGAAGAGUAGCUGACAUGAGCAAAUUACUGACGAGGAGUCGCUAAAUAGUUUCCUAGUUGGAAUUGGCCGUUGUUGUAGUGAGGCCAUAUCCAAAGGGGAAGAGAGGGUCAUAAUGUGCGUCUCCUACAUUCAUCGGCAGCUGAUCAACGGUUUUGAACCAGGUUCGAGAAAGCUUGCCCGUGAAGCCAUAGUCACCAAAUAAAACAUCAGCUACGCCCUGCCCUUCCGUUCCUGGAAGCCAAGCUGCAACAAGAGCAUCCAUCAAGGGAACAUAUGGUUGGAUCACAACAGGACGGCCAGAGAUGACGAUAACAACACAUUUCACAGAACCGCAAACAUUUGUGAUGGCACUCGGGCCAGGAUCCGGUAUUGUCAAGUUUAGGCUGUCACCAAACGUCUCUGCGUACGGGUGUUCCCCUACCACAACGAUGGCAUAUGAGAAAUCAUUCGACUUCACAAAGUCAGCAUCAGGAUUCUCCUUGUACACUACUUUGGUUUUAGGAUCCACUGUGUUCUUAAUGGCACUAAGAAUUGUGGUACCUGUUAAAGAGAAAAAUAAGUUUCUUACAGAGUUUAAUAGGUCAGUUUUUUCAGAGUCCCGACAGAUUUCAUAGGCAAACAUGUAUCAAGAGGAUAUUAUGUUUUAUGACAGCAAAAACAGAAGGAUCUUUGUUUACCUUCGGUGAGAUUGUUGCCACUUAAGCCCUGCCACUCAAUGGUCCACCCACCACACUGAUAACCAAGGUUAUCUGCAUGACUACCAGCUACAAGUAUUUUUGAUGCCUUCUUCGGAAGGGGAAGCAACAGCUCAUCAGCAGAUUUGCCGUUCUUUAGAAGCACUAGAGAUCUCCUCACAGCUUCCCUAGCUAAUUCUCUGUGUUCCUGUGAAAAUAGUAAUACAAAAAACCAGAUUAAGUUUCCUGCAUUGUUGUAGAAUGGUGAUAAAUUUACCAACGUCUACCUUACUCCCAAGUUGGUCGACCAGGCUGCGAUCAGCCAACGGUUCCUCAAAUAAGCCCAUGACGAACUUAACCCGCAAAAUUCUUUUUACAGCAUCAUCAAUUCUGCUCAUGGGAAUGAUUCCAUUUUUCACCAGGGAGGUUAGACCGUCAAUAAAUUCCGUAUAGUUGUAUGGAAUCAUGACCUGUAACAGGCAAUUAAGUAGGGGUUAGAAGACCAAACACAUCAUCAAGUUUAUGGAACUUAAGAAAGGAAAGCAACAGAGAUGUUAAGUACCAUGUCAAUUCCGGCAUUGACGCCUGCUUGAAUUGAAUAUGAGUAGUUGGCAUGAGGUGGAGACGUGAUCCUGUCAAUACCCUCCCAAUCUGAGAUGACAAAACCCUGAUAUAGUCCACAAAGUUUCACAGUGCUUUUAGCUUCUACUUAGGCUAUUGUAAAAUGGACAUAGUGCCGAAAAGAACAUCAGAGAGUCGUUUUUACCCUGAAAUGAAGAGUGUUCUUAAGGAAGCCAGUAACAAGAUCAUGAUUAGCAUGCAUCUUUACUCCAUUCCAGCUCGAGUAAGAUACCAUAAUAGUUGCAACCCCUUUGAUAAUUGAGUCAUAGUAGCCUGGCAUGUGGAUACUGAGCAAGCCGUGUCUGUUUAUCACAGUGUUAUUCUCGUUGAUGCCCCUAGUUGUUCCUCCAUCACCGACGUAAUGCUUUGCACACGCUGCAACCUUUUUACUGCCAACAGAAAUGGCGGAACAUGAACAAAACACCUUCGUAAAUUGGAUCACAAUCGUGUUGUUUGGAAUUUGACAAUGAUUGGUGAUCUUUCAGUAAAUUAAUGUGCCAUGAGAAUUGCAGUUGUAAAUAUGUCCUUUUCGGACAAAUCAAAAUGCAACAAUAUAGGGAUUAUAGGUGGUCUUUGUGACCACCGUAAAUAGCCUAGUGCCAAAGUAUGCUUUGACAAGCACUUUCCCUCUUUUUUUCCUACAAAAAGCUACCAAUUUUUCAAUGAAAGUGCUUAAACACACUCGUCAUCUCUCCCUUCCUCUAAGAGCCAACAUCACUGCACGCGAAGGAGAAGAAAAAACGACUAGUACUUGCAUUGCAUGUUGGAUUUAUGUGGACCAAUAGAACUAAAACCAAGUUAAACUUCAAGAUAUUCCAAAACUGUAACUUUCACAGGACCAUUAUGAUGAGUAUCAAUCAUUUUCGAGAACGUGGACCGCCACAUUAUGCAAAAGAGAAUAAGACCUUUCAAACUCUUGUAAUGUGUUAGAAAUGUUGGACCGUUUUAUCUUUGAUAGCACAAAUGGACCCAAAAAAAAGCAUAAAUCAAGCACAAGGCUAUGACAAAAAACUGAGGAAUUAAAACUCUUACUUUCCGCCCACAAAGGGAAUGCCCUUUCUAGAGUUGGCUGGUAACUCCCCUUGUAAUCCAGGUAUGAUCUCAGUCAUUGCUUGAACAAUUUUGUGAUCUUCACUGUAGCUUUCAUAACAUCGACCCCAUCUUGGAUCUCUGCAAACCUGCAAAGACAAAAUUAAGAGGAAGCACAACUUAGCUUAAAGUAACUUCUGUCGGUACUAAUCAGAUGUACAGUUUAUUUUAGUUACCGCUAUACAAGGUGCGAAGACAUAUGGAAUGCCUGUAGCUCUAGCUUCAAGUGCAGUUGCAGCUCCGAUCCUCUUAACAAGUACGGGGUCCCUGGUUGAUUUUAAAUACGAGGAAGUUGACAUUAAUACAUUCACUCUUAUGGUUUAAAGUUUGAACUACUAAGAGGACUAAAAUUUUACAGUUGAAGAAACAAAUUUCUCAAUUGAUCCCAUUUAGUUAAAGUAUCAUCAUAUACUCGAACAUAUAUACACCAACUUAUUUGUAUUUGGAAUUUUAAUUUGUCAGCACCAACGAAAAAUGAAAGCUUCAGUCAAAUUCUUGAUCAAAUGCCGGACACAUAAGACAAUUAUCGCAUCGUAGAACUCUUCAUUUAAUUGUAGAGAAAGGAAAGGUUGUUUUUUUCUCUCCAAAAUUCAAAAGGUUGACAAAAGAGACUAAGCGAAAUGUUGGUAUUCAAGGCAAAUCUACUUGCCUGGUAGCUCCAAGGCCAAUAUUGUGCGGAAAGAUUGUUGCUUUGUAGACGUUGUUGUGGCCAUGAACUGCAUCGAUACCAUAAAUCAUUGGAAUUCCAAGCCGGGUUGAUAAAGAACCUUUUUGAAAAUCAUUCACCAUGUUAAUCCAUGCUUCUGGAGAAGCCCUUUGUGCUGGAACGCUCCCACCCCCGCUUAAUAUACUCCCUGCCAAAAACAGAUUAAUUUCUUCUUCCUUAAAUCUAACUGAUCUGCAUAUGCAUAUGUGAUACAUUCCAUUCUUUCUGUAGUUACACAUGUAUAUAUAAUUUAUACACAGGCAGGACAGAAAGAAGAGUGAUGAUUACCAAUGAAGUAUUUCUUCAUCACCUCAGACGAAGCAACACUGCGGUCUAUCUGCACCAUUUGGCCAAUCUUUUCCUCCAACGUCAUCCGGCUCAAUAGAUCCUUGAUUCGAGUAUUCAGCGGCUGUUUGGGGUCUUUAUAUCUAAUAUGUUCUGCUUCUGCUACAGCUAUGAAGAAACAUGAGAGAAGAAGCCCCAUCAAGAAGAUGGGAGUUCUAGCCAUUUCCUGUUCCCAAAAAAAUUUACAGAAGAAUGUAAUGCACAAUUAGAAAGCCAGUUUGAGGAUGAGCUAUGGAACAUUGUGAACCGAAAUUCGAAAACAUAAAAAAGGCCUAAAAUUAGAACAUCAAACAGUUAAAAGAUGAACAAAAUUUGAAGAAAAGUAUUAAGGCAACAAUGGAAAGGAAUCACAAUAUAAUGAACCUCAAGCAUUCAAGCACCAAUGGAAGAUUAGUUGCAUGGUGGAAAUUAUAGAAAGUUACCACUUUUAUUAACAAAAAAAUGCUGCACCCGAAGUUAAUCCCAGAGAAAGGAAUCAGAAGGACCUUGUAGCAAAAUGCAGAAUCAAAGAGAACCCUUUUCCAAGCAAUGAAAAAAAGGGUAAAAAAAGUUUACUAUUCUUCAAGUGACAAUCACAACACAUGCAUGUUGCUCCUUAUUAACCACCAAAACACUUAAGAAAUUUCGCUGGCCUUUUUUUUUUGUGACUGAAUGGAACUAAAAUCUGAAACCCAACAACUAAGAGAGAGGUAACUGAAUCACAACUGAGUGAAGUAUUUCAUUUCAUCUUUCUGGAAACUAAUAAAUUCCCAUUUGUCAAAAGAAACUAGUAGCAUGUGGAAGUGGAACUUACAGAGAAGCAAUGGAGACCCGAUACUCCAAUAGGCAAUGAGCAGAGAGAGAGGUUGGCAAUGAGCUCUGCUGCUUUGUGGAAGAGAGAGAGAGAAGUUGAGUUGGGACUUGGGAUUUGGAAAGCAAUGUGAGGCAGAAAAUGGAACUUUAUAGAAAAAAAAAAUUAGGUGCUAGUUGACUGAAAAUUUGGAUGUGAUGAUAUAUUUGUCAAUUUCUGGAAAAAAAAAUAUUUGUCAAUUCGAUAGCGGGCAGAGAAAGGUGACGCAGAGAGUUUUACUGGAAUCCAAAUUUGUUUAUUUGCCUUUCAUUUCGCUUUCAUGGAUGAACUCAUAAUUCAUCAUGCUUAUCUUUACUUUAUUGGUGAGAUUAGCACCCGCAUUAGUGAUGCUGCUGGUGUAGGUGAAUUAAGAGACAAGGAUUGUCUGCCCUCCCAUUUUCGGUGCUCUCUCGUGCCCUUUUGUUUGUGUGGUCACGGUUAAAUCACGUUAAUAUUUUAUAUUACUAUUCAUUUUUAUCUUAUUAUUUCUAUAAAAAAUAAUAUAAAAUGUUGACGUGGCUUAAUUGUGACCACACAAAACAGGAGGGCACGGAAGGGCACCAAAAAUGAGAGGGCAGACAAUUCUUGUCUGUAUUAAGAAGGCCCCACUGGCAAUAAAACUGGUGGUUUUGCUUGUUGACUAUUAUUCCAAAUUCUUCUUCCUGUCAAACUUCUAAAAAGAAAGAAACAACUGUUCCAACUUUUAACAUUUGUUUUUGGCUUCCUGCCUCAUCCACAAAUUACAGCCUUACACUACACACGCAUGCAUUGCGUUACAGAGAUCGAUAUCGCUCGAAAACGGCUAGUGGGGUUUUAGAAAUUGAGGAAAGGCGAUGAGAUUGAGGGAGGCGGCACAAGAGAGAGAGAGAGUACCCUUUUGAAUUAGAGUCUUCUCUCCUCUUACUGGGUAUUCCCAAAUCCCUACUCGAUUUCAAUAUAAAAUUAUAAACUUACAUGAAAAUAGCAAAAACAAUUAUUUUCUCUUUAAAUUUGUGUACUCUAAAUACCCAUCAAUCAUCAAGAACAGAGACAAUUAUUCCAUUCUAGGUAACCUUAAAUACUACGAGCAUUAGAUAGCCUGUCUUAAUUUGGAUUUGGAAGUUUUUCAUUUCCUUUCCAAUUUCUAAUGAAUGAAAAAACAUAAAAGAGAAAGAGAUAAAAAAUAAAAAAAACUCGUUUGGAAAUGUUUUUAAAGUAACUGGAAGCACUUUGGGUAAAAUUAUUUUUGGAUUCCAAAAGCAUUAGUUAUGUGCUUCUUCCAGGAAGCACUUUAAAUGCAUGUUUUUCCUUCCUUAUACCUAAAUUUGUAUGGAAGACAUUAAAUAUUACAAGUAUUGGAUGACUUGAAUUGGUUUGGAUUAUUGCUUUUUUCGGUAGCUAAAUCAUCUCUCCCGAUGUUGCACUUAUAUAUAAAUAACUAAUUGAACACACUUAAUCAAGGAAAUACAUAGCAUCCAAAAAAGAAACACAACCAAUUCAAUUUUAUUUUAUUUUCGGGAAAAAAAAAAAAAAACAAAGAAACAACAAUGGUUUGUUUGAUUUUCCUUUAAACAAGCAGCUAGCAAAGUGAUCGACCAAUUGGAAAUUUUCAUAUAUAUUAUUAGUCACGAAUUCGUUGUGAUUAUAGCUUCUUCAUUCGUCACGCAUUGUACGUAUCUUGAGGCCAAACUGCAUGCACAAUUUAGCCAUGCAAAUCAAGCACUUUCAUACGUGACACGACACCCAACCUAGCUAGCUAUAUAAAUACUACCGUACAUAACGAUGCAAAGUGCAAACUGGUCAUGGCCUUCUUCGCAAGAAAUGCACUGCUGCUAAUGCUGCUUAUGUUGAUUCUAAUUAUGUCUGAUGCAGUAACUGUUGUGAUCGAAAAUUAUUUGUGGGAUCAAUCGGGCGACUCGCCACUGAAAGUUCACUGCAAAUCCAAAGACGAUGACCUUGGUGUCCAUGCCGUCCCCCUUGCUGACUCCUACGAAUUUAAGUUCCAUCCAAACAUAUGGCGGACCACGCUAUUUUAUUGCAGCUUUGAGUGGCAGGGCCAACUUCACCAUUUCGAUAUAUACGACCAAGGAAGGGAUGGAGGUUGUGUACUAGACGACAGCGUUUGUUUAUGGCGGAUACAAGUGAACGGUCCGUCCAGGUUCAACGGCUAUACUGGCUCAUAUGAUCUUCUGUAUGCAUGGAAGGACUAGUUGUUUCAAAAUCAAACAUUCUGGGGACAACUCUGUUGCAAGAUACCCCAAGUGGAAAUGUGGAUCUUUACCGUUUCGAGAUAUAUAAGGAAAAAGGAGGGAAAAAUAAAAAGCAAAUCUAUCGUUGUGCUCUUUCUUGCAUGUGCAGUUAAGUUAGCAAAAGUAGUGUGCUCCUUUUUCUGUAUAACCUAAAUUUGAAUCCUCAUUUGUAAUUUGUAUUAGAUUAAAUAUAAUUUCAAUUGAAUAAAUAAAGUGGGAUAUAUUAGUCACCAAUUUUGUUGUGAUCAAUAACAAGUAAAAACUUAUUUCCUAGCUUCUACUGUAACUAGAAUUUCUUAAUUCGUCACACUAAUAUAUUAUUAUUGUGAAAGGAAAUUAUAUAAGCAAAGCCAAAAGAUUUAAUUAAUUAGCAAGUAGCCCUCCACCUCAAUAGUGAAGAAGAGUGUUGCCCUUGCACCAUGACAUGAGUUCCAACCCAUCGACGUCCUAAUCUAACAUCUCUAACAAAUUUAUUGUUUGACAAAAGAUUUAAUUAAUUAUGAUCGUGCCACCACUAGCUAUGAGAAAUCCUAAUAGAUUGUAAAAAGACAUAUAUAACUUGCACCUCAAGCAAUAACUUCGAAUCAAGUCUCUUAGUAAAGGAUGACGUAAGACGCGCGCAGAGCGUCCAUAGAAAAAAGACAUUUAACUUGCACAUUAAAACCGAAAAAGAAGAGUAGCUACAUGAUUUUUCUAGUUGAAUUUUUUGGGUGUUGUAGUGAGCCCAAAUCCAAAGGGGAAGAGAGGGUCAUAAUGUGCAUCCCCAACAUUCAUAGGUAGUUGAUCAACCGUUUUGAACCAAGUUCUAGAAAGCUUGCCAGUGAAGCCGUAGUCACCAAAUAAAACAUCAGCCACCCCUUGUUAGUACUAGAAAUUAGUAAGUCAAAAGCCGAGGAAUGAAAAUUCUUACUUUCCUGCUACGAAGGGAAUGCCCUUUUCAGAGCUGGUAUCUCCCCUUGUAAGCCAGGUAUGAUCUCUGUUAGAAUUUCUUUGUCCCACAUCGGCCAGAAGGAUUGAGAACAAGCCAUUUAUAUAGAAUUACCUCACUCUAACUAACACCGAGGCUUUUUGUAUUAAAACCCCACACCUGACGGAUUGAGAAGGUGGCCAAGUGGGGACAGUACCGGUGUUGUUGGAGUGGGCCCAUGGCCCGUUUACUUGAAAUUUAAGAUGGUAUCAGAGCCAGGGGACGGGUCCGUACAUCCACGUGAACGGGUGGGUCCCCUUUGGCCCCGCACAAAUGGGUGAGCCCCAACUUGGCUCCACAUGGUUGCCGAUGUGUGGAACUCCACGUGUGACCCAUAAAAUGGGGUCUCAAGUGCGGGGGAGUGUUAGAAUUCCUUUGUCCCACAUUAGCCAGAAGAAUUACCCCAUUCUAACUAACACCGAUGCCUUUUGUAUUAAAACCCCACACCUGACGGAUUGAGCAGGUGGCCAAUUGGGGACAAUAUCGGUGUUGUUGGAGUGGGCCCAUGGCCCGUCUACUUGAAAUUUAAGACAUUGCUUGCACAAUCUUGGGAUCUUCACUGUAGCUUUCAUAACAUCGACCCCAUCUUGGAUCUCUGCAGACCUGCAUGGACAAAAUCAAUAUGAAGUUCAGUGCCAGCAUAAAUUGACUUGUGUUCAUAUCAAUCAUCAGAUAUAUACAGUUUAUUUUAGUUACCGCUAUACAAGGUGCAAAGACGUAAGGAAUGCCUGUAGCUCUAACUUCAAGCGCAGUUGCAGCUCCGAUCCUUUUAACAAGUUCAGGAUCCCUAGUUGAUUCAUCUUGGAUCUCUGCAGACCUGCAUGGACAAAAUCAAUAUGAAGUUCAGUGCCAGCAUAAAUUGACUUGUGUUCAUAUCAAUCAUCAGAUAUAUACAGUUUAUUUAAGUUACCGCUAUACAAGGUGCAAAGACGUAAGGAAUGCCUGUAGCUCUAACUUCAAGCGCAGUUGCAGCUCCGAUCCUUUUAACAAGUUCAGGAUCCCUAGUUGAUUUUAAGUUCGAUCAAGUUGAUAUCAGUAUAUUUACUCCUUGAAUUUCAUAUGGGUUGAUCUCUUAAUACGACUAAAAGUUAAGAGUCGAAAAAACAAAUUUCUCUAUUGCUAAUAAAUUUUAGCACAAUAUCUACUUUAAAUUCAAUCAAUAUUACUUUGAGACUAGGAUUACAAAAUAAGUUACAGCUCAGUGAUAUGUUAGCAAUGGAGGACAUCUACUUGCCUGGUUGCUCCAAGGCCAACAUUGUGAGGAAAGAUUGUUGCUUUGUAAACAUUAUUGUGGCCAUGAACAGCAUCGAUACCAAAAAUAAACGGAAUUCCAAGCCGAGUUGAUAAAGAACCCUUCUGAAGAUCAUUCACCAUGUUAAUCCAAGUUUCUGCAGAAUCCUUUUGUGGCGGAACAUUCACAACCCCUCUUAAUAUACUUCCUGCCCAAGACAAAUUUCCUCUACCCUUAAAAUCCAACUAAUCUUCAUAUACAUGCAGAAGGACUGCUUCCAUUCUUUCUAUAUAUAUUUUAUGCAGAGACGAGAGAGAGAAUAGUAAUGUUUACCAAUGAAGUGCUUCUUCAUCACCUCAGGCGAAGCAACGCUGCGGUCUAUCUGCACCAUUUGGCCAAUCUUUUCCUCCAACGUCAUCCGGCUCAGUAGAUCCUUGAUUCGAGAAUUCAAUGGUUGUUUGGGAUCUUUAUAUUUAAUGUAUUCUGCCUCUGCAAUAGCUAUGCAGAAAACUAAAAGAAACCCCAACAAGAAGGGAUUCCUAGCCAUUUCCUGUUCCAAAUAUUUACACAAGAAUGUAACGCGGCGCUCAAUUAGAAAGCCACUUUUGAGGAUGAAUGUAUAACAGCAACAUCACAAAUUCACAACCAAUACUAGAAAAGAAAACAGGUCUAAAACUAGAACAUGAAAAGUAGAAAGCAACCAUCAUAUAAUUUUCAAGAAUUCAGGCAGCAAGGGAAUAACAGUUUGCGCGGUCGGGGUGCGACAGAAAAAAGAAAAACUGCAGCAAAAAUUAGACUCGGAGAAAGGAAUCAGAAGCACCCUUUGAUCAAAAUAGUAGAAACAGAAGAGAAUCCAUUUUUCAAGCAACUAAAGACAAUAAAACAAGUGAGAAGCACAAGACACGAAUAGUUUGAGCUCCUCAACAUUGCUCCUUAAUCCUCCUUCCCCACCAAAACUCGAAAUAAAGUUCGUUUAUCCCCCUUAGCAUCUGAUCGUAAAUUACCGGUAACGAAAAUCUGAAACCGAACAAGAGACGAACUAAAAGUUUCCCUUUUCCAGAAACAAAAAAUGGGAGUAAUUAAAGAAGUUGCAUGUACUAAAAAGUGAGAAGUGGGAACUUACAGAGGAGUAAUGGAGUGGAGAGGCAAUGAGCUUUAUCUGUUCUGUGUUGAACUUGAAGGAAUAGUGAGUGAGUGAGGGAGUGGAGGGCAGAAGAGAGUUGAGUGAAAAACGUGAAGUUAUAGAUGGACAAUUUGACUCUCACUUUAUUGAAACAGGACACGGACUUCUUGUUGGCUUCUUCAAUGAACAAUGAACUGACUUUGAUGGAUAAUAUUAACUGUUUGCAAUUUCUACUCAAGAUAGGACGUAUUGGAGUUAACGAAAGACUUUGUGCAAAAACGAGCGGAGUCACGUUUUAGAAUUCAUAUAGCCGAUUCUAUUUAGUGGUAUAAUGUUUGUUUGUUGUUGAUGCAAAUUCUACUCAUGUACCAAAAAGCAUUACAUAUAUGUAUCUUACAAGAAUUAUAGAUACACAUGCUUAUUAAUGUUACUUCACUUGCUUUGCCUAAGCAAAAGCAGUUGAUUAUCCAAACGUUACAAAACAGAAGCUUAAGCUUGAUUAAUUAAAAACAUGAUGAAAUAAUCAAUCUCACAAAAGGCGAUCAGACAACGACGGAAGCCGUCGAAUGAAGUUCAAAGCCGGCGACGGCAUCCGAUCACGGAAUAUCGGAUGACGGAGAUAAUAGAACCCAAACGCCAUCGCCACCAUCUUCGACGGCACCACGUACAGUAUCAUCGCCACCACCAAACACAACACCACAAAGAUCCCCGUCGCCCGCGGAUCCUGCCACGUCACCAGCGCCUGCACUCGUUCCCCUUGCGUUGCAAAAUCUCCCAGCACGGUCUGCACGCGUGCCCCCAACAUCCUAAGCUUGUCGUACCUCGCCCGCACCACCUCAUACGGCCUGUUGCUCGGCACCGCAUCAAACUCCUCGUCCAGCUCGUCCCGGUCAACGUUGUCCGCCAGCGAGAGCUUCGGGUCAAAGUGCUGGAGUGGGGCCCGAGAGCGAAACCUGUAGUUCCACGCGCCAAUCACAAACACGUAAAACAACAGGGUGGGCACGAUCAGAUCCGGGAACCAAACGAGCAGCACCAGCAGUGCGUGCACAAGAAUCGUUGCCAUCGGUUUCUUCCAAGAACGCGUGUCGUUUAUCCACGCUACGACAUCCACAACCCCUGCUACGACAUUGAUGAUCCGGAAAUAAUUGGCGCGCACUUUCCGCAUGCUGAAUCCCUGCGAAUCCGCGUCCAGCAUGUAAAUCACAACCUCGCGCCCGAGCGGCGGUUCCGAGCGAGACAGGUGUGCGGCGACGAUCUUAACCGCCGCCCUGCGCAGUAGGUCCUGUUGCAUCACACCUAGCGGCUUUAUGUGGUGCAUCAACGGCAGUGAAGGCUGCGAGUACGCGUGGAUCAAAUCCAACGUCGGACACACUCGAACAAACCGUAUGGCCACCUCCACCUCCCCCAUUUUUUUCAAACCGGCGGGAGACAAAAGCAACAGCGGAUACGUAUUUCUGUAUACUCUACCCGUAGCCAGCGUCGAAAUACGCAAGCGGAGCUUCCCGAUACGAAAAUCGGGACGCGUGGCAUCUGUCGAGCCGUCGAUUUUGAAUCCCGGUCCAGAGCUAUCAAAAACGCCGAUGCUCAACACCGUACACGGAUCGUAUACUUUAAACGUAUACUGCUCGUUCCAUUUGGGCUCCAAGCUAUCGCACACGGCCCGUGUCCGUACCCAUUUGGAUCCAUAUUUUGCCACGCAAUACGCAUCCGUACAUCCCUUACCGCUCACCGUCUUGACAGGUAUCAAGUUCUUGCACCCGAUGACGCCGAGCUCGACGGUGCCCAGCGGCGGCUUCCAGAGCUGCCUCGCGGUGGGCCGGUAGUCGCUGCACACGUACGCUGCCUCGUCCAUCACGUGAUACCCGCCGUCGAAACAGAGGCGCAGGUGCAUUCUGCCUCUGUACACCGUCCUCUUCUUCUGGUCUUCCUCGCCUGGGCUCUCCAAUGAGAACCAUCUCGAAGCCACUUUGCGGUCGUCGACGCGUCGUUCGAUGGCGGUAAGGGGUAUUGUAGCCACCCCCAAUGUGACCGGUCCUUUCGCUAGCCGAUUCUCUACAGUGAAAAUUAAACGAUCGCUGAACGGCUCCGCGGCUACGAACAUCAAGUCUUGGUUCCACGACAGCGUGCCGUUUUGGGUGACUGCGGGGUCGGUCUUGAGGGACUGGAAUCCGAGCUGGGCUUUGACUUGGACAGAUGACUCCGUCAACGACGGCGUCAUGGGGAGAACGUCUUGGGCUUCGAGGACUGUUGCUCGGAGAUACCACAGCUUCGGCGAUUGGUAGACUUUGGCUCGCGCGUUUGGGUUACCGGCUGUAUCGGUCUUCCACGCGUCGGGAAACGAAUCGUCCGCCUGAGUUCCCAUCCACGUGGCGAGCAUCAGGUCGCCGUUCAUGCGGGCCCCGCCGCCCUCCAGCCUGUACCACUGCGGGGCCAAGGGGCUGUCGGGCGGGUCUCUCAGGGGAAUUUCCGUCACGUCGAAACAGAUUCCACCGAGGAAGUGAUGCCCGGAGGCAACCGAGGCGGUCGCGGGGUCAAACAUGGGCGGGUCCCACACUGAAAUUUCGAGGAUGGAGGCGUCGGAUUGGUCGGGGGAUUGGCGGGCGAAGGCGAAGGUCUGGUCCCACUCGAAGCAUUGGGUUUUUCUGGCGGGUUUGGACGUGAUAUGGUGGUUGGCAGUGGAGAUUUUAACGAUCGGACUGCCGCUGGAGGGAAUGAAGCGCGCCUUCACCACUCGGACGAAGAGGUAGUGCAUCUUCUCCACCAGAUCAAACGACGGCCGAUCCAUCGACAUGCUUUCUGUUGGCUCCAGCUGCGACGUAUAGUUCAUUACUGGUGGCCUUGGCAUUGGCUGUGGGCCGUUGAUUCCAUGGAAUUUGACAUCUGGAACUGAUUUCGAUACGGCGGCUCCAAUCAUCUCUAUUUCGGGUUCACGUUGCAUGGCUGCUUCAGGUGGUGGCGGCGGCGGCGGAUCCCCUUGAUCAUGAUUUGCAUCAUCAGUGGGUGGUGGUGGUGUUGACGUCGGCCCCGGUGGAGGAUCAGACUGUACAUCUUCAGGAGCUACAGUUUCCUGUGGUGGCACCACCUCAGUCGGUGGUUCUUCGGCGGGCUUCUCACCUUCCGGUGGCGGUGCUUGUUCUGCUUCCGGUGGUGGGUCCGCCUUAGUUUCCUUCUCGCCUGGUGGUGGGGUUGAGUCAGAUUCUGGUGGCGGCGGCGCCUCCGACGACGGAGGCGGUGCAGUUUCAGCCUUUGGCUCUUCCGCUUGAGGCGGCGGUGUUGGUGGUGCAGGCGGCGGGACAACCUCAUCGACGUAAUAAAUCUUCAAGCCAAUUUCACCUUGAAUCCAACUAAAGAAGCUCUUCUUCUCCAAUGGGAAAUAAAUCAAAGCCUCCUCGCCUUUCUUGACAAACUGAGUGGAACUCAGUCGGAUCCUCCCGAGGAAGUUGUUCCUCCGGGUGGGUCCGUAGUUCUUGUCGUGGUGGACAUCGAGCUCCAGCACAUCCCCAAAAACAUCGGAAGGCUUGCCAACGUUGAACUCGAGCAACUCGUUCCACACGGGGUUUAGGUCUCGUAUCUUUGUCUGCGUCCGCUUCCGCUGCCCGUAGUAGUCCAUCACCACGUACGGGCUCGACGUCCCGUGCCCGUCUUUCGGCGACAGAUUUCGAGCAUCGACAACCUCAACUAUCAGUUUCCGUACAGUAGCCAUAACGUUGGUUCUUGAGUGAUCAAAAUGUCACAGAAAAUGUGUAGCUAGCUUUGGUACUGUAGAGUUUCUUAGCUAGCUACUAUCAUACUCCACUUUCAAGUAAGAGAGAAGAGGCAUCAUGGUUAUGGAGAGAAGCUAUAAAUAAUGUUAAGUAAAGUAUGAGGGGAGAUAUUCCAUCCCGUGACCGAUUGCAUAUCUCGAAUUCUCUCAUCACUUCAUGUAAUGAGAGAUAAAAAGUACAAUUGAUUACACUUGAGAUUUUACCGUAAAAUUGACGUUUCUUAACUUUUUUUUUUUUUUUUUUUUUUUUUGGUGUAGCAAAACUAUUAAGUAAUGCAUGCGAGCAAGGUUUUUAUCAUAUCGAUUGUAUAUUUUCAUCACUCUACUUCUCUCAUCACAUUACAUGAGAGAGAUGCAACUGGUUACACCUAAAAUUUGCCGCAUGACAGAUAUGUUUCUUAACUUCUUCAUCCUUUACGUAUUUAAUUCACUACUUUUUGAAUAUAUAUACAUAAAUAUGUCUUUUAAUUCUUUUGGUGCAGAAAAAAUGGAAAAGAGAACGAUAAAUGGGAAACAGAGGUAGUGGGAUUCCAGUUGGGUGGGCAAGUAAAGGAUAAAAAGAUUGGGAGGAGGAGGAGAUAGGGAGAUAAGAAAACUAAAGGUGCUUAACUUCAUCCUCAAGAAGCUUUUAUUAUUUUUUUUCUUGAUGUGUAAGGAGCUUUUAGACUAUCUAAUUUCUUUUGCUUGUUAUUAGGAAAUACUUUUCUUUAUUAAACUCAAAGAUUCUGUCUCUCAGAUAUAAGCCCUUUCCUUUUGGCCAAUACCACAGACAUUAGAGGCACACGCUUUUGACACAUAUUUACACUUAUUUUGUAGGGCUCACUUUGUAAUAUUUUUCAACAAUUCAUACUGUCUAUUAUGAACAUUUUAAUGAUUUUAAUUUUACCUAAUUUUUUGCAAGAAUCAUUUAUGAACAACUUUAAUUAUUGAAAUACAUUAAGAAAUGAAUUCAACAAAAUAUGUGUCAAAAUGUGUGAUAGAGGAUCCUCACCGGAUCUUCCAAUCACAUCCGUUCAUCGUACAUCGUGCAGUCAGUUUUUAUCAUGUACUGUUUAUAUUCAAUUUUAAAUAAAAAAAUUAUAAUAAUUUCUAAUUGUACAAUUUACGAUGAUCGGAUGUGAUUAGAGAAUUUCCAGAUCCUCCUGGAAAAAUGUGUUUCCGGAUCUAAUAUAUAUAUAAAGUAAUGGACAAGCUUUUUUUUCAAAGAUGAAAAGCUUUUGUGUCACCGACCGCGGGAUUUUGUCACCCCAACUACAUUGUCUUGUAAUGAUAACUGGAAAUUUGACAAAGAUGACUCGUUCACACUUAGGCUAUAUGACUACAAGCCAAUCACCCAAGCCUUUCCCACACUUCAAUAAAUCUAAAAGUUUGAUUCCAUUGAAAAGUGCUUGGUGCUCCUGACGCAGGACAACACACAGAUUCAAUCAAAUUGGAAGAGAAAGGUUGAAGAGGAUAAAUUUUUAAAGCAAAUAAUGUGAAUGUUGAUAAUUGAAUUAUUAAUUAAGUAUCGAUUCACGUAUUUAUUUUUUAUUUUUAAAUUUGGUUAAAAAUUUGGUAUUCUUAACAUUAUCCUGAUUGGAAUUAUGUAAAAUGUAAGAUAGGCAAAUCAUGAGUAUUUUUUAGUUGCGUAAAUCUUGUAAAAACCCAAGGGUUCUAAUUUUUACACACCCAAUAGUUUAUCAACAAUGCUCAACUAUCGCAUUUUUCACAAAAUUUGUGAGUUAAUUCAUGGCUUUUGUUCAAAUAUGUGAAGUUUUACGAAACCAUCAUAAAAUCUUUUAUCAUAUUUUAUGUGUGAAUAAUGAAUUCCACAUUAAUAGAAGAAUUAGAUAUUGUUAGACCGAUAAAGUGGGAGCCAAAAACUCUUUGGUUGCUUAAGUUGGACUACAUGUUAGAACUGAAAGCAAAAAGUAACAAGUUUUUGGUAGAGUGAUAAAUUUGCCUCAAUAUUUAAAAGAUAAAGCAGAGGAAAAGUCUAGACAUUAACCAUGUUGUCCCUUGCCCAUAACAAUUCCUUCGUCUUGAAGGACAUACUUAUCUCAAACGGGUGUUUCUAUCAAAUAGUGUGCAUUUCUUCAAUCGGAACGCCUUUAGUUUAAUUUGUAGAUGAAGACAUUCAUGAUCAGGACCCAGACCACAAAGAAGAUAAACAUAAGUAACAAAGCAUUUUGAUGAAACUUGAGCUAUGGAAAAUUUGAAGAUCAUUUUGGUAAUGAUGUCGCUGGAUUCAGCAAGUGAAUUUACUUCAACAGGGAAAAUUUCACUUCUCACCGCCCAUCCUAGAGGUCAAAGACCAUGCAAAUCCACCAACCUAGAUUCCCAAAACCAUGCAAAUCCAGCAACAUAUGCAGAAAUGCCGUUCAUCAAGACCUCAACAAACUCCCUGCACCAUCCAUCCUAGAGGUCCAAGACCAUGCAAAUCCACCAACCUAGAUUCCCAAAACCAAGCAAAUCCAGCAACAUAUGCUGAGAUGCCGUUCAUCAAGACAUCAACAAACCCCCUUGACAAUACACCAAGGUUGUUACCAACCCCAAAUUUAAUAGCAAUUGCAAUCCUAAUAAUCACCUAUUAAUGCCAAAACAAAAAAAAAAAAGAACAAGCCACCUUAAAUUGAGUUUUUUCUUUAUGAAAAUUAUGAAGAAAAAAAGAAAAGCAAAAAACCUGAGAAAUAAAAGUAACUAACCGUGAGUUUGCGGGAUACUCAUUUUUAGCAUUCGAUGGAGCUAAUGAAGAUGAGAUUGAAAGAAUGGGAUUAAGAGUAGAAUGAUAAGUGCAUUAAGUGAGAGGUGAUAUUUAUAUGUAAGACUUCGGAGAUUUACUAAUCAUACUUGAAUAAUUAGUAAUCUUAUCCAGAUUUUAGAUGUAAAAACCCAAUUGCUACAGAUUUUGAUUUUUUGUUGAACACAAUUUUUUGUUGAAGAGACUAUAUCUCAUCUCUAUAGAUUUACUUGUUGAGUUUGACGUUCUAUUUGACUCUCUAUAUCUUUGUAAGUUUGCAAGUGAGAGAGCAUAGUUAAUUUCUAGUUUUCUCAAAUAUCUCAAACUAAUUAAAGUCUAUUUUUCAUUUCUAAUUCAAUCAUUUGUUUGACAUAUGAAUGUGCAUCUAUCAACAUAGUCCGCAACUGCAUAAAGUUUACUAUCAUGAAAAUAUGAUUACUUUUUUAAGUGAAAAAAUUAUGAUUACUUAAAAAGACAUAUACGUUGCAUGAUAUAUCAACAAAAUUUGCAUAAUUACGUUUCUUUACAUUCCAACAAAUUUGUUAUUUUUAUUUCAUUUAUUUUGCAAUAUUAGUUAAUGAAAUGACCAAAACGUAAAUAAAAUCUAAUUUUCAUGCAAUUUAGUGUAGACCUAGCCUCCUAGAACCUCGAGUGCUAAGGUAAAUGAAAAUGUUAAAUGCAAGAAGAACCCAAAAAACUUGGACUUGUUUCACCAUGCCCCUGAUGGUUGGACACCACUAAACCACAAUAUUGAGUGGGUACUUGUUAUGUCAUGAAUUUUCCUAAUUAUUUGUUUUUCAUUCUUUUUCUAAUUUUGAUAUUUGUUUUUUUUAACUAUCACAUUAACCAUUUUGUGAAAACUAUUUGUGUAAGAACUUUGUAUUCUGUUUUAAUAUCAUACUUCUAAAGGGAAGCAAUACAAUUUCAUUAUUCUAAAUCCUAGCAAAAAAAAAAAAAAAAACAAAAAAAUUGAAAGAAUGAACAAGUAUUUCAACAAUAAAACUUAUAUUAAAUGGGAUAACCGCAAAACUACUGUAAAUAAAAUCAUGGAAAAAUUAAAAUGAAUCAUUUGAACUAAAUUCUCCAAUCGGAAAAAUAUACUUUUACGGAUUUAUUGACAUUAUAUAGUUCUAUAUUAUGAACAUAACUCCCUGAAUUAAAAGUCUCAAGGGAGCAUGAGAAGAAAACAACUGCUACUUUACGGAUUUGAAGGGAUGAUAUAUGUGCAAAGCAAAGCUAAAUCUAUACAGUCAAACUUACAGCAUUGUGUUAACCCAAAAUGUAAAUCAAAGGAACAGGGAGAUGCCUAAAUUUCUACCUAAUUCACCAUCGGCUUCUUGACAAUCUUGACACUGUCGUAGAAGCGCCUAAGCUCCUUCAUAGCCUUUUCCUCGAUCUGAAUUGACCGAAUUGGCGAUGGUUGAUCUACCUCCGGUUUGAACCAGCGGUUCACUCCGGAAGUAUCCAGUGGCGAUCCCUGACCACUUGUUGUGACUGAGAAUCCGGCGGUUUUUGUCUUUGGACUGUGGGAAACACUCUGGUGUUGCUUUCCUUGCUUUGAGACGUAAAAAGACAGGUAAGAGUUCUGUAAACUAUAUGCAGGAAAACAUGAUAUACGAGAAAGAUGUGCAAGUCAUAUACCUGCUGCAUUUGGAUGUCCCUAAGAGAUGGCCGGGAAACAAGGGGAGGAGUUCCUGACGCAGUCCAAGGAGGUGUACAUCUUUCUCCAUCAGAUGCCAGUGAAGUAUGGGCUGAGACCAAUGGUAUUGGCUUGGAAGGUAAAAACGAACUCAGUCGAAUCUUCCCAUCGCUUCUCGCAUCAGAAGGAUCUUCCACGUGAUUUUUGUUCCUAGUUGACCGACUCUCCUUGGUUUUGCCUUGCUCAUCCUGAAUCUCACGAAGGGAUGCAAAACCUUUGGAAAAUUUAGCCCCACCCCAUGCAGGGCCUUCACUUUUUGGAGAUGGUGGAGGUGGUGCAACAAACUUGGGGGCAUCAUCAAGAGCGCCACUCAAGAACAUAGAAAGCCCACCCUUUUUAUUCUUCUUCUUGGAAACUAUUGGUGAAGAACACUUGUUAUUUGUUAGGUUGAAAUUGUCCUUCUGAACACACAAAGCUGACUCCUGAUUGGUUUGGCUUGUAGCAAUCUCUUCAAUCAUGACAUCGUCCUAUCACACGUAAAAUUUCAAACAAUUUAGAAAAUGAGAUGAAAUGCUCAACACAUAAUUUUAAAAACUUCUGUUCGCACUAAGUUGUAUAAAAUAUUUUAAAAAAGGCAAGGAUCACAAAUAUUUAAGAAAUGCAAGUUCUAAUAUUGAGUGAAUAGCAUGGCAAGAUCAAGCUAAAGGAAUGUGCUAGGUGGGGUGAAGUGAUAGGAAGUAAUAAAGGGAAAGGUCAAAUUCAAAACCUCCAUCUAGAAAAUGAUUAAUUAUGAACAUGUUAAACCCGUGAAUCCUUAUUAUCAAUAACCUGAAAAGAUUCCCUAGCCCAUUUGAAGUUUCAAACAUCUCAAAAGAAAAACAAAAUCAUCUCAACAUGAGCUGAUAAAUAGAUUUGUAGACAAGAACCAUAAUUUACUCAAUCUUGAAAAGAAAAUUAAUUCAAGAAAUUGACAAGCUCACCAUAUUCUUUGAGGUUUGAGAGAUUUCAUUAUUCGAAAAACCAUUUUCAUGGUCUGGUUCUACUUCAUUUCCCGAAAAACACGACCCUAUAUCCACUUGUGUUGCCAUCUUUUUGUUCCUUCUCCUCUGUUUUUUUGAUGGCUCAACCUUUUUGUUCCCUUUUCCAUCUACCAAACCUGAUGAUGGUGCCCUCAACAGUGGUGCCUCAACUGGAACACCAAGCUCAGCCAGCGAGCUCUCUAAAGCUGACCUUGUUUCAAGCUUUGCAAUUUGCUGGUUAUCAAGAACUUGCCCCCUAGACUGUUUUGCUUCAAGCAUCUCAAUCUGCUGCAGCUUUUUCCACAAGGCUCGAACUUGCUUUUCAAUAUUUGAGUCAUCUUUGGGUUGAAGAAAGGAUUCUGUCCUUUGAUGGAUUUCACUUUUCCAUACGGAUUGCUCUGUAUGGCCAUCGCGCGUCCUUUGAACCUCAGUCUCACUAUCUUCCUCUUCACUACAAAUAAUAGCAGGCAAAGUAGCUGUAGGAGUUGGGAGACGACGGUAACUCCAUGGUUCAGAUGACCUAAGGUCCAAUACAUUUUCAAGGUUAGCCAGAACAUCUGGUGAAGCACUAGCAAUAGCUUGUGAAGAUACUGUAAAAAUAUAGUCAAGGUUGCGUAUGGCAAUCUCCUGCGAUUAAAAAAAAGAACAGCUUCAAUAACAUGUAAAACAGAAAGCUACAAUAAAUUUCCUCACAAGUUGCAAAACCAGAAGCAUAAGGCAAUGGCGCAGCCCAAAUAUCAAAUGUUUUUUGGACAAAUUUUAGGCAAUACAAGACCUAUCUGAUAAUUUUAGCCAUCAGUAAUACGCCCACCCAACCACACACACACAGACACACAGGGAGGGAGAGAUUCAAAUCAGGUACAAUUUGAGACAGAUUAAAGGUUUCAUAACUUUUCCUUCAUAUAUUGAGCAGUCAAAGAAUACCUCACAGUACUUCCGCAAAUCAUCUGCCACAAGUGAAUCGGCAAUUUCAAGCAGUUGAAUAGUAUUUCGUGGCUCCACUAGAUUAUCUGCAGCCACUUUUUCACAAAGACUUUUUAAGCUUGGUGUGGGCUUUAUCCCAGCAUCAUCAUUUUGGAUAGUAGGUAACAGAUUAUCAGACUCCAUGUCAUUGAACAUAAGAUCUUCAUCAAGCUCUUCUAGCUCAUCUUUGACAUUUGACUUCUGCUUCUGAGGGUUAUUGGAAGUAAAGGCAGGGUGAUAAAGGGAGCCAAUAAUCAACAAGUGUGUUUCGCCUACAGAAACUGAACUAGCCCGCUUUGUACCAUGUAGCCGAGUUGCAACCGGUGGCUUAUCCUUACCUUUCUUCCCAUCCCACAUGUAAACAUCACCUGUAGCCGUAACUGCAGCAGUCCAGUAUUUCCCUGCAGAUAUGUUCACCAUAAUUCUUCCACCCAAUGAAUACAGCUAUACAAACAAACAAAAGAACACAGAGAAGAUUAGUGCUUUGACAUGCGUCGCCCAAAGGAUAAGACAAUCAACAACAUCACUAGUUUACUAAAGUAAAACCUGCUGGCAUCUGAAGUCUGGAUCUGAUGACACCCAAUAAAAUAAUGCGCCAUCAUCUGUCAGGGCUGUGCUAUGUACCAUCCCUGCAGCUAUAGAGACCACAUGAAGCCGUUCUUUGCGAUGAAACUUCAAAGUGGUAGUUCCACUCUUUUUCAAGUUUCUAGCAAUUACAACACGUUUUGGCGUAACAAUUCGAUGACCCCAAGUGUAUACCUGGCACAUAAAUACAUACAGGAUUAGGCUCAAAUAAAGCAGAUAGAGGAAAGUUUUCACAAGAUCCCAGAUAAAAGCAUAGUAUCUAAAUGUAUCGGAACUGAAUACCAGAGAUAGUUCUAAUGUUUGAGAAGAAUAUGCAAUUUUCAAUCAGGUUAAAUUUACCUCCCCAUCAACUCCCAAAACAAUUGUGUGAUAUUUUGCUGCUGCAACCCCCUUAAAAACCUUGCCUUUCAAGGAUUCAACUAAUCUUGGAGUGUAGUUUGAUGCAGAGUUGGAUGUACCAUAGCCUAGCUGACCCUCCCUAUUGCAACCCCAUGUGAAAACUUCACCGGCAUCGGAAACAACAGCAGUGUGCUUGUUGGCUGCAGCAACUUCAACAAUUUUUGACCUAAGAUAAUUCACUCUACGAGGAGUAGGUUGGGUAUCCACAGAAGUGUAGCCAAGCUGACCCUCUGCACAACAUCAUGUGAAUAAAUCAAUUUUCUAGUCCUCAAUCUCAGCAAUAAAUUGAUCACAGAUGAACCAUUUAUUAAUGCCCAAAUACAUUAAAGAAAACAAAUCAAUUCUCUGACAAGUUGAAUUGUGAAUGUAGCCAUUGACUAAAGAAGACAAAAUUUGUGUUUCUUUUAUUAUGAUCAGUAAGUAAUUUGAAAUAUCAACCCCUUUUAGUUGGCAGUUUAAAUCCCCAUAUGAUUUACCUCUGUUGGAUCCCCAAGUGAACACUUCCCCACCCUCCGUAGCAAUAACAGUGUGAUGUUUAGCUGCCGCAAUUGCCUUCACCUGACGGGACCCUAUACCAAAAGUCACCUGACGCGGUGUGAUAACUGCAGCUUGACCGCUGAAAUGCAUAUAAUAAAAUGGAUCUGACUGGCGAUUCACAAAAGGUAUAACUAGGUAAAGCAAGGAGAUUUCAACCGAUUAACCAUUUUUUUAGUGAAAGGUGACAAAACUCGACUUCUACUUCAUACUGUGAAUAAACCUACAGAAAUAUAGGGCUGUUUUUUCUUGCAUCUCGUCUUUUUACAAGUUCAAGAUGAAAAGUUCCUUCGCCUUAGAAACUACAUUCCUACUCAAAUCAUUUCUUAUUUUCCAUGAGGACAAGCAUAUUCGUGUACCCAAUACCAUACAUGGAUAUAUAAUGGUAGGAGUAUCACACACGUAAAUUUAGUUAUGUUAAAGCAUUCAAAAUUGUCCAAACAAUUAGCACAUUAAGAACUGUUGAGUACCUAAUUUUAGAUAUUAUAUGGAAAUGCUAAAUCAACCAAGGUCAAAGUAUCCUACAUGUUUAUACCUGUGUAUAUCAAAAUCGGGGUGACCAAGUCGUCCUCCUCUUCCAAAUCCCCAAGUGUAGACUUCUCCUCGAGAAGUGACUGCCACGCUAUGGAACUUAGCAGCAGAAACCAAUUUGAUUAAAGAACCACGAAGAACAUCAACCUUGCAUGGUAACUUUUGUAUGUGCGCAUUUCCAGUUCCAAGUUGAUAGUUUGUACCACUUCCCCAACUAUAAACCUCUGUAGUAACUGAAGACAACAAAAGGAAUCAGCUCAUCUCUAAGCACAAGUAAUAACAGUCUGAAAAAACAUAAGAUCCUCAGAAACCUUGGCAAAACACAGCGGUAGAUACCAGAAUUAUCUCCAUUUUGAAGAGCUUGCAUGACAGGCCCAGAUAGGAGAUCGAUAGGUGUUCGAAAUUUAGAAUCUUCUAGUGUGAUAGAAGCACCAGACUGGAGAAGUAUACUUGCCACUGCAAGAUGACCAAAAUGCAGAGCUCUGUGAAGGCUACUCCAUCCAGAUUCCCCAUCCUGCAAUAAAUGAUAUGAAUGGCCAUGCAAAUCAUAAAAACCAGUUUCCACAUUAAAUGAAAAGUAUAAAUGAACCCCAACCAAAACACAAAAGUAUCACAAAAAAUAUCAGUUCAUUCUGUUAUAUAAAUGAAUCAUACUUUCCUGAUCAAAGUGUUUGGGAUAAUUGGAAGUUAUAGCCUUCACCACAACAUAGAAGAUAAAAAAAUUAAAAAAAAAAACAUAGAAAUUCACAAACUUGUCACAUGCCUUGCAGAUGAGGCCUAUUUGUAAAAAUUAAUGGCUAAUAUUUUUGAAUUGUAGUUAUCUAAAAGUUGAGUAUUUACUUCUUUGCCUUUUUUACAUUGUAAAAACUUACAAACAACAACCAGUCUUAUCUCACUAAGUGGGGUCAGCUGUAUCUAGGACACCAUUGCGCUUGGUUUUGCACCAAGUCUUCCGUUAGCUCCAAGUACUCCAUGUCUUUUUAUAAAGUCUCUUUCCAAGUCCGUUUAGAUUAGCAAUUUACUUGAUUAUAUCAUGGUAGUUAGAUUAUAUCCUUGGCCUCAGUUGCUUUAUUUCUCUAAUAAUUUGUUAUUUCCUAUAAAAUUUCCUUAACUGCAGGUCUGAUUAACUGAAUUGUACGGAAGUUACAAAGUACAGCGACUCAAAAACACAAUUGGCAAUAAGAACUUUAAUAUAAUAUAGCAAUAACAUUACAACUGAAUUGUAUGGAAGUUUAUCGCUGAUAGUUACUUUAACAACAACUUCAGUCCUAAAUUUCAGGAAAGGUCGCUAAAUUUCAACUUUUACAGGUGCAUGAGUGAAGUAAUGAUAAAUAAAUAAAUAAAUAAUAAUCAUAUAAAACAAACAGCUUAAUAACCACUAGCAACAACAUAAAAGCAUUCAUGUCACUAAAAGAUUGGUAAAGCAACAAACCCUAGCAUCAGGGUCAGCACCAGCAGCAAGAAGCGUCCUGACAAUGGGAAGGUGAUUUCUCCAUGUUGCAAUAUGAAGAGGAGUGAGACCAAAAAUAUUUCUUGAAUUUAUAUCACCACCACUCUUCUUCAGUAAACCUAGUGCUGAAUCCACAUCAGCCAAUGAUCCUUCUCGCACAACAAUGCACAGAUCUUUCUGGGUUCCAGUUGACAGAAAUUUGCGAGCAGGCUUUUGUCCUUGAGGCGAGGCUUCCAUUAGUCUAAAAAGCAAGGCUGAAUGCCACUACGUAACGACUAAUAUGUUGUCACUGCCAGUUAAUGACCAACCAACCAUGGAGGUGUUGAGGUUGGUGUCGUCUAAUCCAUGUUCCAGUUGAUUUCCAAUCUAAUAUCUAGAAAUCCAAGUAGCUAAAUCAUCAUCAACGUCCUUGUGCUGAACACAAUCCCCUCACGGGACCCAAUCUCCGCUCCUCCGACAAACAGAGAUAUUCAAUAGACAAGAGACUGUAUUUGCAGUUACUCUGACAGUACAAUAUACCCUUCACGCCGACCAACUGAAACAAAUUUAAAACAACAUUAACAACUAAACCAAUUGCACGGAUUGCCAAAAGGGUUUUUUUAUCUGUCAUACAGCUACACCCUGAAUGACUGCCAAUUCGAUCUUAAAAAAUGCUAGAAACAAAAGUAAAAUUCUACCCCGCGGUAUGUAGAUUCUUUUUUUUCACAGAUUGGCAAUUAAUGGUAAGAUCACUGUAUCAGCGCUUACAUGAACCACAUUGCUCAUCUACUUUCAGUAUAAAAUAUAAUCCAUCUAUACAAGAUUUGUUCUUUCUAUGAAAUGAAAUCUCAGACAAAAAAAACUGAGACCUACUUCUCAUCAGUUGGCUAAUAGUCCAAUGACAAACCGAAAGAUAUGAUUUUCGAACAAAUCCCCGAAUCACCCAAUCGACUCAAAACGCAAACUUUAACACAAAAUUGACUCCCCCAAAUGUACGGAUCAAGUUAUAAUUUUCAAAACCCGCAUAAAAGUUCAAAUAAAAGAAAAAUCACAUGAAUUUGAAGAGUGCCAAUCAAACCAAAUCAUGCCCACCACCAGAAAAAGGAUUUCAUAUAAGAAAAUGAGCACGAAACUAACACUACUAGAAUGGCAAGAACAGAAACGUGAACCCAAUACACACCGAGAUACCAGAAAACAAUCAAUACCCAUUUUCCAGAAACUACAAUAAAUCACAAGAACAGAGAUAAUAAGCUCGGAAAUUAACUGACCAACUCAACUGGAUCGCAUCAAAAUUCCAAAAUAAAUCGUUAAAAUUUACCCAAGAAAAUAAUAAUACGAAAAUAAAUCACCUGUUUUCCUCUGGAGGGAGAGAGAGAGAGAGAGAGAGAGAGAGAGAGAGAGAGAGAAUUUAAAGGAGCUGUUACCGUGUUGCUGUUGCGUUCUGUUCUGUGAAUCGAAACGGAGAAUAUCCUGAAAGGCAUAAACGCAUCAACGCUUCAGACAGAGAGGAGAGAACCGAAUCUUUAAACUGGAAGGGCAUUUUGGGAAUUAGAAUAGUUGGGUGAAGAAAAAUGUGGUUGUACUUUAGAGUUGACGGAGAUGGCGUUGGCGUGCGCGCGCGCGCGCGAGAGGUGGGCGGUCUGAUCAGCUCUAUUCGGUUCGGUGAAGUCUCUCUCCCCGUUUGACACGGGCUUGCUCUUUAAGCCUUACGUGUUCCCUUUUCAUUUUUUGGUAAAUCUCAAGGUGAUAUUAGUGAGAGAAUAUUUACUGUAUUCGCAUCCAGAAGUACAUCAUAUAUCAUUAUUAUAUAUGUAGAAAAAAAAAUUUUAUUUCUCAAAUGUUUUUUACUUGUAUAAUAACAUAAGAUAUUAAAAUUUGUCAUCUUGUGUUUUAAGCACAUUGCAAAAUUGAUCCUGAAAUCUUCCACUCACGAUUGUUAUUAAUUGAUUUCUCGUGACUUGUACUUAACCGGAAAAAAUAUUUUUGCAUUUCAGAUGAUACAUUUUUUUAACUAAUUUUUUUUAAAUAAUGAAGUGAUACACGCAUAGUAAAACAUGAGUUUGGGUGGUAAAUUAUCAAAAAAUUAUUGGGUGGUAAAUUAUCAAAAUUUUACUACUUUGGACUUCAGAAGGGCGUUUGUGCAACUCUGGCAAAUAAUUUCGAGCCCCUACGACGUCGUACAGAAUAAUAAAAUACGUAGGGUUUCAGAAUUUGCGUGAAAUACGGGUGAAAAAGUUCCCAAAUUUCAAGACUUUUCACUCCAUUUCAGCCUAUAAAUCCCUGAACCUCCCAUAAACCCCACAGUUCCGCCGGAGCUCAUAGCGUCGCAACUCUACUUCCGACCAUCAGAGAAACCCAGCAACUCUCCUUCACCCAAUAGAAAUUCAUUCUGAUUCCCAGAAAAUCAAUAUCAAAUUGCGGGAAGGAAGUGGCACGCCAGGUCCCAUGGACUCGGAAAACUCAUCCGCCGUUAAGGUACUCUCUCUCUCUCUCUCUCUCUCACUUUCUCUCAUUCGCACACUAGGGUUUUGUUUGUCAAGUUCUUAGCUUUAUUGGUUUUUUGCUUGAAUUUUGAUUAAGCUUUAGUGUGUUUGAUUUUGCUCAGAAGAAUGAGGGGAGAGAAGAUGAGGAGCUUACUAACUUAAUGAAGAAACUACGAUUUGAGGAAUCAUCAUCCGGUUCAGGGCAGGCAUCAGUGUCUAACUUCAAGAGAAAACCGGUUAUUGUAAUCGUUGUCGGCAUGGCAGCUAACUUCUGUUUGGAUCAAAACUUAAACUUUGGGCCGGGGGAAGUUGGCCCAAAAAGCAACCUAAAAGGGAGAGGAAAUUGAAGGCCCAGUCAAAAACCCACCCAAAGUCCAGAAAGCGGGAUAGGCUUUUUCCCGACUAGGUGCAGGCCAUGUAGACCACUUGCUCACCUAUCCAAAGGCCAAGUGGUCUAGACCAACCAGCUAAUCAGCCCAAAAAGUACUUUUAAAUGAGAGUGCAAGUAAAUAGCUGAUGAGUCACUACCCUUCAAACUGCAUUCGGGCAAGGUUGCUGCUACAUGAGGCCAAGCUAAGAUGUCUAUAAAAGGAGAAAGAGAAGUCAGAAUCAAGGACACUCAAACAAACAAAUACAAGCACAAACUCUGCUCAAAGCCAGAUUUGCCUUCAAAACGAAGCUGUAGUCAGCCCAAGCCUUCAUCCCUUUCGGGGUAACCCUUUUUUGUAAUAGCUCUGCUACCCUGCUCAACUCUUGCUGUAGUAUCGAUAUCUUUUCUGAAAACUCACCUCCCAGUCUUUUUUUCUAAGCUUUCAAACCUCUUGCAAGACGAUUAGCCUUGUCCGACAAGGUUAAACCUUGCCCGACCCUUUUUGUUUUUGUCUUUUUAUUCAUUAGCCUAGCAAUAUGUUAUAUAAUACAAAUUGUACCCAAGUUAUUUCUAGUAAUAUGGCUAUUAAAAGGUUCUCUCAGUGCUUGAAUCUGAUUUGAACAUGUUUCCACUGUUCAAGUUAGAUCUAAGUUCUAGUUCUAAGCCCUCGGGCAUAUAAGAUUUGAUCACCCUAAAAGUCCUUGGCCUCAAGGCAUGAAAAAGAACCUGAUGUGGACUUAACCCAUCCACUACAAGUUUUGAUAACAAGAAGUCCGAAGUUACUUGGGGCGCAAGUAAUCGACCUGUCACUUAGUUUUAUUUCUGUUAUAUCAUGAUUACCAUGUAACGUUCGGGGACGGGAUGAAUUCUGAUGGGAAGCAUCAAGGCCUAUACUUAAGGCCCCACAAAGGCACCUAUUUGGAUUCAUCCUAUUUCUCGGGCAAGAACAUUGAAUAUAGAAGGGGUUCUGAUGGGAAGCCUUAAGGCCUAUACCUAAGGCCCCACAAAGGCACCUAUUUGGAUUCAUUCUGUUCUUUACGUUCAGGUAAUCAGAAGUAUGAUGGUUAUAAGAUCCAUAUAACCAAGAAAAGGAACCUUAUGUGUUCGAGCACUGUUUAGUUAUUGAUUGUGAAGCCUUAAGGCCUAUACCUAAGGCCCCACAAAGGCACCUGUCAAUAACUAAACAUAGUCUCUCGAACAUAUAAUUAAACUCAAACAUCCGUUCUACAUCGGUCAUGUUGAAGAUGGCAGUGGCACGCCUGAGCACGUAAAGGUUAAUCUUGAUUGUGAAGCCUCAAGGCCUACACCUAAGGCCUCACAAAGGCACAUUUCAAAGUUAACUCUGUCCUUCUCUUUCAGACUUGCCCGACAAGCCUUGCUCGACAACCCCGCCAGUAAAGCAGGAGCCCGACAGAAACCAUCAACCGGCGCCAACCUCUCGGGGAGCUGUGUGCUCGUCGGACAGGAAGCAUCCCCCACGGAAAUUCCAACCACGAACAUAGUUUUGGCACGGCCGAUGGGAUUUUGCUGAUCAAAGCAAUAUGUCAAAAGGAUCAGAAGAUUUCCAAACUGCUUUAUUGCACAUGCUGCAAAGAUUGGAGAACACCUCUGCAGGCUCCAGAAAAGAAGAUGAUCCGGUUCUAAAACCACCUAUUCUUAUGUCUUUACCUCAUCUUGGGGAGAAAAGUGAUAGGGAAAAUAGGGGGCUUAAAACCAAUCAACUAGAAGAAGCUGCGGUGACGGAUAAACAUACGGAUCCCUUCUCAGAAGCCCCUAUCAAUAUGAUCAGUAUGGCCUGGGCAGAGAAGGGAAACGAGAAGGUCACAAGAGAGGAAGAAAGAAGACUGAUUGACAAACCCAUAAAAAUGGUGGUUAACUUGCCCGAAUAUCCAAAAGCCGCCAUAUUCAAAGGAAGGGUGAUGUGCAGUAAGUGCCAAUGCGAGUGUGAGCUCGAAAUACCACCCACAUGAGCCUUCAUAGACCAUGAACUGAUCAGAAGGAAUGAAGAGCAAAAGAGAAAAGAGGCACAAGAGAAGGCUCGGCGAACUACAGGAAGGGAUACCUCCCGAAGUGUCUUUCAGCGGCUAGGAGGUGAUUCCCAACCAAGGGCUUUAUCAGAAAUCUUUCGUAACCAUGAGGUUUCUGAAGAAGCAGAGGAUAAAGAUGCUAAGAAGCCAAAAGAAAGAAGUGUAGGGCAUUCUCAGUACGACCAUAUGGGAAGAGAAGUCAAGAGGAAUGACAGGAUAACAAACCCUGUCACAAAGGAUAAUCCUGCCCGCCUCGGACGAAAAUGGUAUGUGGUCGGAAAGAAUGGACAGCCCGUUAAGCAAAUGGGGGCUUGCAUGGUCAGAAGGGUUCAGAGGCAACAUAAAGCUUACAUGAAUUCCUUGAAAGCCCCAGCGACGUCAGAAGCCUCUAAAAAUCAAAAGUUAGAGAAAACGUCAUCUGGAGAGAGCAGUCAGCUCCACUGGAGAAGUAAGAAGGAGGUGGAAAGGGCUAACAUCAAGAUUGAGGGCGAAGGAAAUCAUGUGCCACCAAACCUGCACCCUGGGAAAUAUAGAAUCUUGAGGAGAGCUCAAGAAGAUAUGGUUAUGGUGCCAACUCCUGGCUGGAAGGCAGAACAACCUAUUUUCUUUGGAACUGUCUCCCCUGAGAAAAAACAACCUUCUCCAUCAUUAGGGAAUCCCUUCGGGGAAGUUCCAAAACAAACACCAUGCCCAUGUGUGAAUCAACUCGUGGGGGCACCAGAACCAUUGCUUCCACCAGAUGCUAUGGCAUGAUUGGAUGAGUUCAUGGACCAGAUUGGGAGCAAAAAGAGGAAUUGCUAGAGCCUAGCAACUUUCAUAUAAACAUGGCAUAUGUGCUACCUGCUAUGUUUGUUGCCCAACCUGAUCAGCCCGUCGCCAUGGAAGGAGAUUAUGUAGCAACUGAGCCAAUGAUGGCUCAUGUUAAUAUAGAGGAAGCAGAGGAAUGAGAGUCGGGAAAAGCUGCAUCAUCUGAAGCAUCUAAAGAGGGUCCUUUAAGGAUCUACACAGACAAAAUGGUGUUCAGCAGCCCGACCAUUUCACUUGCCAAUCAUCUGAAACCCAUAUAUGUAACAACUCAUCUGGAGAGGGUGCCCUUCAGAAGGAUUUUGAUUGAUGGAGGGGCAGCUGUUAAUGUAUUACCAGCUAAGCAGAUGAAAAAAUUGGGGAGAGGCACAGAGGAUCUUAUUCCUACAGACCUCACAGUUUCUGGUUUCUCGGGCGCUAUCACCAAGACUCUUGGGAUAUUGCCUUUGGAAGUAGAUCUGGGGUCUAAACAGAUUAUGCUGGCGUUCUUUGUGGUGGACUGCACCUCCACCUAUGGAGCCUUACUUGGAAGGGAUUAGAUCCACCAAAGUCUUGCUGUACCCUCUACCCUACAUCAACAAGUGGCUGUGUAUCAUGAAGCAAGCGCAGAAGAGCCAGGCUUUUGGGAGAUAGUAGAGGCCGAGUCACAGCCAUUUCUUCUCACAGCCAAUAUAGCGGAAGCAAGUUUCUACAAUCCCAACGUAGGAAUCUUGAAGUGUUUGGGAGCAGAUGAGAACGGCCGCCCUACCAAGGUGACGGCCCAAAAGCUUCUAGAAUAAGGGAUGCUCUUUACUAGAGAAGAGUGGGAUAGACCUUUUAUCAUCCCAACACCCCUACACCAUCAAUGAUAGAACAAAAAAGGAAAGAUCAGGUAAUGGCAGUCAGAUCCCUGAUUAAAUGACUGUUGGUGUAUGGGAAAGAAAGAAGACAAGAAAAGGAGCUCUUAGACAGAGAAGAGCAGGAAUGGCAGGUAGGAGCUUCAACCAGCCAUGAUCAAAGCAGCGAGGAAUCUUGUCAAUAAGAAUUGGAAAGGGCCAUUCAAAUGGCCGAGUGUAUAAAUGACCUAGAUGAGCCAGACGACUUGCCCGAGAGCCCAGAGCUAGUCGAAUUUUUGUGUGCAGAACCUGAUAAGCCACCACUAGAGGUCCAAGAUCCUUUGGAAGUUAUUGAGCUAGGAACAAAGGAGGACCCAAGACCAAUACAAAUCAGUGGUUUAUUGAAGCAAGAAGAUCGGGCACAAAUUAUUUAUCUCUUGCAAGAAUUCAGAGAUUGUUUUGCUUGGCAUUACACUGAGAUGUCGGGUUUAGAUGCAACUUUGGUGGAACACAGAAUGCCCAUCAAGGAAGGAUAUAAGCCGGUUAAGCAAGCACCACGAAGGAUGUCGAAGGAGAUAGAAGAGAAGGUCAAAGAAGAGAUUGAAAGGCUCGUAAAAGCCGGAUUUAUCAGGCCAGCCAAAUAUGUAGAGUGGUUAGCUAAUAUUGUACCCGUUUUAAAAGCUGUAACAAAAGCAGUACGAUGUUGUGUUGAUUACAGAAAUAUUAAUGGCGCUACACCUAAAGAUGAAUAUCCUAUGCCUAUGGCAGAUCUGUCCAUAGAUGCAGUAGCAAAACACAAAGUCUUAUCUUUUAUGGAUGGAAAUGCCGGGUAUAAUCAGAUAAAGAUGGCCUCGGAAGAUAUACAUAAAACAGCUUUUAGGUGCCCUGGGCAUGUGGGGGCAUAUGAAUAUCUGGUCAUGCCCUUCGGGCUCAAGAAUGCUGGUGCAACCUACCAAAGGGUGAUGAAUGCCAUCUUUCAUGAUCUAAUUGGCCAGAAUAUGGAGGUGUAUAUUGAUGACAUCGUGGUGAAAUCUAAGACGGAAGAACAACAUCUGAUAGACCUCAGGCAGGCACUAACAAGAAUGAGGGUCCACAAAUUGAAGAUGAAUCCAAAGAAGUGUGCGUUUGGAGUAAGAGCGAGCAAUUUCUUGGGAUUCCUGGUUCAUCAACGAGGGGUAGAAGUGGACAAGAAUAAAGCUCGGGCAAUAAUGGAGUCACCUUCACCUACCAACAAAGUGCAACUUCAGAGGCUGUUGGGAAAAAUUAAUUUCUUAAGAAGAUUCAUUGCCAACCUGGCGGGCAAGAUUCAGCCGCUGACUCCUUUAUUAAGACUGAAGGAUAAAGAGAAUUUCGAGUGGGGACCACCGCAUCAAGAGGCUUUUGAUGGUAUCAAAGCUUAUUUGACUUCUCCUCAAUUAUUGGUACCACCUCAGAGGGGAAAACUCUUAAAGCUAUAUAUCUCCGCUUCAGAUAAAUCAAUUGGGAGUUUGCUAGCUCAGAACAAUGAAGGCGGGAAAGAGUAGGCAGUGUACAACCUCAGUAGAAUUCUGACCAAGGUAGAAACAAGAUAUUCCCCAGUAGAGAAAUUAUGCUUAGCUCUGUAUUUUACUGCCAAUAAGCUGAGGCAUUACAUGUUACCUUGUCACGUGCACAUCAUCGCCAAGACAGAUGUGAUAAAGUACAUGCUGUCAAAGCCAAUGUUAAUAGGGAGGAUUGGGAAAUGGAUUCUAGCAUUAUCAGAAUUCAACUUCCAGUAUGUUCCCCAAAGGGCAGUAAAAGGCCAAACAAUUGCUGACUUCUUGGCGGAGCAUCAAGAAUCUCGAGAUGAGAUAAUCAAUAUACCAGGAACCGUGGAAGUUACUAAUGUUUGGAUCCCGCCAGGUAAAGGGAUAUCGGGCAAAGAAGAGUGGAUCCAGCAGGAGAUAAGAAUAGUGGCUGGUUUGUGGAUUACUCAUUGGAAGCUGUAUUUUGAUGGUUCUUAUACUCAUAAGGCUUCAGGAGCUGGGGUUGUGAUUAUCAAUCAUCAGGGGAUUUAUCAUUAUUACUCAUUUCUUUUGGAUUAUCAAGGGAAUACCAACAAUCGGGCAGAGUACGAGGCCUUAAUAAUUGGUUUGGAAAUCUUGAUGGAUCUGGGGGCAAUGGAAGUUGAGGUGUUUGGUGAUUCAGAAUUGGUAAUAAACCAGCUAAAUGGGGAGUUCAAUUGCAGACAUAUCACCAUGGCCGGAUAUUAUUUGGCGGCUACGCAAUUGCUGAGUUAUUGGGAUUCUGAGAUAUCGGUGAGUCAUGUUCCCCGGGGAGCCAACUUAGCAGCCAAUGAGAUGGCGCAAUUAGCCUCAGGCAUGCCAGUACAGGAGAGAAGAUAUGGGUUAGAUGUCGAGAUUCAAAGGAGAAAUCUUCCUUCUAUCCUGGAAAGGGGAUUCAGCCUGGAUAUAAUGGUUCAGGAGACUGAGAAAGAAGAUUGGAGAUCGCCCAUCACCCUUCAUUUGAAAGAUCCCUCUUCACCUACCAGCAAGAAGAACCGACAUCAAGCAACUAAGUAUGUCUUAUGGGCGAAAGACUUACUAAGGAAAACUCCAGACGGGUUAUUACUGAAAUGCCUAGGCCAAGAAGAAUCUAUGCGAGUAAUGGCCGAAGUACAUGAAGGAGUAUGUGGAGCACAUCAGGCGAGGACAAAGAUGAGGUGGUUGCUUAGGCGAUAUGGUUAUUUUUAGCCCAACAUGGAAAAGGAUUGCAAGUCUUAUGCCUGAGGGUGUGAGGAAUGUCAAAGGCACGGUCCUCUCCAACAUGUACCCUCUGUACAUUUGAAUCCAAUAGUCAAGCCAUGGCCUUUCCGAUGAUGGGCGAUGGACUUCAUCGGGCAGAUAUAUCCAGCUUCUAGUAAGGGGCACACUUUCAUAAUUGUGGCAACGGAUUACUUCACCAAAUGGGUGGAAGCGACGGUAAAAUCCAUAACCUCAGCCACAAUUAAGAAUUUCAUUGAGACCAAGAUUCUGCAUAGAUUUGGGGUGCCCGAAACUAUUGUGACUGAUUGAGGGCCAUCUUUUAUCUCAAAAGAAGUUGAAGAAUUUGCAAGCAAAUACAAAAUAAAGAUGAUCCAGUCCAGUCCUUACUACCCGCAGUAAAAUGGCCAGGCAGAAUCCAGCAACAAGAUUUUGGUAAACAUUAUUAAAAGAAUGGUGAUUGAGAGUCCGAAAAAGUGGCAUGAAAAGCUGGGAAACACUUUGUGGGCAUACAAAACUUCCAGGAGGGCAGGAACAGGCACAACUCCUUAUGCUUUAACAUUCGGGCAAGAUGCAGUGCUUCCCAUGGAAAUCAACGUAAGUUCUAUCAGAAUUCAAAAUCAGUUUGGGUUACACAGCGAGGAAUAUAUCGAAGCCAUGUGUCAAGGAAUUGAAGACCUAGAUGUAGCCCGACUUGAAGCCUUGAAUCAGAUUCAAGAAGGAAAGAAAGUUGUUGCCCGAGCUUAUAACAAGAAGGUGAAGGUGAAGUCUUUUAAGGAGAGGGAUUUAGUAUGGAAGACAAUCCUCUCUCUAGGAGCUCAGCUUAGGGGCUUUGGAAAGUGGAGUUCGACAUGGGAAGGUCCUUUCAUAAUUAGUCAAGUAUUAAACAAAGGGGGGUAUUACCUGGCGGAUCUCGAAGGAAAGGGGCAGAAACAUCCCACUAAUGUUAAAUUCUUGAAAAAAUAUUGUCCUACAUGGGAUGUUAGAGAUUGUUAUAUUGAAGAUGAUGCAAGGUAAAACAAAUGUUGGAAUAUCAAGGUGCAGUAUAUGAUCACCAACCAUUCAAAAGAAAACAGAAAAACAAAAAGUUGCUAAGACAAUGUUUAUUUCAUUUCGACAAAUUGGUGAUAUUUGCAAACAGAUCCAAGUCCUAAGUACUACAUUCGAUUCCUUCUGGAUACAAUGUUAUUUUCAGCUGGUUUUCCGAUGUCUUCCUAGAUAGGACCCGAUCAGGUGAUCGGGUUGUGCGGCCAAGACGUGCCUGGUAGAGGAUCAUCAGACAGAGUCACCACCACAUGAUGGUGAAGCCUGAUUUAUCACGGCGACGAGCGGGAAGGCAAGUCAUCGUGAGGAAACCGUCUGACCAAGGGUGUUGGAUAUAGCGGGGUGAUCGACCAAAGGUGUUGGAGAUAAUAGUUAUCUGAUGAGAACUCUUUUUCUCACGAAAAGGGAGUUUUAAGAAACCCCACUUAAACUCUGAAGAACUCAUUUUCACAGUUUUUGGAAGAAAACUAAGGAAGUAAAAACAUUGGGAGCGGGUAAAAGAUAAGGUCGAGGAUGAUUUGUGGGGAAAACCAGAAUUUAUAGGAAUGUCAGAAGGUAGUUCAAAGGUUGUGGGAAGAUCAAAAGACUCCGGAUGGCGUUAAUCUCAAUAAGAAAAUACAAGUUCCAAGAGUAAGGGCGCAGACGCAUGCAGCUAUUCAAUUAAUAUUGGCGCCUGAAAUUCCUGGCUAAAUAUCAAUUGAAGGGGGCACAGUUUGGAUCAAAACUUCAACUUUGGGCCCGGGGGAAGUUGGCCCAAAAAGUAGCCUAAAAGGGAGAGGAAAUUGAAGGCCCAGUCAAAAACCCACCCGAAGUCCAGAAAGCAGGAGAGGCUUUUUCCCGACUAGGUGCAGGCCAUGUAGACCACUUGCUCACCUACCCAAAGGCUAAGUGGUAUAGACCAGCCAGCUAAUCAGCCCAAAAAGUACUUUUAAAUGGCAGUACAAGUAAAUAGUUGAUGAGUCACUACCCUUCAAACUGCAUUCGGGCAAGGUUGCUGCUACAGGAGGCCAAGCUAAGAUGUCUAUAAAAGGAGAAAAAGAGGUCAGAAUCAAGGACACUCAAACAAACAAAUACAAGCACAAACUCUGCUCAAAGCCAGAUUUGUCUUCAAAACGAAGCUGUAGUCAGCCCAAGCCUUCAUCCCUUUCGGGGUAACCUUUUUUUGUAAUAGCUCUGCUACCCUGCUCAACUCUUGCUGUAGUAUCGAUCUCUUUUCUGAAAACUCACAUCCCAGUCCUUUUUCUAAGCUUUCAAACCUCUUACAAGACGAUCAGCCUUGCCCGACAAGGUUAAACCUUGCCCGACCCUCUUUGUUUUUGUCUUUUUAUUCAUUAGCCUAGCAAUAUGUUAUAUACUACAAAUUGUACCCAUCCACUACAAGCUUUGAUAACAAGAAGUCCGAAGUUACUUGGGGCGCAAGUAAUCGACAUGUCACUUAGUUUUAUUUCUGUUAUAUCAUGAUUACCAUAUCACGUUCGGGGACGGGAUGAAUUCUGAUGGGAAGCCUCAAGGCCUAUACCUAAGGCCCCACAAAGGCACCUAUUUGGAUUCAUCCUUUUUCUCGGGCAAGAACAUUGAAUAUAGAAGGGAUUCUGAUGGGAAGCCUCAAGGCCUAUACCUAAGGCCCCACAAAGGCACCUAUUUGGAUUCAUUCUGUUCUUUACGUUCAGGUAAUCAGAAGUAUGAUGGUUAUAAGACCUAUAUAACCAAGAAAAUGAACCUUAUGUGUUCGAGCACUGUUUAGUUAUUGAUUGUGAAGCCUCAAGGCCUAUACCUAAGGCCCCACAAAGGCACCUGUCAAUAACUAAACAUAGUCUCUCGAACAUAUAAUUAAACUCAAACAUCCGUUCUACAUCUGUCAUGCUGAAGAUGGCAGUGGCACGCCUGAGCACUUAAAGGUUAAUCUUGAUUGUGAAGCCUCAAGGCCUACACCUAAGGCCUCACAAAUGCACCUUUCAAAGUUAACUCUGUCCUUUUCUUCAGACUUGCCCGACAAGCCCGCCAGUAAAGCAGGAGCCCGACAGAAACCAUCAACCGGCGCCAACCUCUCGGGGAGCUGUGUGCUCGUCGGACAGGAAGCAUCCCCCACGGAAAUUCCAACCACGAACAACUUCAUUGAAUUAGGUUGUUUUACUUGAUUCAUUUUGGUUCCUAGUUUGGUGAAUAAUUGUGUUAUUAUGUGACUACUCGAUUAAGCGAUUGAAAUGUGUUGUGGGUUUUGAUUAGGGAGUGGUAAGACAACCUUUAUGCAUCGGUUGGUUUCGCACACACAUGAAUCCAACAUUCGUGGAUACGUGAUGAAUCUCGACCCAGCUGUGAUGACUCUCCCGUUUGGUGCGAACAUUGACAUACGGGAUACUGUUCGGUACAAGGAGGUGAUGAAACAGUUCAAUCUUGGACCAAAUGGUGGGAUUUUGACUUCACUCAACUUGUUUGCUACCAAGUUUGAUGAGGUACUUGCUUCUUAAUCUUUGCCUCAAGUCAUUUUGUUCACUUGAGCGUUUGGAACGCACCGUAAAUGGGAUAUGGCGUCCUUUUUUUUACUAUCAACUCAUCUUCAUAAGCAUUUGGAAGAGUUUUGUAUCACAUGCAUAGUACGUCAGAUUGUAAUUUUGGUGAUUUCAUUCAAUAACUUUGUAUAAUGUAUUGCAUCGUUGGGCUGAGUACUGGUUCUACUUGUUCAAUUUGUUUCCAAACGUCGAAUCCUUAUGAAAAUGAAUCCAGAACAAAAUCGCGCUAAAGCUAGGGCGUCACCCGUAAGUGGCGCGCUGUGUGGCCUGAGCACAGUGAUAAGUGAGCAAGGGUCGCUGCAUCUCCAUCGGCACCCGGAUGCAGUGUUAAAUGAGCAAGGGGGCCAUAGAAACUUCUUUUCGAACGACUCCACUCAAAGUUGUUUGGGAGCAUAUGCUCCUAUCAAUUUUACCCGGGACACACAAAAGAAGUACUUUGAUCCUAUUAGACGGGGGAGGGUGAAGAAGCUAGGACAGAAGGGUAGAGUUCAAGAGAGCAAAAUGCGUUUAGGAACGUGGAAUAUAGGAACCUUAACGGGAAAAUCUAUGGAAAUAGUGGAAGUUAUGGUGAGGAGAAGGAUAAAUAUUAUGUGCCUACAAGAAACUAAGUGGGUUGGUAGUAAGGCAAAGGAUCUAGAAAACUCAGGGUUUAAACUUUGGUAUUCGGGCACAAAUAGAACGAGAAACGGUGUUGGCAUCAUCGUGGACAAGACCUUGGUACAAGAUGUUGUAGAUGUCAAGAGGGUAGGAGAUAGAAUCAUGGCAAUCAAGAUUGUAAUAGGACAAGAACUUAUCAAUGUGAUUAGUGCGUACGCACCUCAAGUAGGGUUGGAUACGAGUUCGAAGGAGAAAUUUUGGGAAGAUCUUGGAGACUUGGUGCAAGGAAUUGCUCAGACGGAGAAGUUAUUUAUAGGAGGAGAUUUAAAUGGACACGUGGGCAGGGAGACAGGCAACUAUGGAGGUUUUCAUGGUGGCCAUGGUUUUGGGGAGAGAAACGAGGAUGGGGAAGCUAUCUUGGAUUUUGCAAUGGCAUAUGAUCUCUUCUUAGCCAACACCUUCUUUAAGAAGAGAGAAGAACAUGUGAUCACCUACAAGAGUGGGUCGUCAAAAACACAAAUAGAUUUUCUUCUAAUGAGGAAAGGGGAUCGUAUAACUUGUAAAGGAUUGCAAAGUUAUACCAGGAGAGAGCGUGGCUAAUCAACAUCGCUUGUUGGUGAUGGAUGUACAUAUCAAAAGAGUAAGACAAAAGAACAAGACUUGGAAGUGCCCAAGGACUAGAUGGUGGAAUCUAAAAGAAGAAAAACAAGUCAUUUUCAAAGAGAGAAGGUAAUCACCCAAUGUGUGUGGGAUAGAGAGGGGGAAGCUAGCCAAAUGUGGGAUUCCAUGGCUAGUUGUAUCCGAAAAGUAGCAAAAGAGGUAUUAGGAGAGUCCAAGGGCUUUGCCCCACACCAAAAGGAAUCUUGGUGGUGGAAUGAGGAGGUACAAACAAAGGUGAAGGCUAAGAAGGAAUGUUGUAAAGCCUUAUACAAGGAGAGGACCGAUGAAAAUGGUGAAAAGGUAUAGAAAAGCGAAGCAAGAGGCGAAAAAAAGCUGUCAGAGAAGCUAAGUUAGCGGCUUACGACGAUAUGUAUAAACGACUAGAUACCAAAGAAGGAGAGUUGGAUAUCUAUAAACUAUCUAGAGCAAGGGAAAAGAAGACAAGGGACCUAAACCAAGUGAGGUGCAUCAAGGAUGAGGAUGGAAAGGUUCUUGCUACAGAGAACGCGGUUAAAGACAGAUGGAGAGGUUAUUUUCAUAAUCUUUUCAAUGAAGGACAUGAAAUGAGUGCUUCUUUAGGGGAGUUGAGUAACUCAGAAGAGUGUAGAAACUACUCUUUUUAUCGUCGAAUCCGGAAGGAAGAAGUGGUUGUAGCUUUGAAGAAGAUGAAGCAUAAAAAAGCAAUAGGCCCAGACGAUAUACCAAUCGAAGUGUGGAAACUUUUGGGAGAGACAGGUAUAACAUGGCUCACUGACCUUUUCAAUAGGAUUUUGAAAACGAAGAAGAUGCCAAAUGAGUGGCGAACGAGCACUUUGGUGCCUAUCUACAAGAAUAAGGGCGACGUACAAAAUUGCAUGAACUAUAGGGGUAUUAAGCUAAUGAGUCAUACAAUGAAGCUCUGGGAGAGAGUCAUUGAGCAUAGAUUGAGGCAAGAGACACGGGUUUCGGACAACCAAUUCGGGUUCAUGCCAGGGCGCUCAACCAUGGAGGCAAUCUAUCUCUUACGAAGAUUGAUGGAAAGAUAUAGAGAUGGGAAAAAGGAUUUACACAUGGUCUUUAUAGAUUUGGAAAAAGCGUAUGAUAGGGUCCCAAGAGACAUUCUUUGGAGGAUUUUAGAGAAGAAAGGAGUACGAGUAGCAUAUAUCCAAGCUAUAAAGGAUAUGUAUGAAGGAGCAAAGACUGCCGUAAGAACUCAUGAAGGACAAACCGAAAGCUUUCCCAUAACUGUAGGAUUACAUCAAGGCUCAUCCUUAAGUCCUUACCUUUUUGCGUUGGUAAUGGAUGAGUUAACAGGACAUAUUCAAGAUGAUAUUCCUUGGUGUAUGCUUUCGCAGACGAUAUAGUGUUGAUAGAUGAAACUCAGGAAGGGGUAAAUGCAAAGCUUAACCUUUGGAGAGAAGUGUUGGAAUCUAAAGGUCUUCGCCUAAGCCGAUCAAAGACAGAAUAUAUGGAGUGCAAGUUCAGUGCAAAUGGAGGCCAAAACGAGUUAGGGGUGAGGAUCGGAGAUCAAGAAAUACCAAAGAGCGACCGUUUUCGUUACCUAGGAUCUAUCUUGCAAAAGAACGGAGAAUUAGAUGGAGAUCUCAACCAUAGAAUACAAGCUGGAUGGAUGAAGUGGAAGAGUGCAUCCGGCGUGUGUUGUGUGACCGCCGUAUGCCACUGAAGCUCAAGGGAAAAUUUUAUAGGACGGCAAUAAGGCCGGCGAUGCUGUAUGGCACAGAAUGUUGGGCGGUGAAACAUCAACACGUACACAAAAUGGGUGUAGCGGAGAUGAGGAUGCUUCGUUGGAUGUGUGGGCACACGAGAAAGGAUAAGAUUAGGAAUGAGGAUAUCCGGGGUAAAGUAGGAGAGUAGCCGAAAUUGAAGGAAAGAUGAGAGAAAAUCGGUUACGGUGGUUUGGACAUGUGCAAAGAAGGCCUACUGACGCUCCGAUUAGAAGAUGCGACUAUGGGACAGAGGUUCAGGGCCGAAGGGGUAGAGGAAGACCUAGGAAAACUUUGGAAGAGACUCUAAGAAAAGACUUAGAGUACUUGGAUCUAACGAAGGACAUGACACAGGAUCGAGCACAAUGGCGUUCUAAGAUUCAUAUAGCCGAUCCCACUCAGUGACUUGGAUUUUCCAAGUCUCCAACCGAGAAGUUUUCCUCACUCGGGAAAUUAAGGGAACACUACCCCAACCUACAUGCUCCACUCAGAAAGCUUCAACAUACAAAGCUUCAACAAAAGAAAAUUCAAAGAACUUAGCGAAGAAGGCUUUGGUGUAUUUAACACAAUACGUUGAAAUGAAGGAAAGCUUAUUUAUUGAUAUCCCCGAUAAGCUACAAAUAUGUACAUAUACAUGAGUCAAAAUAAACACACAAGAGGGAGCCUUCACAAAGGUUGCUUAGGAGAAGUCUCAGCAGUCGGUAGAGCCCCAGAAAGAGAAGGCACCGGAGGGGGAUCAUUUGGAGCCUCAGUACUGGACAGAACCCUAGAAGGAGGAGGCAUCAGAGGUUGAUCAUUUGGAGCUUCAUUACGCGGUACAGCCCCAGAAGACGAAGGCAAUAAAUGCCUUUGGAACAAACCCACAAAUCUCUGAUGAUCAAGUAAAACCUGACCAUCAGUUUCCUUCAUCUGGUCAAGCUUCCUCUUCAUGUUUGUAGCAUAGUCAUGUGCGAGCCGGUGCAACUGUUUAUUCUCAUGCUUGAGCCCUCUAAUCUCCUGUUUGAGACUCAUCACUUCAGCCGCCAAUGAUUCAACUUGGCGGGUUCGAGCAAAUAGGCGUUGGGCCAUAUUAGACACAGAACCUGCACACUGAACACUGAGAGCCAGCGAAUCCUUAACAGCUAACUCAUCAGACCGUUUGGAAAGUAGUCUGUUAUCUUUGGGAGUGAGAAGGUUCCUGGCCACCACCGCAGCGGUCAUAUCAUUCUUUCAUCACGGAAUCCCCAACGGUAAGAGGACCAGUAGGGGAGACGAAGGAUGGGCGCCAUAUGUUGUCUGGAGAAGGCGGGGCUGCCUCUUCAACAAGGUUCAAGUCAAAACGACGGUCGGAGGGGCCAGACAUUUUCAAAGGUGUUGAAGAGAGAAGAGGUCGGACAAAUCAAGAUCUUAGAAGUGCAAGAAUGAAGCUUCUACUGGUGGAGAUUCAAGUGUGCUUUGGAACUUAAUGCCAGCCCCUAUAAAAAUCUGCACUCGACGGAGCUUCAGAAAUCGAAGAGGCGCCUGCUCAGAAAUCGAAGAGGCGUUUGCUUUCUCAAAAGCUGGGCUGCUUAGAGAUCACGAGGGUUGAUCUCAGAAAUCGAAGAGGCGUUUGCUUUCUCAAAAGUUGGGCUGCUCAAAGACCACGAAGGCCGAUCUCAGAAAUCGAAGAGGCGCUCGCUUUCUCAAAAGCUGGGCUCCCCAGAGACCACGAGGGCCGAUCUCAGAAAUCGAAGAGGCACCUACUUUUCCAGCCUUGUCAGCACCUGUCACACGCACACUCAGCUUUGCGGAAAUUAUGGGCAUUCUGUCGAAGACUUCUGGGGAAGUAGAAAACACAUGAAUCUUACUGUUCAAUCACCCACUUCCCACACGCAACAAUAGCUCAUGGGUACCACAGAUAACUUUGCCAAAGUUCUCUGCCAAAGUUGAGCACGUGAAGCUUGCAGCUCCCACUACAUCGCUCUGACCAAGAAGGGUAAAAGAAUAGCAAAGAAACAGCACUAACAAAGUUUAGACCCAUAAAUUUUGAAGGUCUAGCUACCAUAUUAUUACCCACAAGGGUAAAGGAACAGUACCACUGCUGGAUAAUUGGAAAGUCCCUGUGUGUCAACCUCUGUGCUUCGUGGCAAGGUAGACUAGCAAACAUGCCCAACCUUUACUCACAUUCGAGAAAACACUCCCAAUAAGAUUGCUUGCUCCAAAAUCGAAGAGGCACCGUCCUCCGAAUCUCGAGAGCCAGACUCCCAACAUGACUACUUUCUUAAAAAUCGAAGAGAGGGUAAAGGAACAGUACCAUUGCUGGAUAAUUGGAAAGUCCCUGUGUGUCAACCUCUGUGCUUCGUGGCAAGGUAGACUAGCAAACAUGCCCAACCUUUACUCACAUUCGAGAAAACACUCCCAACAAGAUUGCUUGCUCCAAAAUCGAAGAGGCACCGCCCUCCGAAUCUCGAGAGCCAGACUCCCAACAUGAUUACUUUCUCAAAAAUCGAAGAGACACUGCUCCCCGAAUCUUCGAGAGCCAGACCCCCAGCAUGAUUGCUUUCUCAAAAAUCGAUGAGGCAUCGUUCUCCGAAUCAAUCGAAGAGGCGCUCGCUUUCUCAAAAGCUGGGCUGCUCAGAGACCACGAGGGCCGAUCUCAGAAAUCGAAGAGGCACCUACUUUUCUAGCCUUGUCAGCACCUGUCACACGCACACUCAGCUUUGCAGAAAUUAUGGGCAUUCUGUCGAAGACUUCUGGUGAAGUAGAAAGCACAUGAAUCUUACUGUUCAAUCACCCACUUCCCACACGCAACAAUAGCUCAUGGGUACCACAGAUAACUUUGCCAAAGUUCUCUGCCAAAGUUGAGCACGUGAAGCUUGCAGCUCCCACUACAUCGCUCUGACCAAGAAAGGUAAAAGAAUAGCAAAGAAACAGCACUAACAAAGUUUAGACACAUAAAUUUUGAAGGUCUAGCUACCAUAUUAUUACCCACAAGGGUAAAGGAACAGUACCACUGCUGGAUAAUUGGAAAGUCCCUGUGUGUCAACCUCUGUGCUUCGUGGCAAGGUAGACUAGCAAACAUGCCCAACCUUUACUCACAUUCGAGAAAACACUCCCAACAAGAUUGCUUGCUCCAAAAUCGAAGAGGCACCGUCCUCCGAAUCUCGAGAGCCAGACUCCCAACAUGACUACUUUCUCAAAAUCGAAGAGAGGGUAAAGGAACAGUACCAUUGCUGGAUAAUUGGAAAGUCCCUGUGUGUCAACCUUUGUGCUUCGUGGCAAGGUAGACUAGCAAACAUGCCCAACCUUUACUCACAUUCGAGACAACACUCCCAACAAGAUUGCUUGCUCCAAAAUCGAAGAGGCACCGCCCUCCGAAUCUCGAGAGCCAGACUCCCAACAUGAUUACUUCCUCAAAAAUCGAAGAGACACUGCUCUCCGAAUCUCGAGAGCCAGACCCCCAGCAUGAUUGCUUUCUCAAAAAUCGAAGAGGCAUCGUUCUCCGAAUCUCGAGAGCCAGAUACCACAGACCACUUUUUCAAAGUGCUCUGACAGAGUUAAAACAUGUGAAACUGGCAGCUCCCACUACCGUGCUAUGACCAAGCAGGGUAAAGGAAUAGCAUUACUACUUGUUGUUAGGGAGACUCCUAUAUAUGUCGACCUCCAUCCCCAACGGACAGGCAGACCUGCAAAAAUGCUCAACCCUUCAUCAUAUCUGAGAGGGCACUCCCAACGAAGCCUUUCGAAAUAUUCAGCUUUCUUUCCCCCCGAUAAUACCUCUGCAAACAAGCUAUACUAGAGCAAGAAUAUCUCAUAUCAUCAGGGUUAAAAGCAAGAGUAUCCCAUAUCAUGCUUUUUCCCUGUCUUUUCCUUUGGCCUUGUUUUUACCUGCAAGACAAGGAGAAAGAGAGAGCAAUCAGUCAGCACUUGGAAUCAAGCUUCCAGCCAGGAACUGACUGCCUGGAACCCCUUACCUGAUUACUUACCUGGCAUUGCUCUCGAGUACUCAUCUUCAACAUCUUAUGUUUCCAGGGAAGAUUCCGCAUCUGCUUGAGGAACAGAUAGGGCAAGUGCGAAGGAUACAAGGAAGCAUGUGGAGACAAGCGUAACAGCACACGUGCCGAUACAUCCAUUACUCUGUCAAAAGCAAAAGUAUCCCAUAUCAGCAGGGUGGAACGUACUCUAGAUUUGAUGGACUUGUUUUGACCCUCAAAUUCUUCAGUCGGCCUUAUACUCUGGAGGAAACCAGAAAAACCCUCCAGCUCAGUUCAAGAAUAAGCCUGUGGAAAGUUACUUCUUCAAAAGCAAAAGUAUCUCAUAUCAUCUCUUCUCAUUUUUCUUCUCUUUAUCCUUCAUGCUGCUGCAAGAUGGGGAGAAGGUGAACAAUCAGUCGGAGCUCUGAUUGCUUACCUUGUCUGUCACCUCUUUCAGCAGACCCCCUAGCUCGGCGACUUGGGGGACUCCUACUACAUGGUUUGUAUCGCGCUUGACCAAGCCUGAAACUACAAGUAAGCUUCAAGUGAAAUUGAUACAUUACCUUGUGCAUCUCCACCAGUUAAAGAUACCACCCCUGGAUGGAGGAAGAGUACUUCCAGAGAAGAUGCCACAUCUACCUAUGAGACAGAUAAGGCAAGUCAAGACGACACCACACUCCGAUACUUAGAAGUUUCGUGAUUACGAGAUCAUUCUCCCACAAUAUUUCCUAAUGUCAUUUGUACUAAAUCAUUCACUUGUACUCACUAAAGGAGAGCUUGAACCUAUGUACUUGUGUAAACCCUUCACAAUUAAUGAGAACUCUUCUAUUCCGUGGACGUAGCCAAUCUGGGUGAACCACGUACAUCUUGUGUUUGCUUUCCUAUCUCUAUCCAUUUAUAUACUUAUCCACACUAAUGACCGGAGCAAUCUAGCGAAGAUCACAAAAAGCGACCGUUUUCGCUACCUAGGAUCUAUCUUGCAAGAGAACGGAGAAUUAGAUGGAGAUCUCAACCAUAGAAUACGAGCUGGAUGGAUGAAGUGUAAGAGUGCAUCCGGCGUGUUGUGUGACCGUCGUAGGCCACUGAAGCUCAAGGGAAAAUUUUAUAGGACGGCAAUAAGGCCAGCGAUGUUGUAUGGCACAGAAUGUUGGGCGGUGAAGCAUCAACACGUACACAAAAUGGGUGUAGCGGAGAUGAGGAUGCUUCGUGGGAUGUGUGGGCACACACGAGAAAGGAUAAGAUUGGGAAUGAGGAUAUCCGAGGUAAAGUAGGAGUAGCCGAAAUUGUAGGAAAGAUGAGAGAAAAUCGGCUCCGAUGAUUUGGACAUGUGCAAAGAAGGCCGACUGACGCUCCGGUUCGAAGAUGUGACUACGGGACAGAGGUUCAGGGCCAAAGGGGUAGAGGAAGACCUAGGAAAACUUUGGAAGAGACUCUAAGAAAAGACUUAGAGUACUUGGAUCUAACGGAGGACAUGACACAAAACCGAGCGCAAUGGCGUUCUAGGAUUCAUAUAGCCGACCCCACUUAGUGGGAAAAGGCUUUGUUGUUGUUGUUGUAUUAAAAAUGAAAUUAUCAUCAUGAUCUUCAAUUCAGGUUGUCUCAGUCAUUGAGAAGCGAGCGGAUCAGCUUGAUUAUGUUCUUGUGGAUACUCCUGGUCAGAUUGAGAUAUUCACUUGGCUGCUUCUGGUGCUAUCAUCACAGAAGCAUUUGCUUCAACGUUUCCCACUGUAAUCGCUUAUGUGGUAGAUACGCCUCGUUCAGCUAGCCCUGUCACUUUUAUGAGCAAUAUGCUGUAUGCUUGUAGUAUUCUUUACAAGACAAGGCUGCCCCUUGUGUUGGCAUUCAACAAAAUUGACGUUGCUCAACAUCAAUUUGCUUUGGAGGUAUGUUUUGCAGUUGCAGUUGUGUGUGAAUGCAGGCAGGAGAUAGCAUGCAGACAUAGACUGAUUAGACAUAUACAUAAGCACCUUAAUGACAUACUCACAUCGUUGAAGUGCUUGAGUAUGGUGGAUCUGCAAGCUGUUAGGGUAAACCAUAAAUUAAGCCAGCUGCCCACUAUAUAAGCAUUAGAUGGUUUCAGGAAUAUAUUGCUCGGCCCUAGUGGUAGAAUCUGUUACAAACUCAGGUGGUUUAUAGUUAUUCAAGUUUAAUAUUAAACGAAUGUAUAGAUUGUGGAACAAUGCUUUUAGGGGGCAUUCUGUCAUGCAAAACUCAGUAGUGACAGGGAGCAGAGCAUAAAACAAUCUCUGGUAUUAUAUUAUGCCAUUUUUUUUGUAGAAUAGCUCUGUUCAACCUUGUUAUGAUUCAAGUGUUGGAAUACCAUUUUAAUAUGCCUGCGAUUUUAGUAGCUGGAUGGAAAUAAUUGAAAAUUUAUAUGGAAGAAUUGUAGUUCCAGUCCUGAAAACUGCUGUGUUCAUACAGUGGAUGGAGGAUUUUGAGACAUUUCAAGCAGCAGUGAGUGCAGAUAGUUCAUACUCUUCAAAUUUGGCUCAGAGCCUCUCCCUUGUGUUGGAUGAAUUCUAUAAGAACUUGCAGUCUGUUGGAGUGUCUGCGGUUAGUGGUGCUGGAAUGAAGGAUUUCUUUAACGCCAUUGAAGCAAGUGCUGACGAGUACAUGGAAACCUAUAAGUAAUGCAUGAACUUCACGAACCUACCUUCACUUUAUGCUACAAUGCCACAGUGGGAAUAUGUUUAUGAUAUAGGUCAAAAUUAUGUAUAUAUUGGAUUUAGUUUUCAUAAUUAGGCGCUUCUUAUUGUUUGUGUAGGGCUGAUCUGGACAAGAGACGGGCAGAGAAGCAACGAUUAGAGGAGGAACACAGAAAGGAGAACAUGGAGAAGUUGAGGAAGGAUAUGGAGAAAUCCAGGGGAGAAACUGUGGUCUUGAGCACUGGUUUGAAGGACAAAGAUGAGAGGGGUAAUGCCAUGAUGGAUGAGGAUGAAGAAGAUGAAGUCGAAGAGGAAGAUGAGGUUUUUUCUGAAGACGAGGAAGGUAUAGAUGAAGAUGAAGACGAAGAGGUUGGCAGGUUCUCGUUUAGUGAUGUUUCGUUGCUGGCAGAUGUUAUUUGGAUUGUAAGUAUUAACUCACUAGUUGGUAGUUACCAAGGGAAUUUAUGGUAUGACUUGGGGUGGACGUUGGUUGAGUAUUUUCAUCAAUUUGUUUGGAUGUAAACUUUGUUGAUGAAAAUGCAAUGAAGUUGGUUGUACAAUGCAUGUAUAAUCCACCUAACUAUUUCGCUACGAUAAUCAUGAUUAUAAUUUUAACGAGUUUAAUUUCUUGAAAGAACCACUGAUCAUUUCCUCUUAUUACCUUAAAAAAAAGUUAAUUAGCUCCCUUUCCUCAUUCCAAUUGCGUAGUUAAUUUCAUCGCACACAUCACAAAUGGUUAUCUCCAUUUUAACGAGUUUAAAAAUGGAAUUAGCUGUGUCUUUGGCUCCGCUAUGCUAUGCAUCACUUGUUGGUGUUAACUCCAUUUGUACCCACAUCGAUUAUUUGUUGUAACAAACUGCGACUAUCUUUUCAUCUAUGUAUUACUAAGGAGAGCAAGAGGUUUGUAGCUAGCGUUUGAGAGCAUAUACUUUUGCAGCCAGUCUUGUAUAUACCAAAAAGUCUUAAGGAGGAAGUUUAGAAAUAGAGCCUGUAUUUAACGGACAUACAUGCUUAGGAUUGCAAAUACGUACACAUUGGAAAUAAUGAUCGAUCCAAUCGUCAGCUCCCUUGAAGCUGAACACACUUUUAUUGAACUCCAAAAAAGUUAGAAAGGCAUCAGCUAGCUAAGAUUCUGUGCAUGCCUUGUUUUAAAGAAAUGCAAAGACAUAAAUUAAGCAAGAUACAAAGGUUAAGAUGCUAGACAAACUAAAGAACAUUCUCGAUUUUUGUAAAUCGACCAAGCCUACAAGAAACCUGUAAAUGAUCAACACUUCAAGGAAUAAGGAAAGGUCAUAUGAAAUUUUGGAAAACUACUCUGUACCAUAAAAUGCCCGCGCUAUAUAUAUAUUUCCUUCGUAACAUGUUUUCGUAAUAAUAAACUAGCAGAAAGUUUAUGUGUGUGAGCAACUGUUCACCUUCUCCCACGUUCUCCUCAAGCGCAAAUGUUUCAGUUCAUUCAAACUAUCCAAAAAGCAUCAUGAUUUCACUUACCUUACCUAUAUGAAAAAAUGAUGGUGGGACAAUUUCUCUUAAUAAGUGCAUAUUUUUAUCUUAUGUAAAUAUUUUGAUAUAAAAUUACUAUUUUGCUCUCCUUAUGUAAAUAUUGUGUAUCAAAAGUAAGGAGAAAAUAGGAAAAAAGGGAAAAAAUUCAAAAGAUACAAAAUUACUAUUUUGCCCUCAUCAUGUCAACAUUGUGGAUUCAAAAGUGAGGGCAAAAUUGAAAGAAAAGAGGGCAAAAAGUUGACAAACCCUCUUCUUUUAAGGGGUGUGCUAUCCUCACACCCCAUUCUACUUCUCACACACCCCUUGAUAAUUUAUGUUCGUUGAUCUUUUUCAAUUCAUCCGAUCCGAUAGCCAAAAAUUAAAAAGGUGUGUGAGAAGUAAAAUGGGGUGUGUGGAUAUCACAUCCCUCUCUUAAUAGAAUAUAGAUAUUAUAAUUAUAUAGCUACUAAUAUAUAUUAAAAAUUAGGUAACUUAAUUGUUCAAAACAAAACGGAAGGAUACAUUUCUUAUCAUAAAUCAAGAGUAAAAGCAUAUAAAGGCAACAAUAAUAAGAUUGAUAUAGGGCUGGUUUGGUAUUGCUCUACUUUGAAAAAAAACUGCUGUGAGAAUAAGCGGCUGUGAUGUGAGAAUAAGCGGGUGUGAAAUAAAUGAGCAGAGUAUUUGGUAAACUUUUUUGUAAAAGUGCUUUUGGAAAAAAAAAAACAGUCUGAUAGUUGGUCUUUUCAUUAAAGGAACACUGUAGCUCCGUGUGCUUUGAAAAAAAGCUAGUUUUCCAAAGCUGCAAAUAGCAGCUUCAGCUUAUUAUCACAGCAGCUUCCAAAAUAAGCCCUUUUUUUUCAGUUUACCAAACACCUAAAACCCUCACAGCUUUUUUUCAUGUGUGUUUUUUUUUUAAGCACCUUACUCCCACACCACCCUAUAGUAACCAACCAAAACUGAAAAUAAAGUAAAUUAAACCCAUUUAACGGUUUGCACAUAACCAAUUUAAUAAUCGUAAUAUUGUGGGAUAAAAAUAUUUUAAUUUGCAAAACAUAUUUCCUACACUACCCCACAUAUAUUGCAAAUUAAAAGCAAACCAAAGAUAGACAAAUACAAGAAAUGACGAUAUAGCUAUUAACAACCAUAAUUUUUAGGAAGUAAAAUGAUUUGUAAUUUGAAAUACUUAAAAAAUCUAAUACAAAAAAGUUAGAAAGGCAUCAGCUAGCUAAGAUUUUGUGCAUGCCUUGUUUUAAAGAAAUGCAAAGACAGAAAUUAAGCAAGAUAUAAAGGUUAGGAUGUUAGACAAAGUAAAGAACAUUCUUGAUUUUGUAGAUCGACCAAGCCUACAAGAAACCUGUAAAUGAUCAAGCUAUAUAUUUUAUAUGCCUAUGACAGAUCCAAAAACCUAAAAAAGCAGCUAGCUGACUGAUUUUCACAUGGAUUCCAACAGUGAAUAUGAGACAGAAGCAAGGACCAUGGCUCUUCGUCAGGCAAGACCUUCUCUUCAUCGGGCAAGAUCUUCUGUUGUAGAAUCUUCUGAUUCUGAGCCCGAUGGGAGGCCCCAAUCUAGACCAGCUACAACACCACAUCCUCCUCCCAAAGCACAAUGCCUUUCUCAGGUACAAACAUACUCGCAAUCUCGUCUUUUCCUAAUUUGGGUCAAGAUUGCUCCAUUAAUUUGUCUUCUCUGUGUUUUAAUAGGCCACUAGUGAGGGCUCGGGCAGGUCUCAUCGACCUUCUCGAGCUACUGAAGUUUCAGGGAUUUCAAUCCCUUGGCCUCAAAGGGUUGCAGUUGCUGAAUCCUUUCAUCCUGCUCCUGCUGAGGUUACCCAUGUUGACCCUGCUGCUCCUGCUUUUGAUUACACUGGCAUGACACCUUCUCCUUUGGCUUCUCUUCCAACCACGACCUCUUUGCCUGAACUAGUUAGAGAGUUCGGGCAAAUUAUGACGAAGCUGAGAUCCACAAGGCGCCCUUCUGAGCCUCAACAUCUUCAAGAUCAGCGCAGGAUCUUCAGAGAAUGGAUGCAAAGGGACUUUUCUGCCUUCUUUAGCCUUAAGGCUCUUCAAGAUGCUGAGAUAGCUCUCACUAAAUUAUACCAAGCUCAGCAGAUGACUAAGGUGCAAUAUGAGUCCUUCGUUUCUUUCUUUGAAAAUCUAAGGGCCUUGAGGGAUCAACAUCAUAAGGCCGAGAGGCAAGCCAACAUGGUGAGGUGCUACAAGGAGAAGCACAUUCGGACCUCCAUUACUCUGCAGCAGCUGGUGGAUGAGGGCUCGUCCAUGGAGGAUCGGAUAAUAGUGGUAGUUGCCGAGAUCCAAAAAUUGGAGGAACAACUUUUGGCUCUGAAGGCUGAGCAGAUGACUCUCUCGAGCAAGCUAUACAAGAAGCUCGAGGAAGUGAAGAAAGUAAACCACGAAGUGGAGGAGUCUGAAGCCCAGCUAGCCAACAGCAAUAUAGCUUUAGAAGAGCCGGGUCGCAUUUUUACCAUCAUGCAAACUUAUCAUUCUAGGAUAGCUGCCUUGGCUAAAGAUGUAAACUUGUUAAUUUAGGGCUUAUGUACUGAUGAGUCGAUAUGUUACUAUAUAUUUUACCGUAAUCCUAGUAUUAACUAGAAAAUACGCCCGUGCGUUGCGGCGGGAACUGAAUGCAUCAUGUGUAACUCCAUGAAUAAGACACAGCUACUUGGCUUUCAUAUAAAUUCAAUUCAGCUAACAUAAAGAGGUUGUACAAUUUAUAAGACGGACUUAAACAUUUUAGAUCACAAAAGUUGUAUGUUUUGCACAUAAAUGAAGGUAACACAAAAAAACUAAGAUCCCAUUCCAAGUAAUAAAUUCUCAAGACCAAUUAUUUACAAACACUUAUGACCAGAAGUAUCAUAAGUUUAAGAUUAUAGAGCCAGUUAUUGUUCACACCCAUUAUAACAUCUUAUACUCUACUUACACCCAACAAAUUAUUCAUUUUUUUCCGCCCCCCAACAUGUGGUUCAACAACGGGAGAGUUCAAAGUUAGGAACCCUUCUCCGCAUUGACCAGCCCUGUAACCUUCCAUACUUUUGGGCAUACAUAACAGGGCCGGGUGCAAAAAAAGGGGGUUAAACAUGCACGCAUCGUAUUCACUAUGACCCUAACUCAUGUUACCGCUUCUUAGAAUUCUAGCCAAAAUGUAAAAUAUAUCAGAUCACAAUUUCUUUUAAAAAUAAGAUAUUUAAUUUUAACAUUUUACUUUUGCACAGGAAAGUCACAGUGAACAAUAAAAUUUGACAUUAUGAACAAUAAAAUUUGAGAUUCAACAUCAACAGAAUUAAGCUACAAAAAAAAUUUAUUUCGGAACGGGCUGUCACAUUUUUCUUGUAGUGGUAUUUGCACAUUUGUUGUGAAAUAAAAACUAUAUUUUUAUCUUGUUCAAAUAAUUAUAUGAGAAUUUAGAACCAAGGGGGAAGUUUAAAAAUGGAAUUAGCUAUGUCUUUGGCUCCGCUAUGCUAUGCAUCACUUGUUGGUGUUAACUCCAUUUGUACCCACAUUGAUUAUUUGUUGUAACAAACUGCGACUAUCUUUUCAUCUAUGUAUUACUAAGCAGAGCAAGGGGUUUGUAGCUAGCGUUUGAGAGCAUAUACUUUUGCAGCCAGAGUCUUGUAUAUACCAAAAAAGUCUUAAGGAGGAAGUUUAGAAAUAAAGCCUGUAUUUAACGGACAUACAUUCUUAGGAUUGCAAAUACGUACACAUUGGAAAUAAUGAUCGAUCCAAUCGUCAGCUCCCUUGAAGCUGAAUACACUUUUAUUGAACUCCAAAAAAGUUAGAAAGGCAUCAGCUAGCUAAGAUUCUGUGCAUGCCUUGUUUUAAAGAAAUGCAAAGACAUAAAUUAAGCAAGAUAUAAAGGUUAAGAUGCUAGACAAACUAAAGAACAUUCUCGAUUUUUGUAAACCGACCAAGCCUACAAGAAACCUGUAAAUGAUCAACACUUCAAGGAAUAAGGAAAGGUCAUAUGAAAUUUUGGAAAACUACUAUGUACCAUAAAAUGCCCGCGCUAUAUAUAUAUUUCCUUCGUAACAUGUUUUCGUAAUAAUAAACUAGCAGAAAGGAGUUCGGGCAAAUUAUGAUGAAGCGGAGAUCCACAAGGCGCCCUUCUGAGCCUCAACAUCUUCAAGAUCAGCGCAGGAUCUUCAAAGAAUGGAUGCAAAGGGACUUUUCUGCCUUCUUUAGCCUUAAGGCUCUUCAAGAUGCUGAGAUAGCUCUCACUAAAUUAUACCAAGCCCAGCAUAUGACUAAGGUGCAAUAUGAGUCCUUCGUUUCCUUCUUUGAAAAUCUAAGGGCCUUGAGGGAUCAACAUGUUAAGGCCGAGAGGCAAGCCAACAUGGUGAGGUGUUCCAAGGAGAAGCACAUUCAGACCUCCAUUACUCUGCAGCAGCUAGUGGAGGAGGGCUCAUCCAUGGAGGAUCGGAUAAUAGUGGUAGUUGCUGAGAUCCAAAAACUGGAGGAACAACUUUCGGCUCUGAAGGCUGAGCAGAUGACUCUCUCGAGCAAGCUAUACAAGAAGAUCGAGGAAGUGAAGAAAGUAAACCACGAAGUGGAGGAGUCUGAAGCCCAGCUAGCCAACAACAAUAUAGCUUUAGAAGAGCCGGGUCAUAUUUUUACCAUCAUGCAGACUUAUCAUUCUAGGAUAGCUGCCUUGGCUAAAGAUGUGAACUUGUUAAUUUAGGGCUUAUUUACUGAUGAGUCGAUAUGUCACUAUAUAUUUUACCAUAAUCCUAGUAUUAACUAGAAAAUACGCCCGCACGUUGCGGCGGGAACUGAAUGCAUCAGGUGUAAUUGCAUGAAAAAGACACAGCUACUUGGUUUUCAUAUAAAUUCAAUUCAGAUGACAUAAAAAGGCUGUACAAUUUACAAGACGAACUUAAACAUUUCAUAUCACAAACGUUGUAUGUUUUGCACAUAAAUUAAGGUAACACAAAAAAAACUUAGAUCCCAUUCCAAGUAAUAAAUUCUUAGGGCCAGUUAUUUAAGAAAACUUAUGACCAGAAGUAUCAUACGUUUAAGAUUAUAGAGCCAGUUAUUGUUCACACCCAUUAUAACACUUUAUACUCUACUUACACCCAACAAAUUAUUCAUUUUUUUCUGCCCCCAACAUGUGGUUCAACAACGGGAGAGUUCAAAGUUCAAACCAGGAACCCUUCUCCGCAUUGACCAGCCCUGUAAUCAUGAUUAUAAUUUUAACGAUGCAUGUAUAAUCCACCUAACUAUUUCGCUACGAUAAUCAUGAUUAUAAUUUUAACGAGUUUAAUUUCUUGAAAGAACCACUGAUCAUUUCCUCUUAUUACCUUAAAAAAAAGUUAAUGAGCUCCCUUUCCUCAUUCCAAUUGUGUAGUGAAUUUUCAUCGCACACAUCACAAAUGGUUAAUUUCUUAGAUCAUAAUUUAAGGUGUAUCUUCCGCAAAAAAAUUAACUUAAAUCAUUAAGAAUCGUUCAUUUAUUUGAUAAUGACUUAAUGAUCUCUAAUUUGAUUAAUUUCUUAAAUGGUGAUGAGAAAAUGAACGACUAUACAACGAAGAUUGUUGAUGGCAAUUAGACGCUUUGCUUCUUUGUUGCCAAAAGUUCAUGCAGUUGUGAUCAACAGAUAGCAGAUAUCUAAACAACCCUUUUUUCACAGUUCUCUAUAUAUAAAGCCUAUAGCUGAUGAUGUGCUCUGGAAGUAUUAGCACAUGCUUGAUAUCUUGAGGUUGAAGAAAUUAUUACCUCAAUCCAGGAACAAGAAAACUUCAACUUGGGAAAAGGAAACAAAAAAAUCAAGAGAUCGAAUCAUUCUCUUUAGGAAGGAAACCCAGAAGAAAACUUUUAGGCUAGCUUGUCACCAACCCUUACAUCAUGUAUAAAUAUAAGAGAAAGAGAGUCCUUCAUAUGUUCUUAUUACAUUUCGUUGAAACUGAUCACCGAAAAGAGAAAAAACAAGUAAUUAAGCAUCUGCUCUACGAUGGAAACCAAACCCACGGCCAAGGAUGAGACAUGUUAUGAGGAAUUCGAACCGUUUUGCCAAUGGAACAAGGAGGAAGGACAUGACAUUCUUGAAGUUCAUUUACAAGGUACUACUAGAUCAAAUUGAUCAUGACUAAAUAUUGAGUCAUUCUAUCAUACAUCAAUGUGUAGUAUAUAUUAUCUUUUAAGUGACUCGGAUUCACUUGUUAAAUUUUCUGAAAUAUUUCUUAGCGCACGUCUCUCUAGCUAGUAAGUAAUGUAUGCUAUACAUUGUUAUUCUUUAGAAUUUUAGCUAAAUGUGUAAUCUAGAUUUACUGUCUAAAUAUAUACUCUUGUACAUGAGAGAUGUAAGCAUGACAAUUGCCUAACAGCAUAAGUUUGGCAAAAGACCGAGUUACGUUUCAUCUUCUCUUACGUACUCGUUGUUCUACUUGUUGAUGCAUGCAUGUAGGUUUCAAAAGACAAGAUAUUAGAGUUCAAAUCAACAAUUGGGGCAUCCUAACCAUUAGCGGAAAGCAACCUAGGGUUGAAGAAACUACAUCUGCUAUACCCAGCCGCUUCUGUAAAGAGAUCAAAAUUUCUAAACAUUGUACUACGAAUGGUAUCCGCGCUAAGUUUUCCCGUGGAAUUCUUUCCAUAACCAUUCCAAAAGAAGCUCAGCACGGCGGAGUGAAUGCUGCAUGGGCGUCAGCUAAUGACUACUUAGUUGGUUUAAGAAGCAAAGUUUUGAAGCCAAGGCUGAGCAAGAAGACAGCUGUGAUGGUGGUGGUGGUUGUUCUGGUCAUGGCUCUGGGAGUUUAUGUAGUGUGUAGAUAUCCGAAGUCAGCUAGCUAGCUACUCUUACAGUUCAAAAUUGAUCAACAAUUUUAGCAAAACAUUUUUAAUUUUCGGACCAUAUUACAUUUCUAUAUUACCUGGUCAUUUCACUUAAUUUACUUGGUCUCUUUAGUUUUUCUGUUUCAAUUGUAUCUUAAUUUGUAAUUAUUCAAUUUCAAUAUAUAAUAAAGGUUACAAAGCAGAACAAGCUCCUAGAAUGCCUUUAUAGAUAACACCAUAUUAAUUAACCGAAUAAAGUAUUAACCAAAUACAUAAACCACGCACAAUGUUAAUGUAUAUGAAUUAAAAAGAUAAAUCAAGAGUGGUACUUGAGAUAGUCAUUGUUGGGGCGAAAUAGUGAAGCCUAAGACCAUCUCCAACUCUUGAAGUAAAACUCAAAUUUUAGGUUAUAAAUUUACCCCAACUUACUCCAACUCUUGGGACAAAUAUGAGUUUAACCAAAAACUCUUUUGUGAGGCAAAUUUAGCCUAGAAUUUCCCCGGGUUAGUGGGGGUAGCCCACCAUUAUAUGUGUAUUUUUUUUUGUUUUAUAUUUAUAAAUUCAUUGAAUUCAACCGCUAAGAUCUAAUAUGAUCAAAUCCAACGGUAAAAAAAAAUAAAGAUAUAAUUGUCCAAAUUUAAAUCCAACGGCUAAAGUAAUUAAAAUUUUUUUUUAUGUAUUUCAUAUUCUUUCAUAGAGUUUCACGAGUUCCAUGGUAUCGGUUUAGUGAUUUUUUUAAUAUUGAUUGGAAUCUAAAUAUUUUUAGGUUAAAAUGUUCAUAAAAUUUAAUUAGGAUAGUGUACAUAUAUUUUUUUUUAAUUUACUUUAAGAAAAUUCAUUCUUUAAUAAUCUUGAGCUAAAAAUUCAACCCAGAAGGAUUGGAGGAGAAAAACUGUUUCUAAGUUAAUACCUAAAUUUUUUGGGUUAAAAUUUUUAAGUUUUAACUCAAGGGUUGAAGAUGGUCUAAGUGUGAAAAACAAAUAAUGAAGAUUAAAAUAUGAAAGAAGUUUUGUUAAAUAGUAAAAUGAAAACCCGAGCAAAUAGAGGCCAAUAACUGCUCCACCAAAAUGUGAAAGAAUAAUCUCAGUUUUCCUUGAGCCGAGUCUCAACUAUUCGGGCUUCUUGCCUUUUAUUCGACGUUUUUUCGCCUGCUUUUUCUGCUUUCUAUCUUUUAUUUCCCUUCCUCCCUCCUCCCUAGCUGUGAUACUUCAUUUCCAUCCCACCAUGUGUUUGGAUCGGGGGGCUCUAAUAAGAAAUUGGAUAUCAGAUCCACUUCCCUUCCCCCAACCAACAUGCUGGAUCUCCAUCGAGGCCAAGUGUUGGGUAUUUUACAUACCCCUUAGCCUCACCUUCUUCCCAUAUGUUACUUUGUUUGUAUAUAUUUGCAAGGGUUCAUGAAGGGGACUUGGAUCUGGUGUCUACUUUCUCAGUUCGGAGUUUGGCUUCCUCUGAGGAUGUGACGGCGGCGGCAAUGUGGUCUUUGUUGCAAGAUAUUAGUGUUUUUUAUUGUCUAUUUUUUGCUGCCUUCGAGCUAAACUUGUGUGAGCCUCUCAUUAUAUCUUAUCUUGGGUUGUUGCUAUCAUUUUGUUUGGACCUUUUACUUUUCCUGUAGUUGUUUGCCUGGUCCUUUUUGGGCCCUGUAUUAGUUUUUAUUGCAAUGAAAAUUGUCUUCGUUUUAAAAAUAAAAUAAAAAUAAAUGAAACCGUGAACCAAAAAAAAAAAAAAAGAACCAAUAAAGACUAAUUGGUUGAUAUUGCCGGGAUAAUAAUGUGUUACCAAUGAGAAAAAGGUAGUCAAUGGUACAAAAAGUAUAUUUUACUGGUCUUGUUUGGUGAGAUUCUCUUUUUGAUUUCAUAUUGUUAUAUUAUCAUUGUGAUUAUGUAAGGUUUUCAUACUAUCAUUUUAGAUAAAUUAAUUUUUUGUUGGUCUUGUUAUAUCUUAUAUUAGUUAUUGGAGGGUUUGUUUAGUUAUGGCUGCUACCAUGGCCAGGUUAGGCUUUAUAUCCUCCUUAACUGAUUGUAAUUUUUUUUUUUGUAAAUAAAGCAAUCUCAUUGUCACUUCUCAUGAUAGCAAUGCUAGAGUUGGAUUGAAUUUAGAAUUUUACCGGGAAAAAAAAAAUGCAUUAGUCACUAUUAUGGUGUGCUAUUAGGUACUUGUUAGCUUUAGCCACAUAUCUUUCAUUCAUAACACCAUUUUUACGCCACCAAAAACAAUCAAACAACUACCAAUCUUGGUAACUAUUGCUCAGUUUUCUUGUAGUGGUAUUUGCUCAUUUGUUGUGAAAUAAAAACUAGGGUUUUUAUCACAAAUGGUCCCCGAAAUUGAUCCACCCAAUCAAGAUGGUCUCUAAAAUUGAAAAUCGAUCAAUGUAGUCCCUGAAAAUGGUUGUUGCAAAUUAAUGUGGUUCUUCCGUUACAAUUCCGUUAAAAUUUCUGUUAAGUGCCGAUGUGGCACAUAAAUGGGUCCCUCAAAUUUAAUUAAAUAUUAUUAUGUGAAUAAAAAACAUUUAAAUAAUAAAAAACAAUUAUUAUUUUUAUAAUUAAAAUCUUAAAAAAAAAAAGAAAAAAGAAAGAAAGAGAUGAUUGAACACUGUUCAUCAUCUUCUUCCCUUCCUAUUCAUAGAAAUGAUGAAAUUGGAAGGAGAAAUCCCAAACUUUUUCAUGGUGUGGAUUAUGGUUGUGGCAUCACUAUCCUACUUUCACACCGUCUGCAAGCUCACUUCUCCGAGCACCACCAGACUCCUCGCCAUCCUACCCGUCACAUUCUUCUUCGUCUACCUCCCUCUCAAUCUGACCACGGUUUUUCUAGGCGGCCCGUCCUCUUUCUUCCUCACCUGGCUUGCCAAUUUCAAGCUUGGGAUUUCUCCUUCCAAUGUCAUCAUUUAUGUGAAUAUUUAUGUGAAUAGGAGGGGAAGAAGAUGAUGAACAGUGUUCAAUCAUCUCCUCCUUCUUUUUUUAUUUUUUAUUUUUUAAUAUUUUAAUUAUAAAAAAUAACAAUUGUUUUUUAUUAUUUAAAUAUUUUUUAUUCACAUAAUAAUAUUUAAUUAAAUUUGUGGGACCCAUUUAUGUGCCACAUUAGCACUUAACAGAAAUUUUAACGGAAUUGUGACGGAAUGACCACAUUGAUUUGCAACAGCCGUUUUCAGGGACUACAUUGAUCGAUUUUCAAUUUCAGGGACCAUCUUGAUUGGGUGGGUCAAUUUCAAGGAUCAUUUGUGAUAAAAACCCUAAAACUAUAUUUUUAUCUUGUUCAAAUAAUUAUAUGAGAAUUUAGAACCAAGGGGGAAGUUUUAAAAUAGAAUUAGCUAUGUCUUUGGCUGCGCUAUGCUAUGCAUCACUUGGUGGUGUUGACUCCAUUUGUACCCACACUAAUUAUUUGUUGUAACAAACCACGACUAUCUUUUCAUCUAUGUAUUACUAAGGAGAGCAAGGGGUUUGUAGCUAGCAUUUGAGAGCAUAUACCUUUGCAGCCAGAGUCCUGUAUAUACCAAAAAAGUCUUAAGGAGGAAGUUUAGAAACAGAGCCUGUAUUUAACGAACAUACAUGCUUAGGAUUGCAAAUACGUACACAUUGGAAAUAAUGAACGAUCCAAUCGUCAGCUCCCUUGAAGCUGAAUACACUUUCAUUGAACUCCAAAAAAGUUAGAAAGGCAUCAGCUAGCUAAGAUUUUGUGCAUGCCUUGUUUUAAAGAAAUGCGAAGACAGAAAUUAAGCAAGAUAUAGAGGUUAAGAUGUUAGACAAACUAAAGAACAUUCUCAAUUUUUGUAGAUCGACCAAGCCUACAAGAAACCUGUAAAUGAUGAACACUUCAAGGAAUAAGGAAAGGUCAUGAAAUUUUGGAAAACUACUCUGUACCAUAAAAUGCCCGCGCUAUAUAUAUUUCCUUUGUAACAUGUUUUCGUAAUAAUAAACUAGCAGAGAGCAUACACUUUGUGUGUGUGAACAACCGCCCACCUCCUCCCACGUUCUCUUCCAGCGUAACUGCUUCAGUUCAUUCAAACUAUCCAAAAAAGCAUCAUGAUUUCACUUACCUAUAUGAAAAAAUGAUGAUGGGACAAUUUCUCUUAAUAAGUGCAUAUUUUUAUCUUAUGUAAAUAUUUCGAUAUAAAAUUACUAUUUUGCCCUCCUUAUGUAAAUAUUGUGUAUCAAAAGUGAAGGCAAAAUAGGAAAAAAAGGGAAAAAGUUCAAAAGAUACAAAAUUACUAUUUUUCCCUCCUCAUGUCAACAUUGUGUAUUCAAAAGUGAGGACAAAAUUGAAAGAAAAGGGGGCAAAAAGUUGACAAACCAUUUUCUCUUAAUAGAAUAAGAAUAUAGAUAUUAUAAUUAUAUAGCUAUUAAUAUAUAUUAAAAAUUAGGUAACUUAAUUGUUCAAAACAAAACGGAAGGAUAAAUUUCUUAUCAUAAAUCAAGAGUAAAAGCAUAUAAAGGCAGCAAUAAUAAGAUUGAUAUGGUAACCAACCAAAACUGAAAAUAAAGCAAAUUAAACCCAUUUAACGGUUUGUACAUAUCCAAUUUAAUAAUCGUAAUAUUGUGGGAUAAAAAUAUUUUAAUUUGCAAAACAUAUUUCCUACAAUCCCCCACAUAUAUUGCAAAUUAAAAGCAAACCAAAGACAGACAAAUACAAGAAACGGCUAUAUAGCUAUUAACAACCAUAAUUUUUAGGAAGUAAAAUGAUUUGUAAUUUGAAAUACUUAAAAAAAUCUAACACAAAAAAGUUAGAAAGGCAUCAGCUAGCUAAGAUUAUGUGCAUGCCUUGUUUUAAAGAAAUGCAAAGACAUAAAUUAAGCAAGAUAUAAAGGUAAGGAUGUUAGACAAAGUAAAGAACAUUCUCAAUUUUUGUAGAUCGACCAAGCCUACAAGAAACUUGUAAAUGAUCAAGCUAUAUAUAUUCUAUAUGCCCAUGACAGAUCCAAAAACCUAAAAAAGCAGAUAGCUGACUGAUUUUCACAUGGAUUCCAACGGUGAAAAUGAGACAGAAGCAGAGACCAUGGCUCUUCGUCGGGCAAGAUCUUCUAUUGUAGAAUCAUCUGAUUCUGAGCCCGAGGGGAGGCCCCAAGCUAGACCAGCUACAGCAACAGAUCCUCCUCCCAAAGCACAAUGCCUUUCUCAGGUACAAACAUACUCGCAAUCUUGUCUUUUCCUAAUUCGGGUCAAGAUUUUUCCAUUAAUUUGUCUUCUCUGCGUUUUAAUAGGCCACUAGUGAGGGCUUAGGCAUGUCUCCAAUCCCUUGGCCUCAAAAGGUUGUAGCUGCUUAAUCCUUUCCUCCUGUCCAUGUUGAAGUUAACCCUGCUGCCCAUGCUGCUCCUGCUUUUGAUGGCGUUGGCAUGAUGCCUCCUUUGGCUUCUCUUCCAACCACGACUUAUUUGCCUGAACUAGUUAGAGAGUUCAAGCAAAUUAUGACGAAGUUAAGAUCCACAAGGCGCCCUUCUAAGCCUCAACAUCUUCAAGAUCAGCGCAGGAUCUUCAAAGAAUGGAUGCAGAGGGACUUUAGUGCCUUCUUUAGCCUUAAGGCUCUUCAAGCUGCUGAGAUAGCUCUCACUAAAUUAUACCAAGCCCAACAGAUGACUAAGGUGCAAUAUGAGUCCUUCGUUUCCUUCUUUGAAAAUCUAAGGGCUUUGAGGGAUCAACAUCUUAAGGCCGAGAGGCAAGCUAACAGGGUGAGGUGCUAUAAGGAGAAGCACACUCGGACCUCCACUACUCUGUAGCAGCUGGUGGAUGAAGGCUCGUUCAUGGAGGAUCAGAUAAUAGUGGUAGCUGUCGAGAUCCAGAAACUGGAGGAACAACUUUCUACUAUGAAGGCUGAGCAGAUGACUCUCUCGAGCAAGCUAUACAAGAAGCUCGAGAAAGUGAAGAAAGUAAACCAUGAAGUGGAGGAAUCUGAAGCCCAGCUAGCCAACAACAAUAUGGCUUUAGAAGAGCCUGGUUGCAUUUUUACCAUUAUGCAGACUUAUCAUUCUAUGAUAGCUGCCUUGGCUAAAGAUGUAAACUUGUUAAUUUAGGGCUCAUGUACUAAUGAGUCAAUAUGUUAACAUAUAUUUUAAUCUAAUCUUAGUAUUAACUAGGGAUUUAGCCCGCGCGUUGCCGCGGAAUGUCAAACGAAAUAAAAGUAUUGUAUAUAAGUCUUCAAAUACAAGACUAAAUGUGUUAUAAAAAGUAUUUACAUAAUGUUGUUACAAAUCAAUAAUUGGACAGAAUAACAUGAUAAACUUUAUUUUGAUCAGGUAAGUGAAAAACUAUCUAGUAACACAAUCGGUCAAAAGAUGUAAGUUCUCUAUAUACAUAUAUAUAUUUAUAUCAAAUUGUCAUACUUCAUAAAACUUAAAAAUCGAUAGCCUAUUUUAAAAUAAACAUGAAUAGACUGGCAAAAUCGUAAAUAUUUCGAAAUCUGGUCAAAGACAAAGUUACCUUUCUAACUUCUAAUAUUUACCCUCCAACCCAGUCUCAGAUUUGUUGGUAGUGGUGUAAAUGAAGCAAAAUCGAGUGGCAAAGAUUUGAAUGUAGCUAAGCUACAGUCAAAUCCCUCCUCAACUUUUGAAUAGAUAAUUUAUUGGUUAUUUUGUGUGAAUUUUGAUACUUUAAAUUAUAUUUCUAAUGUAGGACAUUCGAAUUCCUCUUGGGCAUAAAGUAAUUAAAUGGACGAAUUUUGGAGUGAUUCAAAUUGGAGGAGGUUCGUGAGUCUUUCAAGAGGUUUUUAUCAAAGUUUCAGAUUUUUCUAUCAAGCCAUUCGACUGUGGCAAUGAAACAAAGGCCCAACGCGUAGCUUUCCCAGAUUGACGUUUUUGGACAUUUUGGGUAUUUUAGAGGUCAAGAUGACAUAUUUUGAGGAAUACUCAUUCUGAGGAUUUGUAGGGGACAUCUUCAGCUUUCAAAAGAGACCUUUUGAGACCAAACCAGAGUUGAUUUGCUUGGUUAAAAGUUUGAUUUUAUGAGAAGUUUGAAUUUCAGUUCAAAUAGGAAACCUUUUAUUUGAUGUUUUAUUAAUUUAUGUUUCCUAGUUUUAUUCCAAGACCUUUUAGGGUUUUAUUUUGUUGUAGUAUAAAUAAGGAUAUUUAACCAUUAGACGGAAGGGAGGAGAUGCAGCCUUUGACAAUUUAAGUUUAUUUUCAAGGUAUUUUCUUUCCAUAUUUUUAAUAAUAUUUUGUUUUAUGGUUGUUCAUAGCUAGUUUCUUUUGCUAGGGCGAGGCUACGAGCCUUAGUAAGAAUAUGUGGUUUCUUAUGCAUGCAUGUUUUGAAUUAUUAAUCACCGUGAUUAAACUAUCUAAGUAUCUUAGUGAUUCGCGACUAUUCGGAGAAAAGUAAUUUGAUGCAAUUUUGGUCGGAAAGUUCCUUGAAAUUGACGCUGGCUUCUUGUGGUUAAUAAUUGUAAUUUCACUUAAGAUGAACACCACAUCUUAAGGGUUGCAUAGUUUUUCAAAGGGUUUUCAUAAAACUUAAUGAGUCAUUCAUGGUCAUAUUUGAUAACGUCUGGACAUGUUGCAUGUUAGAUAGACGUUAUAUGUCACAUCUCGGCCUCACAUCCGCCGUAGUACGAUAUUGUUCGCUUUGGGCCCCAACCACGCCCUCACGGUUUUGUUUCUAGGAACUCACACGAGAACUUCCUAGUGGGUCACCCAUCCUAAGAUUGCUCUCGCGCUAUCUCGCUUAACUUUGGAGUUCCUAUGGAAUCUGAAGCCAGUGAGCUCCUAAAAUGCCUCGUGCUAAAGGAGGUGAGCAUGUACAUAUAAGGCAUGGGCGAUGUGGGAUCUAACAUAUGUUGGAGGUUCCAAGUAGGAUAUAUAUUAGGAAAACGUAACCUUCAAAAUAUGCAUGGGUAGUUCAUAAGUAAUUGGAAGAAUUCCGUAGGAUUGUUAAAGUGACAGCGGAACCCUAGUAUUUUUACAAAUAGUAUCCCUUUGAAUUGACUUUAUUUAAAUUGAUUUCUUAAUUUGUUUUUUAUUAAAUUCAUUUUUAUUAUUUUAAAUUCUAAAAUCAACAUUUCCAAACUUUGUUUUAAAUAAUUAAUUAAGAGUUGGUUUAAAUACAAAUUAUUCAUUCAAUCCUUGUGGAAAACGACCUUACUUGAGUUGUUUAUACUAUAACUACAUUUUUCUCUUGCAAGUAUUUUUGUGUGAUUUUUAACCUUCCUUUUGUAGGUAGUAAAAAUUCUAUCAAGAAAUUGGCGCCAUCGCCGGAGAUUGUUUUAAAUAAUUUGUGUUUAUCAUUUUCUUAGUUAAUUAUUUGUGUGUGUGUGUAUCUAUUUAUUUACUUGUUGAUUUUAUUUUUAUCUUUGUUGGCUUGUUAAUUUAGAGAGCAAUUCAAUGAUGGAGCUACCACCAGGAGGGUUGCCGUUAUGGGUUUCAAGCAGUAAAAGGUUUUUAUGGAUUUAAACUUAUCAAUGGUUCCCCGCAUGGUUUUUUCUCUUGUUCCCGAGGAGUGCGCCAAAGGGAUCCUCUCUCUCCGUUACUUUUCUGUCUAGCUGAGGAGGCUUUAUCAAGGGGCCUAAGUCGUCUUCAACUUGAUGGGCUUACUAAGCCAACUUUUGCUCCAAGAGGUUGUAUCUCUCCUUCUCACGUUCUCUAUGCAGAUGACUUAUUCAUUUUCUGUAGAAGUGAUGGUGUCACCCUGCGUAAUUUGCAAGGUUUCCUCGAUAGAUAUAGUAGAGCCUCUGGUCAAUUUAUCAAUAAGGCAAAAAGUACUUUCUACUUGGGCUCUACCUCAAGGCAUCGCAAAGCUAUGGUUGAGAGUUACUUGGGUUUCAAAGAAGGCAAAGCACCUUUUGUCUACUUAGGAGUUCCAAUCUUCUGUGGCAAGCCUAAAAGGAGUCAUCUCCAAGCCUUGGCAGAUAAAGCUAAAGCUAAGUUAACUGGUUGGAAGGGGAAACUUUUAUCUAUGGCAGGAAGAGUUCAACUCACUCAAUCAGUUUUUCAAAGUAUGCUCUUGCAUAGCUUUUCUGUUUAUAAGUGGCCUUCUUCCUUGCUAAGGUCUCUUUCACGAUGUGCUCGCAAUUUUAUAUGGUCUGGUGACGUAACCUCCAAGAAGUUUGUUACCGUUUCUUGGCGUCAGAUAUGUGCUCCGAAGAAUGAAGGUGGUUUGGGUUUGCGUGAUCUUAGCUCUCUUAACACUACAGCUCUCUUAAAGCUUGGAUGGCUUAUUAUUACUACUGAUUCCCCUUGGAGUAUUUAUCUUCGGGAACGGUUCCAGCUUCACGGUCGCCUAUAUUCUUGUAGUUAUAAGCGAUCUUCUAUAUGGCCUGGUAUUAAAUCCAUUCUUCAUAUCUUGUUUCAGAAUUGUCGUUGGGUGAUUGGAAAUGGCUCUACUACUUCCCUUUGGGUUGAUAAAUGGCUGGAUAAGCCUAUUGUGGACGUCGUUGGUGCAACAGAGAUUGCUCCCUCUUUAUCUCGUACUAAGGUCUCAAAUAUUAUUCGUAUGGGAAAAUGGGUUAUUCCUUCAAUUUUUUCUUCUACUUUCCCAGACCUAACUAAUGAGAUUUUAGAAAUGCCUCUUCCAAUCGAUGAGGAUAAUGACGUUUUAAUUUGGGAAGUUUCUACAUCUGGCGUUUUUUCGUUUUCCAAUGGCUAUGAAAUUGUUCGUCAUCGGUUUCCUGUCAAGAAUUGGGCUUCCAUUAUCUGGAGUCCUUUCAUCCCACCUCGUUACUCUAUUUUAGUUUGGAAGAUUCUAUUCAGCAAGCUCCCAACGGAGGAUCAACUUCAGCGCCGAGGCAUCAUGCUGGCUCCAAUUUGCCAACUAUGUUACAAGAAUUCUGAAUCUAUUGACCACUUAUUUUCUAGCUGUGAAUUUGCACAAUGUGCUUGGCGUUGGCUAGCUACCCAAUUUGGCACCAUUAUUCCACCUACGGGCUCCCUCUCUGAUCUAUGGCUUGAUUUUCUGUCAAAGCGAUUUUCUCCACAUCUUCGCAAUGUCUGGCUCGCUUCAGGGUUUUUCUUACUAAUGGCUAUUUGGAAGAUGCGUAAUAAAGUGAAGUUUGAAGGCAAACCUCCCUCCUUCUCACGUCUCUGCCGCUCCACCUCGGCCUGGAUUAGGCAGGUUGGAGCUCUCACCCCUGGCCAUGUACGAGGCAUUUUGGAUAGGCAACUUUUAGUCUCUCUUGGAAUAUCGCCUAACUCCAGUAAAACUCCUUCUAUUGUCCCUGUUCUUUGUCACCCUCCUCCUUUUUCUUGGGUCAAAGUGAAUACUGAUGGCCUUGCUAAAGGUAAUCCGGGUCCUGCGGCAUGUGGCGGGGUUUUUCGAGAUUCUGCGGGUUAUUUUCUUGGUGGUUUCUCCCUAAGCUUGGGCCAUCGUACUUCUUUCUAUGCGGAAGUCCAUGCUGUCAUCCUUGCUGUCGAAUUGGCCCACGCGCGGGGCUGGCAAAAUUUAUGGCUUGAAAGCGACUCUUCUAGUGUAAUAUCAUGUUUUGCUUCUGGAUCCUUCUCUCCCCCUUGGUCGCUCCAGACACGCUGGAACAAUUGUACUCUCCAUUUGCAGAACAUGGUUUUUCGUUGCUCUCAUAUUUUUCGAGAAGGGAAUGUUGCUGCUGACAAAUUAGCCAAUUUAGGGCUUCUAUCAUCUUCACUUGUUUGGCAUUCCACUCCCCCAAUAGAGAUCCUUCCUCAUCUGCACUCAGAUUUCUUGGGCAUGCCAACCUACAUGUUUGUCCCCUCUUCUUGAUGUGUGCUCUCCUUUCUUUUCCUAACCUUUUUGGUUUCCCGUUUGUUUUGCAGUUUGUCUUGCAGGUUAUUACCUUUUAAGGUUUUUAGAGGGGUUUGGGCUUUUGUCCACCUAGUCUUUUCCUUGUAUUUUCUUUUCCAAGAGGGGUACGGUCUAUGUCCCCCCCUCUUUUUCCGGUAUUUCCUUUCUCAAAAGGGGUAAGGUGCAUGUCCCCCCUUGUAUUUCUUUUCUAUUGUUCUAUGAGGGGUUAGGUUUAUGUCCCCCCUCUGUCUAGGUGUAACUUCUUUUUUCUUAUCAAUAAAAUUCCCUCGUACCGCCGAGGUUCCCCAAAAAAAUAAAAAAAAUAAAAAAAAGCAAUGAUGAUCAAGAGGAAAUUGGUGCAGAAACAAAAGAGCCACCUGCAAGCUAUUCACGCCUAAGGGAGGAAACAACAUAUACUGAUCCUGAAAUUCUCCCAGAAUCUACGGCAACCCAGGUUCAUGUGCUGUCAGAAUUUUUCCCACAAAGACUGUAGGAAAGCACUGGAAUAGAUGUGUUGGAGAGGGAUGUUCACACAAAUUCAAAAUCUGGAAAAUUAAAUUGUCAGCUUUUGGACACACUCAAGAAUUUGGAUACAAGGCUGAUGACUACUAAUACAAUUUUUGUCGCUAAAUUGGACAUUCUAGCAGUACAGCCCAUCAAAAUUUAAAGAAUAUCAAGGUCAAUCCUACAAGAAGGCUAAGGCAUACGAGAAGAAGAAGACGGAAUGUGGCAUCCAAAUUCCUCAUAGACAAAUUCAACCAGUGCCCAAAUUGUGGGUAUUAAAUACAAGAUUGAAGUCAAUUCAACGAAGACCAAAACAUCGCUGGAAGGAACCUUAUUUCAUUACAAAGAUUCAUUAGCAUAGAAUGGGGUAUAUUAAGGACUCAACCACGUCAUUUAAACACGCAGUCAAUACACAUCAAGUCACUAAUUAUCUAAUUGACAAUAUGGGGAGUAAUUUAACUAUUUAUAAGAACAUGUGAGGUUUAUUCUUUCUCUGAUGUGUGAUUCAUACUCACAAUUGAGUGACGUGGAGUACAUGUCUGUUACGCCACACACGCGGGAUAACCUGCUCUUAUACCAUGAAGAAAAUUGAUGUUCUAUAAAAAACCAAUCAGUAAUGUGGGAAGUAGCAUAACUACUUAUAAACACAUGCAAGAUGUUUCUUUCCUGAUGUGAGAUUCUCAUUACUCUCAAGUCUCAAGAGUAGGAACGGUAUGAAUAAAAAGACAUUGAAACCACGAAGGGGGGGGCAUGAUCGGGGCGAAAUAGUGAAGCCUAAGACUAUCUUUAACCCUUGGAGUAAAACUCAAAUUUUAGGUUCUAAACUUACCCCAACUUGCUCCAACCCCGGCAAAUAUGAGUUUUAACCCAAAACUUUUUUAUGGGGCAAAUUUAGCCAAGAAUUCCCCCGGAUUAGUGGGGCUAGCCCACCAUUAUAUGUGUAUUUUUUUUAGUUUUAUAUUUAUAAAUUCAUUGAAUUCAACAGUUAAAAUCUAAUAUGAUCAAAUCCAACGGUAAAAAAGGAAAGAUAUAACGGUCCAAAUUUAAAUCCAACGGCUAAACUAAUUAUUUUUUUUAUGUGUGUUCCAUAUUCUUUCAUAGUGUUUCACGAGUUUCAUGGUAUCGGUUUAGUGAUUUUUCAAUAUUUAUCGGAAUCUAAAUAUUUUUAGGUUAAAAUAUUCAUAAAAUUUAAUUAGUGUAGUCUACAUAUCUUUAAAAAAAAAUUACUUAAGAAAAAAAUUAUCCUAAUUAAAUUUUAAAAAAAAUAUCCUAAUUUAAAUUAUCUUUUCAUCUAUGUAUUACUAAGGAGAACAAUGGGCUUGUAGCUAGCGUUUGAGAGCAUAUACCUUUGCAGCCAGAGUCUUGUAUAUACCAAAAAAGUCUUAAAGGAAGAAGUUUAGAAACAAAGCCUGUAUUUAACGGACAUACAUGCUUAGGAUUGCAAAUACGUAAACAUUGAAAAUGAUGAUUGAUCAAAUCGCCAACUCCCUUGAAGCUGAAUACGCUUCUAUUGAACUACAAAAAAGUUAGAAAGGCAUUAGCUAGCUAAGUUUUAAAGGAAUGCAAAGACAGAAAUUAAGCAAGAUAUAAAGGUUAGGAUGUUGGACAAAGUAAAGAACAUUCUCGAUUUUUGUAGAUUGACCAAGCCAACAAGAAACCUAUACAUGAUAUAUUUAUAUGCCUAUGACAGAGCCAAAAACCUAGAAAAGCAGCUAGCUAACUAAUUUUCACAUGGAUACCAAUGGUCAAUAUGAGACAGAAGCAGAGACCAUGGCUCUUCGUUGGGCACGAUCUUCUCUUCGUCGGUCAAGAUCUUUUGAUUAUGUUCCUGCUGAAAUUGCCAUUGUUGCUGCUGCUUCUUGUGGCGCUGGCAUGAUGCCUCCUCCUUUGGCUUCUCUUCCAACCGUCUAUUUGCUUGAACUAGUUACAGAGUUCGGGCAAAUUAUGACAAAGCUGAGAUCCACAAGGCGCCAUUCUGAGCCUCAACAUCUUCAAGAUCAGUGCAGGAUCUUCAGAGAAUGGAUGCAAAGGGACUUUUCUGCCUUUUUUAGCCUUAAGGCUCUUCAAGAUGUUGAGAUAGCUCUCGCUGAAUUAUACCAAGCCCAGCAGAUGACAAAGGUGCAAUAUAAGUCCUUCAUUUAAGGGCCUUGAGGGAUCAACAUCUUAAGGCCGAGAGGCAAGCUAACAGGGUGAGGUGCUACAAGGAGAAGCACACUCGGACCUCCACUACUCUACAGCAGCUGGUGGAGGAGGAUUCGUCCAUGGAGGAUCGAAUAAUAGUGGUAACUGUGAGAUCUAGAAACUGGAGGAACAACUUUCUGCUCUGAAGGCUGAGCAGAUGACUUUCUCGAGCAAGCUAUACAAAAAGCUCGAGAAAGUGAAGAAAGUAAACCACGAAGUGGAGGAGUCUGAAGCCCAGCUAGCCAACAACAAUAUAGCUUUAGAAGAGCCGGGUCGCAUUUUUACCAUCAAGCAGACUUAUCAUUCUAUGAUAGUUGCCUUGGCUAAAGAUGUAAACUUGUUAAUUUAGGGCUUAUAUGUUGAUGAGUCAAUAUGUUACUAUAUAUUUUAACCUAAGCAUUAACUAGGGAUUUAGCCCGCGCGUUGCAGCGAAAUGUCAAACGAAAUAUAAGUAUUGUAUAUAAGUCUUCAAAUACAGGACUAAAUGUGUUAUAAAAAUGGUGUAUAAAAAGUGUUUACAUAACGUUGUUACAAAUCAAUAGUUGGACAAAAUAACCUGAUAAACUUUAUUUUGAUCAGGUAAGUGAAAAACUAUCUAGCAACACAAUCUGUCAAGAGAUGUAAGUUCUCUAUAUACAUAUAUAUAUAUAUAUAUGUAUGUAUGUAUAUCAUAUGUAUGUAUGUAUAUCAAAUUGUCAUACUUCAAAACUAAAAGGAUGGGCAAGUUAGGGAACCUUGGCUGCCCUUUGCCAUAUCCGGUAGCUGCUUCAGCCACCCCUACUGGAAUUCAUGGUUGAGUGCAUUUCAUUAAAAAUUCCAUCACUCUAAAAAACAAAAACAAAAACUCAAUUCAAACCCAACUUAUCCAACAACCCAAAUAUUAUAAUAAUCUAAUUAGACAAUAAACAAUUAGAGACGAAGCUCUAUUACUAUAAAGAAAUCAGGGGUUGUCUGGUAAAAGCUAGUUGAAGCUUCAUCAAAUAUAUAGAGGAUUAUCAAACAAUCAGAGACUAAUCUCAAUUACCAGAAAGAAUUUGGGUCUUGUUUGGUAGGACUAAUUGAAGCUUCAUCCAAUAUAUAAAGGAUGACCAAAUAAGUAAAAAAAGUGGUAAUGUGUUGUUCUAAUUGAAUCACAAUUCAAGUCUUACUCCAAGAUGGAUGGCGUGGCAAGUUUAAUUCAUGAAAUUAGGAAUAUAUAGAAGUCAAAUUUUAAAUUGGAUAAACUAAAAUUCUUGAUAGAUCAACUAUGAGGGCUAUAUAUAGUCAUGUCAAAAUUUGGAUUUAUAUGUAGAGCAGUGAGAACCAAAAUUUAUGAAUUCAAUAGUUAAAAUCUAAUAUGAUCAAAUUCAACGGUUAAAAAAAGAAAGAUACAACAGUCCAAAUUUAAAUCCAACGGCUAAAGUAAUUAAAUUUUUUUAUGUGUGUUUCAUAUUCUUUCAUAGUGUUUCACGAGUUUCAUGGUAUCGGUUUAGUGAUUUUUCAAUAUUUAUCAGAAUCUAUAUAUUUUUAGGUUAAAAUGUUCAUAAAAUAUAGGGAACGUUAACGAUAGUACUGUUCACUUUAACGAAAAACCAUAUUUUUACACUAAAGAGUCAAUUAUGGUACUAUUCACUUUACCCUUUAUUUUAUCAUUGUCAUUACAACUCAAAGUUUUCAAGUCAUUUUCAUUAGUUUUCCCUAAAAUUUAAUUAGGAUAGUCUACAUAUUAAAAAAAAAAUUAAUUUAAGAAAAAAAUUAUCCUAAUUUGAUUCUUUAAUAAUAUCGGGCUAAAUUUUAACCCAUAAGGGUUGGAGAAGAAAAAUUGUUUCUGGGUUAAAACCUAAAUUUUUUGGGUUAAAAAUUUUAAGUUUUAACUCAAGGGUUGAAGAUGAUCUAAGUGUGAAAAACAAAUAAUGAAGAUUAAAAUAUGUAGAAAUAAGUUUUGUUAAGUCGUAAAACGAUAAACUUAGCAAAUAGAGGCCAAGAACCGCUCCACCAAAAUGUGAAAGUAAAUGGGUAGUAAUUGAAUUUCUCUUCUCUCUAAAAAGUCUCCCCUUUUCUAUAUCUCUAAAAUUCUCUAUGUGGAAGAAUCCCAGCAACUUCACCAUCGGCCCUAGCCUUUGGCUUAGGUGCCGGAGGCAUCCUCCCUUCCUUCUUUUCUUAUUUUCCUCCUUCUCAUUUUCCUUUUAAGUUUUCUUAGGUUCUCUUUCCUUUGCACUUUCCCUCUUUUCCUUCCCCACAUCUCCUCCGUCCUCCCCUCCCCUGCUUCCCUCCUCCUCUUCCUUCAUCUUUUCCAUUUUUCUCCAUUCCUUUAUCAUUGUAGGUUCUCCCUUGAGUUUAGUCUCAGUUUUCCUUGAGCCGAGUCUCAACUAUCCGGGCUUCUUGCCUCUUAUUCGGCAUUUUAUCGCCUACUUUUACUACUUUCUAUCUUUUAUUUCCCUUCCUCUAUCCUCCCCAGCUAUGAUACUUCAUCCCCAUCCUACCAUGUGCUUGGAUCGGCGGGCUCUUAUCAGAAAUUGGAUAUUAGAUCUACUUCCCUCUCUCUCACUUCCCUUCCCCCAACCAGCAUGUUGGAUCUCCAUUGAGGCCAAGUGUUGGGUAUUUUAUGUACCCCUUAGUCUCACCUUCUUCCCAUAUGUUAUUUUGUUUGUAUAUAUUUGCAGGGGUUCGUGAAGGGAACUUGGAUCUGGUGUCUACUUUCUUAGUUCGGAGUUUGCCUUUCUUCGAGGAUGUGACAGUGGCAACAAUAUGGUCAUUGCUGCUAGAGAUUAGUAUUUUUUAUUGUUUGUUUUAUGCUGCAUUUGGGCCUAAGCUUGUGUGGGCCUCCCAUUGUAUCUUCGGUUGUUGCUCUCAUUUUGUUUGGACCUUUUACUUUUCCUGUAGUUGUUUGCCCUGUCCUUUUUGGGCCAUGUACUAGUUUUUAUUGUAAUGAAAGUUGUCUUCGUGAUCAAAAAAAAAAAAAAAAAAAAAUGAAACCAUGAACCAGAUAUGGAUAUUGACCAAAACAAAAAGAACCAAUAAAGACUAAUUGGUCGAUGUUGUCGGGAUAAUAAUGUGUUACCAACGAGAAAAGGUGAGUCAGUGAUAAAAAAAGUAUAUUUUACUAGUCUUGUUUGGUGAGAUUCUCUGUUUGCUUUUGUAUUGCCAUAUUAUCAUCGCGAUUAUGUAAGGUUUCCAUACUAUCAUUUUAGAUAAAUUAUUUUUGUUAGUCUUGUUAUAUCUUAUAUUAGUUAUUGGAGGGUUUGUUUUGUUAUGGCUGCUACCAUGGACAGGUUAGGCUUUAUGUCCUCCUUGAUUGAUUGUAAUUUCUUUUUUUAAAUAAAGCUACCUCAUUGUCACUUCUCAUGAUAGCAAUGCUAGAGUUGGAUUGACUUUUAGAUUUUACUGGAAAAAAAUGCAUUAGUCACUAUUGUGCUGUGCUAUUACGUACUUUUUAGCUUUUACCACAUAUCUUUCAUUAAUAACAUCAUUUUUACGACACCAAAAACAAUCAAACAACUACUAGUCUUGGUAACUGUUGCUCAUUUUCCUUGUAGUGGUAUUUGCUCAUUUGUUGUGAAAUAAAAAUUAUAUUUUUAUCUUGUUCAAAUAAUUGUAUGAGAAUUUAGAACCAAGGGGAAGUAUAAAAAUAGAAUUAGCUAUGUCUUUGGCUCCGCUAUGCUAUGCAUCACUUGGUGGUGCUGACUCCAUUUGUGCCGACACUGAGAAUUUAUUGUAACAACCCGCGACUAUCUUUUCAUCUUUGUAUUACUAAGGAGAGCAAGGGGCUUGUAGCUAGCGUUUGAGAGCAUAUACCUUCGCAGCCAGAGUCCUGUAAAUACCCAAAAAGUCUUAAGGAGGAAGUUUAGAAAUAGAGCCUGUAUUUAACGGACAUACAUGCUUAGGAUUGCAAAUACGUACACAUUGGAAAUGAUGAUCGAUCCAAUUGUCAGCUUCCUUGAAGCUGAAUACACUUCUAUUGAACUGCACAAAAGUUAGAAAGGCAUCAGCUAGCUAAGAUUCUGUGCAUGCCUUGUUUUAAAGAAAUGCAAAGACAGAAAUUAAGCAAGACAUAUAGGUUAGGAUGUUAGACAAACUAAAGAACAUUCUCGAUUUUUGUAGAUCGACCAAGAGUACAAGAAACCUGUAAAUGAUCAAGCUAUAUAUUUUAUAUGCCUAAGACAGAGCCAAAAACCUAGAAAAGCAGCUAGCUGACUGAUUAUCACAUGGAUUCCAACGGUGAAGUGGUUAACAUUAUACGUUCUUACGAGGAUUUUAUGCCUUAUUGCAAGUUCCUAAAAGAGGAACGAUUCGACAUUUACCAGAUUCCUCUUCAUGGUAUUCUUCUUUUUCAUGUUCUUUGUUUUGUGAUUUUUUUUUACAUAUUUUUUUUUUUUUUUUUUUUUGUUGGUAGGUUUCAAGAUGGAACAAUUCAAGCUAUUUGUGAACGACAACAAAGGAACAAUAAAGAUUGAAGGCCAACGUCCUAAGGGUGGAAGCAGAUGGAGCCGCUUCCGCCAAAAAUUCAAACUUCCUUGCAAUGUUUAUAACACUAAGGAUAUUCAUGCAAGUUUUGGCAAUGGUGUCCUUACCAUAAUACUGCCAAAAAGGGAACCAUUGAUGAUUUCGAAUUCCGACGAUAAGUCUGAUCUAUUUGUCUACAACGGUAAGCUUUUCAGGCUGAAAAUCAGCAAAAGAGGAAUCCUCGGAUCAAUUGCACUUGUUGCUGUGGGCGUGGCCGUUGGAGGUUAUGUAAUCCUAAAACACUUGCCAUCUACGCAUGCUGCUGAGAAGCAUUAAUUAAAAGUCAAUUGUAAUUUGAAUUUGUUCUAGGGUUUGUUAAGAUUGAACUUACUCAUGUGUAUACAAAUGCGCUCAUUCCUAUUCUUCUCUUUUAUUUGUGCCCAUAUUCAAUUAACCUAUGGGACUGCUAAUGUUAUGAGAAAUUCUGGAGUCCGACAACCAGAUCACGUGUCCGUGCAGAUCCAGACACAAAAAACACAACUUACUCUAGUCUCUCUGAUUUGUCAUGCUACACUGACCCAUUUUUGGUCUCUCCCCCUUUCACAAUCCUCUAACCCAGUUUUCUUGCCCAAGAACCUCUCCAAUGUGAGGUAUAAAGCAGAAUAAGUCGGCUAUAUGUUUUUAUACUCAUCAUUGCUACUUUCCGUAAAAAAUAAUCACAAUGCACUUGCAAGUAAAUACAAUUUCAUUCUUAUUCAUGAAGGCUGAAAAUUUUGAGGUAUAAUUAACAAAUAUGAAUAAGUUGUUUGUACAUGAAUACUCAACGUUGUAAAAAGAAUGAAGUUUUUUAGGACCAUCUGUUUUGGGAAAUUCUAUACGGUAAUUUUAAGAAACAGAGUAUUGGUACUUUUUUUUUUUUUUUUGGUGAACUGGAAAAUAUCAUUAACCAGCCGAAGCCAAUAGAGAAUAGAAAGCCAAGAUGGCCAACAACAACAGACAAGCAGUAGAAAAAGGGACAGAAAACAAGACACAUUACAUCACCAUGUUACCCUUACUUCUACCGAAUCAAGUGCUAAUGCGGAGGGCAUGGGAGCCCAUCUUUGUUAAGAACACGGACAAACGAAGAUGGGGGUCUUCUGACCAAUCACAUGAGGAGAACAUCCUCCCCUCCUUACUGAUCUCACACGAAACAGAAAAAACUUGCCAUGAACCCUGCUCGAUACAUCCGUUCAACCAAGUGAUAAUCUCCUUUGAAUCCGAUUCAACCACAAUACGGGAGUAUCCUCGCCGCCGCACCAUGAUGCAACCGUCCAGCACUCCUCGCACCUCCGCCAUAAGAACCGAAGGGGCUCUGAUCCUCCUCCAAGCACCGAGAACCAGAGUCCCUAAUGACAACCUCAAUGUGGCAGCACCCAUCAAUCCGCUUCCAGCUGGCAUCCACAUUUACCUUAAUGACUCCGGGUGGGGAAGGGUUCCAUGCCCGAGCACCAUCCCCCACAGAAGCCCGCUGAAUCUGUUAAAGUAGUAUAUUAUAGUUGAACUUUAUCGCAUUAUAGUUUAGCAUUCAAAUUAAAUGGCACUGAUACUUUUUUCUAUUAAAUACCGGAUCAUUUAUUUUUUUCAUUAUAUAAUUGUGAAAUGAGGAAUAUUUUGUUUUAUUUCCUUACUAUUAUUCGCCUUGGAGCAUUCAGGCUUUGAGAAAUGUACGUUGUUGUAGGUGUUAGCAGUGGGCCAGUGGCAAUCUUUAGAUGAUGAAUAUGAUUUAGGAGUGGAUUAUCCCAUCUCUUUUUUUUCCUCUAUCCCAUCUCUUUUUUUUCCUCUAUCCCAUCUCUUUUUUUUCCUCACCUUCCCUCCCAAUGUGUAGAUCAAAACAAAUAGCGCCAAUACGUAUUUAACUAGCGCAGAUGCAAAAAUGUUAUUAAAUUUUAAUCAAUAAUAAAUUUGGAUUGAUGAUAGAAGAGCAGACUCUCUCUGAUUGAGCAAUUGCAUCAACAUGCUAGCUUCUAAUACAGAAUUAAAUUCUAGUCUAUGUUGCACAAAAUUAAAUUUAUAAGAACAACACAUAUGUUAUACAUAUUCUUGUCUUUUGGUGUAUUUAUGCAUAUUGUAUGUGUCGAUCGAUAUGUGCACCAGGCUGCAAUAGCAAGGAAGACUCCAACGACGGCCGCGGCGAAGACUUGGUAUCCAGAAAAGAUGAUCCCGCAAACGGCGGAGGAUGGAGGAGAUGCGGGUGCGGUGUCCAUAACAGUAAUAACAAGCUUCUGUCCCAAAUCACAGUGGUUGUCAGCUGCACAAAUGUACCAUUUGUUUCCAGGAGUCUUUAGCUCUAUUCUGUCGCUUCCAGAGGUAAGUGGUGGUUGAUCAUUUGCCGUUGGUUUAACACAUGCCUUGAACCCAGUUCCUUUCACCUUGAACACAAAGCCUGUAUUUAAAGGACAUAGAUGCUUAGGAUUGCAAAUACGCACACAUUGGAAAUAAUGAUCGAUACAAUCGUCAGCUCCCUUGAAGCUGAAUACACUUAUAUUGAACUACAAAAAAGUUAGAAAGGCAUCAACUAGCUAAGAUUCUGUGCAUGCGUUGUUUUAAAGAAAUGCAAAGACAGAAAUUAGGCAAGAUAUAAAGGUUAGGAUGUUAGACAAACUAAAGAACAUUCUCGAUCUUUGUAGAUUGACCAAGCCUACAAGAAACCUGUAAAUGAUCAAGCUAUAUAUUUUAUAUGCCUAUGACAGAGCCAAAAACCUAGAAAAGCAGCUAGCUGACUGAUUAUCACAUGGAUUCCAAUGGUGAAUAUGAGUCAGAAGCAAAGACCAUGUCGGGCAAGAUCUUCUCUUCGUUGGCCGAGAUCUUUUGUUGUAGAAUCUUCUGAUUUUGAGCCUGAGGGGAGGGCCCAAGCUAGACCAGCUACAUCAACACAUCCUCCUCCCAAAGCACAAGGCCCUUCUUAGGUACAAACGUACUCUCAAUCUUGUCUUUUCCUAAUUCGGAUCAAUAUUGCUCCAUUAAUUUGUCUUCUCUGCGUUUUAACAAGCCACUGGUGAGGGCUCCGGCAGUUUUUCUCAGCUUGCUGCUGAAUCCUCUCAUUCUUUUCCCGCUGAGGUUGCCGCUGCUGCUGUUGCUUCUUGUGGUGCUAGCGUGAUGCCUCCUCUUAUGGCUUCUCUCCCAGCCACGACCUAUUUGCAUGAACUAGUUAGAGAAUUCGGGCAAAUUAGGACGAAGUUGCAAUCCCCAAGGUGCCCUUCUGAGCCUCAACAUCUUCAAGAUCAGUGCAGGAUCUUCAAAGAAUUUAUGCAGAUGGACUUUUCUGCCUCCUUUAGCCUUAAGGCUCUUCAAGCUGCUGAGAGAGCUCUCACUGAAUUAUACCAAGCCCAGCAGAUGACUAAGGUGCAAUAUGAGUCCUUCAUUUCCUUCUUUAAAAAUCUAAGGGCCUUGAGGGAUCAACAUCUUAAGGCUGAGAGGCAAGCCAACAAGGUGAGAUGCUACAAGGAGAAGCACACUUGGACCUCCACUACUUUGCAGCAGCUGGUGGAGGAGGGCUCGACCAUGAAAGAUCGGAUAAUAGUGGUAGCUGCCGAGAUCCAGAAAUUGGAGGAACAACUUUGUGAUCUGAAGGCUGAGGAGACUACUCUCUCGAGCAAGCUAUACAAGAAGAUCGAGGAAGUGAACAUUAUACAUUCUUACGAGGAUUUUAUGCCUUAUUGCAAGUUCCUAAAAGAGGAACGAUUCGACACUUACCAGAUUCCUUUCCAUGGUAUUCUUCUUUUUCAUGUUCUUUGUUUUGUGAAUUUUUUUUUUUUUUUACAUAUUUUCUUUUCUGUAUUUUUUGGUUGGUAGGUUUCAAGAUGGAACAAUUCAAGCUAUUCUUGAACGACAACAAAGGAACAAUAAAGAUUGAAGGCCAACGUCCUAAGGGUGGAAGUAGAUGGAGCGGCUUCCGCCAAAAAUUCAAACUUCCUUGCAAUGUUUAUAACACUAAGGAUAUUCAUGCAAGUUUUGGCAAUGGUGUCCUUACCAUAAGACUGCCAAAAAGGGAACUAUUGAAUUUUGAUGUAUAUUUGCUUGAAGAAACAAUUACAAGAUGAAACAUAUAUAUAGGGAAGAGAAAGAUCAUAAGCCUAAUUUUGCCUAACUUACCUAUCUUGCUUGACUAACCUAACUUGCCUAACUUUGAACAAGAAAGUUGACUAGCCUAAUUUCACCAUUAUUCCAACAUGUUUAUUUCAUGCAUUUUAACACUCCCCCUCAAGUUGGAGUGUGAAUGUCGAUGACACCCAACUUGCUAAUUAAGACCUCAAAUUGUGCCGAGCUUAGUGGUUUGGUGAACAAGUCUGCAGGUUGAUUCGAGGUCCGUAUGUAAGCUGUUUGCACCAUUCCCAUUUGAAUCUUCUCACGUACUAGGUGACAGUCUAUCUCUAUAUGCUUCGUUCGUUCAUGAAACACUGGGUUCGAAGCAAUGUGCAUGGCAGCUUGAUUAUCACAAAACAUUGUGACUGGUUGUGCAUGAUUUACUUGCAAGUCCUUCAAAAUGUUUCUUAGCCAUAUAACUUCACAACAAGUAGUAGCCAUAGAACGGUAUUCUGGCUCUGCACUAGAACGAGAUAUUGUGCUUUGUUUCUUCGUUUUCCAAGAUAUCGGUGCUUGUCCAAGGAAGAUACAAUAACCGGUUAUUGACCUUCUAGUGUCUUUACACCUAGCCCAAUCAGCAUCACAAAAGGCUUGUAAUUGUAGUGAACCUGUAGAAGGCAAAAUAAUUCCCUGUCCAGGAGAUUGUUUGAUGUACCUGAGAACCUUAUGCACCGCUUCAAGGUGUGGUUGUCGUGGCUUGUCCAUGAAUUGGCUCAACAUAUUAACCACAUAAGUCAGGUUAGGCCGCGUGAUGGUUAAGUAAAUCAGCCUCCCUACGAGUCGCCUGUAUGAAGAAGGAUCAUGUAGGAGCGUCCCAUCAGUUUGUGUAAGGGACAGGUUUGGUUCCAUUGGUAAUCGUGAGGGCUUCGCACCAAGGAACCCAGCAUCUUCUAGUAUCUCCAACGCAUAUUUGCGUUGGCACAAGGCAAUCCCUUGUUUAGAUCUUGCAACUUCUAUCCCCAAAAAGUAUUUGAGUUUUCCCAAAUCCUUUAGUUUAAAAUGUUGGGAAAGGAAGAGUUUAGUCUCUUCAAAAUCUCUCAAAUUGUUACCUGCAAGUAUCACGUCAUCAACAUACACAAGUAAUGCCAUAAAACUGCCUUGACAGUUUCGGACGAACAAUGAGUAAUCUGACCAUGAUUGAUGAAAACCAGCAGUCUUAAGAGCACUAGACAGCUUGAUAAACCAUUGUCUCGAGGCCUGUUUUAAACCAUAAAUGGAUUUGUGUAAUUUGCAUACUCGUGUCUCCCCCUUUCGUCCGAACCCAGGAGCCAAGGACAUAUAAACCUCCUCGUAUAAGUCACCAUGCAAAAAUGUGUUGUUCACAUCAAGUUGAUGAAGAUGCCAGCCUCGUAUGGAGGCAAUACUCAGGAGGACGCGGACGGUGGUGAGCUUGGCAACUGGAGCAAAAGUUUCCCGAUAAUCAAGCCCCUCAAUUUGACUGUAGCCUUUAGCAACGAGACGAGCUUUGUAGCGUUCAACACUGCCGUCAGGUUUAAGCUUCACCUUAUAGAUCCAUUUGCAACCGAUGGGAUGUUUGUGAGGUGGUAAGGGCACAAGAGUCCAAGUGCGAUUGUCAUGAAGGGCAACAAUCUCUUUUUGCAUGGCUUCACGCCAUUUUGGAUCCUGAACAGCUUGCGAAAAACUGGUGGGUUCUUUGAUAAUGGUGAGGGUGGUGAGAAAGGUUUUGUGAGUGGGGGAUACAUGGUCAUAAGAUAAAUAACGAGAUAUGGGGUGAGAUGUACCUGAUGACUGGACCAUGCUUGUGGAAGAUGUGGGAGCAACACGGGAAGGGGAGGGCCACCUCAACAUGAAAGUCCUGCAAAAAUGUGGAAGUUUUGGUCGGUCGAGUGCUACGACGGAGUGGAGGUGGUUGGUCUGGUGAUGGAGUGGUUGGAGGUGGUGAAGAGUGUAGGGUAUGUGAAGGUGUUGAUAAGGUAUCUGGUGGUGGAGUUGUAGUAGGUAAAGGAGAUGAGAGUGGGGUGAUGUCGGCAAGUGUGGGAGAGGUGAUGUUUAUUUCUUCGGGUGCAAGGCUUGAGUGCGACUCAAUGUGAGAGGUCAAGUCAAACGUGAUGGGUAAGGGUGUAAUGUUUGAUGGAGACGGGGCAGCGGAAGUGGUAUGAUUUUGGAAUGGAAAAUGAUCUUCAAAAAAAACAACAUCCCUAGAAACAAAAGUCUUAUUGUGUUUUAUAUUAAACAAUUUAUAACCCUUUUGACCAUAAGGAUACCCAAGAAAAAUGCAUUGGAUUGCACGGGGGUCGAAUUUAGAAGGCCUUUGGGCGUGUGUAGAAGCAAAACAUAAACUACCGAAAACCUUUAAAUGGGAAUAGUUAGGUGCUUUGUGAAACAGUUUUUCGUAAGGUGUUUUACCUUCGAGAAGUGGAGUGGGUGUUCUAUUGAUGAGGUAGGCUGAGGUUAAGAUUGCAUCCCCUCAAAAACGUUUUGGCAAACAAGCUUGAAAGAGCAAAGCCCGAGCAACAUUGAGCAAAUGCCGGUGUUUACGUUCGGCAACACCAUUUUGUUGUGGUGUGUUGACACAACUAGAUUGAUGUAUGAUGCCUUUGAGAGCAUAAAAUUGCUCAGGCUUAAACUCAGGGCCAUUGUCACUUCGUAUGAUUUGAACUCUGGUAUUGAAUUGAGUCUCAAUCAUUUGAGUGAAUCCGACUAAAAUGUCUUUUGUGUCAGAUUUAUGUUUCAUCAAAUAAACCCAAGUGCUUCUAGUGUAGUCAUCUACGAUGGUAAGGAAAUACUUGGCACCUGAAAUAGAAGCAACUUGAUAACCACCCCAAAUAUCAAUAUGCAAUAAUUCAAAACAUGAUUUGGUAGAAAUAGAGCUCAAAGGAAAGGGUGAUCUUGUUUGUUUGGCCAAUGGGCAAAUUAAACAUUUUUCUAAAUCACAAGCCUUAUUGUUAAAUAAAGGUAAUAACGAAGUGACUUUAUGAGAUGGGUGUCCUAGGCGUUGGUGCCAAAGCUUUGGUGAGACGGUUUGAAUAUUGUUGCAUGUUCCUUUCUUUGAUGGGUCGAGGUAGUAAAGUCCAUCCCUUUCAGUUCCUGUCCCAAUCAUCUUCCCCGAGCGAAGGUCCUGAAUGACACAAAAUUGGGUAAAGAAAAUGGUGACAUAUAAGGAAUCAUAGGCUAGUUUACUGAUAGAUAUUAAAUUCAACCUAAAGAACGGCACACAUAGGACAUUUUCAAGGAUAAGAUUAUGAAAGAAAACAACUUGUCCAAUGUGAGUGACUUUGGCAACGGAACCAUUUGGCAGUUCAACUGUAUGAUUUUCAACAGCUCGUGAGUGUGUAAGGAGACUAGGACUGCAAACUAUGUGAUCCGUGGCACCACUGUCCAGGAUCCAAAUACUUUUGGUUCCUUUACAUGAAAAAGAGAAGGCUUUACCUGAAAGUUCUUCAUGACUAGGAAGAUUACUGACUUGAUUGGCAAAUGAUGAUUUGUUCUUGUUCAACAUCUGAAGGAUUUGCUUGCAGUCCUCCUGAGAGAACGGGAAAUUAGGCACUGUCUCUUGCUUGUUACUUUGUGAAACUUGAUUCCCCUUUGAAGAAAAUAGACGAUUGGAUUCGGUCUCUGUGGCUGCUUUCCGUUUUCGACAGAAAUCGAAGGUGUGGCCUUUCCAUCCGCAAAAAGUGCACUUGAGAUGUGCACGACAAUUUUUGGUGAUGUGAUUGGUUUUAUUGCACUUUCCACAUCGCAUCUCCUUGUCUUCGGGUGUAGGUUCUCGCGACAGAUUCUUCACUGCAAAGACAACAGAAUCUAGUUGUGUGCUUUUCCCAUUGGAAACCUCUGCCUGGCGUUCAUGUCGAAGGACCAACGCAUAUGCCUUGUUCACCGUAGGCAGUGGUUCGAGAAGAAGAGUAUUGCUUCGAACCGUAUUAUACGAUUCGUUCAGUCCCAUAAGGAACUUCAUGGUUUUCUGAGUUUCAACAUAUGAGUUCAUCUCAUUCUUUGUUCCACAACUGCAUGCUGGAAUGGAACACAAAGUAUCACGUUCAUCCCAUAAACUUUUAAGUUUAGUGAAGUAAGAACUUACACUCAUAUUGCUUUGGACGCAAUCAUGGAUCUCGUUCUCAACAUGGAACAGCUGAACUAUAUUCACAUGUGAGAACCUCUCAUGCAGAUCGGUCCACAUUUGUCGAGCAUCCUUGUAGUUGAUGACACUCCCUGAAAUCUCCUUUGACAUGGAGCCUAGUAGCCAUGUCUUGACCAAGUUGUUGCAGCGAUUCCAUUGCUGCAGCUUCUCAAAAUUAUCCUCACUUGGUUUGUUGAUCGUUCCAUCAACAAAACCAAGUUUGUUCUUGACCGUUAAGGCCAUACUCAUGGAUUGAACCCAUGUGUUGUAGUUGUCUUCCACCAAUGGUUGUGGUACGAGGAUUGCACCAGGUUGAUCCAAGUGGUGGAGAUAGAGCGGGUGGUUGGGAUUUUCCCAUUUUGAAUGAGAGGCCAUGCCUAGAAUGGUUGACCUCGUGGCUGCUUUAGAGCUGUGUUUUGUGAUUUUUCCCAGAUCACAGCUCUGAUACCAUAUUGAAUUUUGAUGUAUAUUUGCUUGAAGAAACAAUUACAAGAUGAAACAUAUAUAUAGGGAAGAAAAAGAUCAUAAGCCUAAUUUUGCCUAACUUACCUAUCUUGCUUGACUAACCUAACUUGCCUAACUUUGAACAAGAAAGUUGACUAGCCUAAUUUCACCAUUAUUCCAACAUGUUUAUUUCAUGCAUUUUAACAGGAACCAUUGAUGAUUUCGAAUUCCGACGACAAGUCUGAUCUAUUUGUCUACAACGGUAAGCUUUUCAGGCUGAAAAUCGGCAAAAGAGGAAUCCUCGGAUCAAUUGCACUUGUUGCUGUGGGCGUGGCUGUUGGAGGUUAUGUAAUCCUGAAACACUUGCCAUCUACGCAUGUUGUUGAGAAGCAUUAAUUAAAAGUCACUUGUUAUUUAAAUUUGUUCUAGGGUGUGUUAAGAUUGAACUUACCCAUGUGUAUACAAAUGAGCUCAUUCGUACUCUUCUCUUUUAUUUGUGCCCAUAUUCACUUAACCUAUGGGACUACUAAUGGUACAAGAAAUUAUGGAGUUCGAUAACUAGAUCAUGUGUCCGUGCAGAUCUAGACACAAAAAACCUUACUCUAGUCUAUCUGAUUUGUCAUGCUACACUGACCCAUUUUUGGUUUCUCCCCCCUUUCACAAUCCUCUGACCCAGUUUCCUUACCCAAGAACCUCUCGAAUAUUAGGUAUAAAGCAGAAUAAGUCGGAUAUAUGUUUUUAUACUCGUCAUUGCUACUUUCCGUAAAAAAUAAUCACAAUGAACUUUCACAAUGUGUGUAUCUCCGACGACGAACUCUUUUGCCAUGGACAGUGUAGGAAGAAGAAGCACAAGAAUGGAAAUUAGGGGUACAAAUUUCGAACCCAUUGGAUCUUUGACAAUAUAUAUUUUCAACAAAAACUCACGGACCGACUCAAACAACCCUUUCUCUCCGCUGUGAGAGCCACUCCU
rnacentral:lncRNA from 1 species